rnacentral:lncRNA from 1 species
UUCAUCCACCUUUUGACUAAUUAGAAGGAGCUUGGAAUUUUAUAUGCUCUUUUUACAUUAAAUUGCCUUCAAAUAAGUAUAUAAGUUCGGAGUUUUUGGUAGUAAACAAAAAUUAAUUUAUAAUAAAUUUGUUAUAAAUAUCAAUUUUGGGGUUUUACGUAAUAUAACUCUUUACCAUUUAGGGUUUUUGUGAUAUGGUGACAAGUGUCACUAUCUCACGGGUGAAAGUAUAAAAGUACGUAUUAUCCUUGUGUGACUAAUGGCAAGCUCACAAUGGUAGGGAUUUGGGUCAAUGAGAAGGUGCCAUGUCGGGUGAGAAUUUCAAGCUAUAGAAAGAAAGGUGUGAUAUGAGGUCGAAUUAGGCCCAGCUCUAUCUGAGCUCUAUCCGACUGGGCCUAAUAAGUCGGCUCCAUCUCGGUUAAAUUGGGUUAACCAAAGUCUUUAUAGUCUUUCAUAAUUAACAAAAUCUUUCAUAAUUAACAAAUUUUUUUGGCUACGUUUGGUCGUCCGGAUUUCUAAUCGGGAUAGGAUUGGAUAGGAUAGGAUAUGAAAUCCUAGGAUUUUUUUAUGUCCUGUCCAAUGUUUGGUGAAUCACAGUAUUAAAGUCGGAUAUGUUCACAUCAUAUACAUUUUUAUUUUUAUUUUUAUAUAAACGACAUAUCAUUAUAAAUGAACAUAAAUGUUCAUAAAUGAAGAUGGUGAAAAUAUCUCGUAACACUAUUCCUUAAUUUAUUUAUUAUUUAUUAUUUAUUAUAUUUUUCCUCUUUUUUAUAUUAUUUUCAUUAUUAUUUCAUUUUUCCCUUUCAUCUUCUUUAAUAAAAAUUUAUCAAAUAGUAAACUAUACUAACAUAUUUAAAAUAAAAAAAUACCUAAAAUAUAUAAUAAAUAUAAAUAUUUAAUUUAUAGAUUGAAUUUUUAUUAUAAAAUAGAAUUAAAAUAAGAUUAAUUAAAAAUAAUUUUUUAUUUUUAUUUUCUUAAAUUAGAAUUCAAAUAUUAUUUAUAUUGAAAUAUAAUUUCAAUUUUGUUAAUUUAAUAAAUUUGUUAUUAAAAAAAAAUAACUUUCCUAUUAUGGACGUUAGAAAUCCUAUCCACCUUUAUCCCACCCCCCAUGGGAUAAUUUUAUCCUGUUUGUAUCCCCCUUAUAUCCGACUUUAUCCUAUCCUGAGUGAGCACCAAACGUAAGAUAGGAUAAAUUAUAUUAUAUCCCGAAUUUUAUCCUGACUGCCAAACGCAGCCUAAUAGUCUUUCAUAAUUAACAAAAUCUUUCAUAAUUAACAAAUUUUUUUGAGAUACCAGUUAGGAAAAUUCAUAUGUCAACACUACUUACAUAUAUUUAGGGAAGUUUCUUGAAAAAAAUCAAAUGUCGUAUAUAUAUCGAGAGAUUAUUUGAUGGGUGUAUUAUAUAUACUAAAUUGUAAUCGAAUCAUCUGUGGUCAUGAGAUCCACGAGGGUUGACGUGAGACGUACCAAAUCUUGCCGUUUCGAUGCAGUUUGAUAUUUGUGACACUCACCCAAUGCCCGCCCCUCCUAGAUAAGAAGGCAAUACAAAAAAAUCUCAGGCUAAAUGACCGACGAAAUUAAGGCGACAAAGAAAAAUGGAUCACAAUUCCUUCUCACUUUUAUGUCCUUUACUCACUUGAUGCCUAGCUUUGCGUUGAAAGAACAUAAUGAUAAGACACCACUUAUCUUAUAAGACACGCCCCACCCCGCCCCCCCACCCCCAAGCUUCAGCUAUGUGUUCAAGGAUUGCUCUAAGGCUGAGUUUAGUUCAAUGGAAAUGAUAAUGGUGUGGAUACAUCUCUUAUGUUUGAUUUUCCCAUUUGAAGGACAUGAAAGGGGUGUAAACGGUUCGGUUCGGUUCGGUUAUUUUGAAAAACCGAACUGAACCGAACCGUUAGAGAAAAUUUCCAAACCGAACCGAAUAAGUCCCGAAACGAUAACGUUCGGUUCGGUUCGGUUCGAUUUUUCGGUUUUCAACUUUUGGUUUUUUUGAGUUCAACUUAGAUGGAAACCGAUAAAAACCAAGAGACACGAAAGGACUAGAGAUGGGAGUCGGGAGAGAACCGAAUUAGAUUUGAUUUUAUCGGUUUUCGGUUCGGUUAACUGAUAAAAACCGAACCGAUAAAUUUUUUUUGGUUUUUGAUGAAAACCAAACCGAAAACCGAACCGAACCGAAAAAAUCAAAUUUUUCGGUUCAGUUCGGUUCGGUUUGCGGUUCAAUUUUCGGUUCGGGUCUUGAUGCCCCUAAUGAAUAUGUUCUUUUAUAACAGUUUGUGCUUAAUUAAUUAAAUGAAUUUAAGAAGAAACUGCAGAUUUUCCUUUUCUUAAAACCGAACAAGACGUCCCUUCGACUGAGCAUUCCCAAAAAAUAUUCCCUUUUUUAGUGACAUUUCCAAAAUUGCCCUAGCAUUGAACUCCAUUUGAACACGAGUCAUCCGUUACCAUCCCAAUCACGCAAAAAGCAUAUUUUUUUUAAUGCAUUUUUGAAGGAAAACAAUGUACCUUUUUUUCAACCUUGUUAAUAUUAACAUACUAUUCAAUUGAAAAAAAAAAUUUGAAAUACUAUAUUUGAAUCUUCGAAACUCGAAAAGGUCAACAAACUUGAGCACAAGAUUUAGGAGAAGCGAAAGGUAAAAAUUAAAGAGUAAAAGUCAUUCCAUACAUAUAGGAACAUGUACGGUGAUUAAACAACAACAUACAAACCCCUACUAUACGUCAACAAAACCAAUUAUAAUGAGGACUGAGACUUUUGAAAAUCUUAUCUGUAGAAGUCUCCAAAAAGACAAUAUCCCUAGAUCCUAGCCCUGAUCAAUCUGAGAAAAAAGAGGUUAAUGAAGGAAUAAGCAAUCACUACCUCAGCAAAUGAACUCUCAAGACUUAGAAUAGGACAUCAAGUGCAUUCUUAAAUGAAACCUUGCGAUUUAACAUAAUAAGCCGUGAACACAAAUAUAAAUGUGACGUGAAAUUGUCUCACUCCAGAUCAAUCACCCAACCAACAUAGAAGCUCAACCAAUCACAUAUCAUAUUAUGAGACUAAAGUCCGUAAGUGUAUUUCAACCCAAUAACUAAGACAUCCCUGACAACAAGGCAUUGCUUUGAGAGAGUUUUUUUUUUAUUUUUUUAUUGAUUUAAAGUAAAAACUUCAUUCAAUUCUCAAGAUGAUGCAUGAGAGGUUCAAAACAAAGCAGAUACAAAAUAGCAAAGUAGAAUAAUAAAGUAAGCACACUUUCAUCCCACAGGAAUAUAUUUGUCUCAGCAUAAAAAAAAAAAUGAAUAGUGGCCAAUCACCAAUCUCACAUCAUCAUAAGUAAUAAGCACAUACUAUAAUCUUCUUCUUCAAUAGCUACAGCUUUCCGGAUAGUUGAUACAUGCUUAGGUUCAAUGUUCUCAAUGCCAUCACCAUAUAGAGACACCAAAAACAGGUUAAACAGGCUCCCAAAUCUAGAUCUAGAUCGGGAGAUGUUGAAGGAGCACAGCAAAGCCUUUAAGGAACUCCCAAAUAUAAAUAUAGAUCAAAAGAGAAGAGCUUUCAAAUCUAGAUCUAAAUUAUUUGAGAGAUGAGAACUUCCAAAACUCGACGGAGUCGUAUAACCACUUUCAAUGAGUAUGAACUCGGCAUAUUUCUCUUCAAUCCCAUUGUACUUCUUGGUUUGGACGAUCUAUUGCCUAACGAUGGAAGCUGAAGAUACGCCCAGCGAACAAAGAAUUGUAUCAACAGUGAGCAAAAGAAAAAACAAAAAAACUUAUUUACAAUAGGCUAUUUCUAAACUAAACUUAUUUGUUGAUGUGACUUCAAUCACUACUUGUUUAUGGUGUUGGUAAGAAAGUUGAAUAAAAGUUGGAAAUAAUAAGAGAAUUAUUUUUGUUAGCAAUUAGAGAAAUUGGUAACUUUUAUAAAAAAAAUAUAUAUGUGUGGGUAACUAACUCAAAUAAAGAGUUAAUAACACAAAGUUCGUCGGUAAUGCAAUCAUAGAAAGAAGGUUGGCAAGGCAAAUAAAGGAUGGUAAUUCAAUAGAAAAAAGAUGAAUGCUUUAGCAUGACAAAAACUUUUCCCGUUGGCCUACCAACGAUAGGGGCAUUUCUCUGCACAGAAAAAUUAUGUGCUAUAUAUCUAAAUUACCCGCAUAGAAAGCAUGAUCUACUGUCAGUUGAAGCAUCCGUUAAUAUAGAACAAUCAUGUGCUACAUGUCCAAUUUUCCUACAUAGAAAGUAUGCCCUCAUACAGACAAGUGUUCUAUUCCCACAGGUGUCAUAAGAGCCCUGAUUAUUUUGAUUUAUGGACUUUCUUGGCAAAAUUAUUAGUCCCGUUUGGUUCGGCAUUUGGAAGGAGCUUUUGGGCCCUAAAGGGAUUUGGCCAAAUACAAACGUGUUUGGUUCAAUUUUUAGGACAAUGUUGGCAAGAUGCAAUUGUAUCUCCAAAUGACUCUAAGAACCUUUUAGCUCAAAGCAGCUUUGGAGAUACUUUGGAAAGUUGCAUUCACGGAAUGCAAGUUCCACGAGUACUGUUCAUCUUCUUCAAAGAAACAAACGGAGGCCGACGAUCGCUAGCCAAUGAGUUGCCCAUGCCGAUGACCACUACUUGAGGCGUCGCCUAACCCCGGCAAUCACUACAUGAGGCGUUGCCUAACCCCAGGGAUUGCGGCCACCCAGUGACCGCCGUCUAAGGUUGUGUGAUCUUAGGUGAGGCGGCCUGAGGUCCGACACAUAGGGUUCGUGACCCAGGCGAUUGUCGCUUGGGUUCAUGCGACCUAGGCAACCGAACCCAUGCGAUAGUCGCUAGACCUCAAGCAACUCCUGGGGUUCGCGACCCAAGCGAUCAUCGCUUGAGUCACGCAUCCUAGACAGCCGCUUAGGUCACAACCCCAGGCGUCGCCUGAGGUCAUGUGACCUUAGGUGAGGUUGGCCGCUUGAGAUCACAUGACCUUAGGUGAGGCUAUUUGGCAACCAGAUCUGGCCGCUGGUGGCUAUAUUAAAAAAAAAUUAAAACUUUUUUUAAUGAAAAAUUUAGCAAGAGUCAUUUGCAAAAUGUAUUAAGCCAAAGUUGUUUCAUAAUGUACCUUAAAAUUGCAAUUUACCCAACGUUAUUUGUAUUCUAAAAAUCCCUUUAGCGCACAAGUAUUUGCAUUUUCCCAAUGACAUUUGCCUAAAGCUGAACCAAACGAGGCCAUCACCUCUUCGUUUAUUACCACUUUGAGCUUUGAGUAAGCUUUCCAUUGGCCUGUCGAAAUUGUUUUAUUUACGAAUAAACUUGGUUUAAUCAAAUCUUGCUUAGGUUUCUACUUGAUUUUAAUAUAUGUUUUUACUUAAUGAUAGGAUUUUCAUUUUUUCUACUCAACGCAAUUUUUCUUGUUUGGUUUUCCAAUGUCAGAUCUAGCAAGAGAGGCCUCGUUGGUGUUCACCUCACCUAGGUGCGACCUAACGAGGCCAACUCUCACCUGGGAGAGGCCAUCCCUCAUCAACCAUGGCCUGAGUCACCAGAAAUUGCAAAGAGAACAUGGAAAGAUAAAAAAAGAAGAAAAUUAUUAAAAAUUUAUUUAAAAAAAUCUACAUUAGCGUCAGUUGUGCUAUAUAAUACGAAUGAUGUCAAUGUCAGUAAUUUCCAACCUAAAUUUGUCAAAUGAACAUAAUUUGGACCAAUGUGAAAAAAUUAAGUAUUAAAUUAGCUCAAUUGAAAAGUUAAUGACUAAAUUGAUAGCAAUGACAUAGGUGAGGACUUUUUUUGGCACUUUUUUUCUUAAAUAGCAUAUUAUAAUACAACAACUAGAAUAACUAUCAACGGUUACAUACCAACAGCCAUGCCCAACAGCUGAGUUCGUGUUGUCUAGACUAGGCCUGAGCGGUCAUAGUCCGCUGUCCUCACCGAUAUACUCGGUGGAGAUUGAUAUCACCGGAAUUUUUCUUUACCAAGGUUGUCAAAUAUUUGGCUUGUUUAAAUGGACGAAUACCAUUAAAGACAACUUUUUAAAAAAAAAUUUCACCGAUGCCUAUGCCUAAUGAGUGACUUGUUGGCUUUGGUUCGUCUCUGUUAAUCGGUGGUGUCAUUUGCUGUGGUUUUUCCUAUGUUCUUUUGGUCUCUUGGGUUCGGCUUUUUUUUAUAGCUAGGAAUUGGAGUGAUUCAGGUUUUUUGACUCAUGAAUGAACUCGACAUCCUCAAAAUGUAUUUGCUGAUUGUCAAUUGUGAUGUGAACGGGUAUGUUCUGACUUGCUUUCCAUUGAUUUCUGCAUUUUUUUUUCGCCUUGGUUUCUUUUCUUUUCCUUGCUUUGCAAGUUUUAACCUCUGUUAGUUUCCUAAUAAAGCCCAAUUUCCCACUUGAAUUAUGAGGUUUUACCCUGCUUUUUCUUCAUUCCAAUUCGUGCAGUCCACAUUAUUUGAGUUUCAAUUAUCGUUCAUGUUAUGUCUUGGUCACAUUUUAAUGUCCUAAGAAUUUGUUUUGAGUGAGGAUUUGAACCUUGUUGACAUCCAAAUGUCUACAUUUUAAAUAUCCAUUUAUAUAUAUAUAUAUAUAAAGAUGAGUAAAAUAGGUGAUAUAAAAUGAAUAAAAAGUAUUAAAAAAAGAAAAAAAGAGUCGAGUGGGCCGGCGAAGUUAAGCCCAUUCUUUUUUAUGCUUUCGCAGCCCAUUCCUUUAUUUCUUCUUCAGCCCAUCCAUUUUUUGUUUAUUCUUUGAGCCCAUCUGAAACAAUUAAGAAAAGAGGCCCAGCCCCACAUGCUCUCUCUCUCUCUUUUCCCUUCGCACGACCGACAUGCGGGUGACAGAAGGAGACGAACUCAGCAAAGGAAGCGGCCAUGAGCGGGACCUCCACCUGAUCACCAUCUCCGUCUCGACUUCCAGAGCUUCUUUCCUUCUUCUCGGACGUUCUCUCGUCGCCUACUCAGCUGCGACGGCGCCCUCGAAGUUCCGAUUUCUCCUUGUCGUGUAGAGUCUCCCUUCUUUCUAUCGGCGCGUGGCGACGUCGCUGAUCGUAGUUGUCCGGCGGCGAGAGCGAGCUUGAGAGUUCGAGGAGUGCGAGAUGUUGUCGAUCCUGUGACGAAAAGCCGCCGCCAGAGUCACGGGUGCUAUGCUGUUAAGGAAGAUACCGGAGAGAAGAGGGAGGACUCGCGUUUUUGAGGAGAGGACGUUCGGCCGUAGAGGGAGGUCGGGAGGAGAGAAGGUUUUUGGCUGGAGGAGAAACGCCGGCCGAAGGUCUCUUCAGAGUCGUCUGAAGCUUCACCGGAGGCCAGCUCGCCGUCCACCGUCCGCCAUAACCGAUUCUCGAUCCAGGCGAGUGCCUUCCUCCUUUGUAUGUGACGUGUUCCUACCAUAUUGGAACUCGAACCGUGCACGAUGAAGUCGCGGGGAAUUUCGUGUAGAAUGACACUGAUUUGUUGCUUGAUGAUCUCAUCCGAAUGCCUGUAUGCCGCAUUUAGACCGAAAAUCAGACGAUAAUCGGAUCAGAAGCUUGUUCUUGAUACUGCCCAUUACCUGUUUGAUGAAAUGUCUAAGAGAAAACCGAAGAGCAAUUUAUGUUUAAACUCAAGAUUGAUCCAUGUUUGAAUCUACACUUAUUGAACAAUGUCUGAUAUUCGUAUUUUCUUUGCAUUUUUCAUGCGAGUUGGUGAAAAAAUUCCUGUCCGAGUUGGUCGUUCAUGGAUCUUCCCCUCGCCGGAGCUUCACCUCCCUUCGCCGGCGAGCCCUACGGUUCAAGGCCGUCCGAGUCAGUUUUUCUCUUCAUUCUAAAUGUAUUCAUGCUUGGUUGAUUGUUGGAUUGCUGGUUUUAGAAAUUCCGGAUCGAUAGGUUUUUAUUUCGUUAGAUUUUGUGUUUGCCCGGCGGGAGACGACGGACGCCGGCAGGAGUAGGCGGCAGGUGGUGGCCCGGUGGCGGCAAUCACGUGGCAAGGGCGGAUCACUGUGGCGUUGAGAGCUGGCAGUCCCAGUUCGGUAAGUUGCAGGGAAGAAGACGUUCGGUGAAGAAGACGUCCUGAGGUUGAAGAUGAUGCGAGGUGAAGGAGAUGGGCAGAAAAGACAAAACAGAGAAAAAGACCAAAAAAAAAAAAAGAAGAAUAAAAACCCCUUAAAAAAUUCAAAAAAACAUAAAAAUAUUAAAAAUAAUUCGCUUUGAUCCGACCAGGUCGGAUCCGAGUAGACGGGUCGGGUCAAUGUGCCGGAUCGGGUGAAUUCGGUCCGAACCCGUUCCCCAAAUAUAAUAAUAAUAAAAUGGACAUUAAAAAUUAAAAAAAUGGAAAAAAUUAAAAAUUGAGAAAAUGAUAAAAAUUAAGGAAAUAAAAAAUUUAGAAAAUUUGGAAAAACAUUAAAAAGUUUGUUAAAAUCAGAAAAUUCAUAAAAUUUAGAAAAUUGAAAAAUAAUAAAAAAUUAGAAUUCAGAAAAUCAUUAAAAAAUAGAAAAUCCAGAAAAUAACAAAAAUUAGAAAAAGCAUUAAAAAUUCAUAAAAUUAUUAAAAAAAGAAAAUUUUAGAAAAGUUGGAAAACCCUUUAAAAUGUUAAAACCUAAAAUUGGAUAAGCCUUUAGGGAUUUUUUUUUUUUUUUUUGUGUUUUAGAUUGUCUUUUCUUUUUAGAGACAAUUUAAGGAUGCUUGCAUACUUCCUAUUAUGAUUAUAAUUGACUGCGCUUUUCAAUAUUUGGAUUUUAAUUCCUUGUUUUAGUAUGGUUAGGACAAAUUUCGACUUUUUUUAGAUAGGUUGCUAUGGUGUUAAUUAGCACAUGACCGAAUUAGAUACCAAAAUGGCGUUAGUCUUAGGGCUAACAUAAUCAAGUCCUUGAGUCUUGAAUCUCUGAUUGCGUAAAUAUUAAUAUUCUCCCAUAUCUUACUGCUUUCUAGCCUACCCAAAAAGGUUAGUGGCGACUUAUUUAUUAAAAUUUUCAUAGGCUUAAUUGAUGAAAAUCUUGAACGCCUAUUGCGCAAGAUAUGGGCUUGGGAGAGUCCAAGUCAAUGGAUGGCCGUCGGCCCGAGGUCAACAAUACCCUUAAACCUAAUAGGCUCCCUUCCCAUGAGAGAGUUAGGUCGCGACAGCUCGGCAACUCUACUGGGGAUCAAACCUAGAAUCUCUAGUUGCUUAAAUACUAAUAUUAUCCCGUAUCUUAUUGGGUUUCUAGCUUACCCAAAAAGACUAGCGGCGACUUCUUUAUUAAAAUUUUCAUAGGCUUGACUAAAUUUUGAACAUCUGAUUUUGCGUGAGAUAUGAGUAGGGUGAGCAGUUUCAGCUUCCGUAUAGGUUCUACUUGGACCUACUCGUUGGAACAGGUUUCUCAUUUUUUGGAACCUACAACCUACCCUCAAUAUCCUAGAAUUUAGAACCUAUCUUAUCACAGGUUCCGAUGGUCUAGUCAAGUUUCAUUUAUAUUAUUAAUUGAACGAUUGCAGUGAAUUAAGACCUUUAAUGACUGUACUCCCUACUACAAUUCAUUGAUCAUAAAGACAUACUAAAAGUAUAAAUAUUGAUAAAGUAAAAGUCAGUCAUAAAAUGGAACUUUAGACUAAUAUUUCUAGAUUAUACACUAAUCAUCAAACGACAUGGAAUAUUACAAGAAUGAGUGAAGACAUGAACAAAAAAAAAAUUGUUACAAGUUUAAGGUUCUAAGUUUUUUCAACUAAGAACCUGAAACCUAUUAGCUGAAACAAGUUUCUCAUUUUUUGAAACCUAGAGUCUACUCUGCAAACCUUGGAAUCACCCCUAGAUAUGGGCUUGGGAGAGUCCUAGUUAAUGGAUGGCUGUUAGCUCGAAGUUGGCAAUACUCCUAAACUUGAUAAGGUCCCUCCUUGAAAGAGGGGUUAGUUUGUGACAAACUUUUAAGAGCUUUUUCUUUACAAUUUUGUGUUGGGUUUGUUGACACCCAAAAUUUUCGUCGACAUUUUAAUCAUCCAUUUUGCAAGAAUAUAAAAAAAAUAAAGAGUCAAUAAAUAAAAAAAUAAAAAAAAUAAUGAAAAUAUAAAAAAAAUAGAGAGAGAAAAAAAAAGAGAAGUAAAAGAAUCAAUAAAAGAAAAAAAAGAGAAAAAGAAAAGAAGAAAAAAAGAAGAAAAGAAAGAAAGAAAAGAAAAGAAAAAAAUGAAAGAAAAUGAAAGAAAAAAUAAGAAAUAAAGAAAACCAAAAAGGAGAGAAAAAAAGAAAAAUAAAAAAAUAUAAAAGGAAGGGACGCUCUCUCUCUCCAUGGACGCUCUGGCUCUCCACACUUCGCACAGAGUCUCUCUCUCCUCACACGGGCUCUCUCUCUCUCUCUCUCUCUCUCUCUCUGCGUUCGUAUUUUCUGUGGAGUCAUCAAUGGAGUUCGAGGCAGUUGCAGCAGAACCCUAGCCUUCCCACGACGUCAAUAGCGGCAUCUUUCUUGCGCUUCUCCUCGGAUCAUCUUCAUGCCAUCUUUUGAGCUCAUGGACUAGCGAUCUUCCUCUCGCGGACCUCGUCUUCUCUCGGCCGACUCAGCGCUCGAAGCUCAUUUCGAAGACGCGGCCGCUAGGACUCAGAUCUCGGAUCCCUAGCCUCGAACGAUCCCCGUAGACAUCCGUGAUUCCUCAGGGGAAAAUCUCGACUUCGCUCGCGGUCCAUCGAAGGGAGUUUCCGCAUCCGUCUCCAGUACUUCUCCGUUGAGCUCAAGUCGAAGGCGAGGGUUUUUCUCUCGUUAGCGAGGAUCAGAAAUUGAAGACCGGCGGUUGGGGAUUGCGAGGGGAGUUCCGUUUCGCUCUUUCUCUAGCGAUUCUCACUCAGCGGAUCCCUCUCUUUGUCGGAGAUCAGACGUGAGCUCUUUUUCCAUCCUCCUCGAUCUGUUAGGGUUUUCGAUUUCUGUUCUCUAUUUGCAUCCAUUUGGGUCGUGGAUUCUGAUCUCUCUCUAUCCCUCCUUCGGACGCUCACUCGCUUAAUCAAUCCGACGCCUUCGUCGCGGAUCACGCCCUUCCGGAGCUCGAGAUACAGGUAAUCAGGUUUUUCUCUUAUCUCUCUCUCGAUCGCUCUGUCUCACGCAUGGUUCGUUACUCUCUCCCUGGUUUGAUCGCUGUCUUUUUUCUUCUCGAUCACUCUUUCUCUAUCGAUUUUGUACUUGUAUCUGUUUUUUUAGUUCCGAGGUUGUGUGUUUUCAUUAGCCUCUUCUGCCAAGUCACCUUAGCUUGUGUGUCGUUCAUGCUAAUUGCUAUGUUUGUGAUGUUCUGUUGAUGCCAUUUACUCCAUAACCUGGAAAUGUUCUCCACCUGUUUGAUAAAAUUCCUGAAUUAGACCAGUGUGUGUUUUGAUUCAGAAUAUGAUUGAGAGCUUCCCUUUGCUUGAUCGAUACACUAGUUUUGUUGUAUAGACUUUACUUGUAUUUCGUUUCCUUUCAUUUCAGAACUUAGUAACUAGCCGUUUUAGGAUUUGUUAUUGAAAUUCUUGGGUUAGAUACAUAUCUAGUGCAAAGCAAGCUGAGCAAACAGGACAUGUACAAGAAGAAAAUUGAUUGGUUUUAAUAAAAUUGGUCCCCUGCUGUUGCUGUGUUUUUUUUUUUUUUUUUUUUUUUAGAAUUCCUUGUUCUUAAUAUGGAAUGUGUUCUUUGCUAGAAAGCUGUGAGUUCAUUGGUACACUUCAAUCUGGAUUGCUUUCUAUAUUUUGCCCCUUGAUGAGCUUGUAGUUGUCAGUAAACCAAUAUGGUUGUGCGGCCAUUGGAAGAGUUUUUUUUUUUAUGCUCCUUUCUAGAAACUGCUGUCUUCUAUCGGUUGGGAAUAGCUGUUUGAAACAUGAUAGGCAAGCUACAAUUUUUUAUUUGGUUGUGUGUAUACCCAAUCGUGAUUUGUUCAUUUCUUUUUGUGCCUCUUUCGAUUUGAUUUGUGUAAAUGAGGUGUAUAUGUAAUGCAUGAAUGUUAUAUAGUCUCAAUGUAAGACAUGAAGAAUCAGCAUAAUUUGUAUCACUGUGCUUGCUGCCAUCUAUGAUUGUCUAGCUUGCCACGAAUAUACAUGUUACAUUGUGGUCACCUUGUUGUGUUUGUACCAAUGUGUGAUGAGCUGUGUUGAGAAUUGCGUCAAUUCUUUGUGUGUUUGCUGUUUUGACGUACUGCAACUUUCUGUUUUGGUUGAAACGAGGUGUUAGAUAAGUUUUUUUGACUUCGAGCCCUUCUAGACAUAUAACAUACAUUUCUAGAGCUUCGUUUUGAUAUGUCGCACGCCCUGAAUAGACAUCAUCCGGUCAUCGAAAAAUACCGACAAAGUCUGUCAAUUCUGCAGUAGUUUUUUUAGGUUGAUUUGCUGUUUUGACCUACUGCAAUUUUCUGUUUUAACCGGAACGAGCUGGAAGAUGUUGUUAUUAGGACUUAAUGUCUUCUAGAGAUUUGUAAUAGGCUUCUCAAACUUUCCAUUGACAUAUUAUAUGUGCGAUUUGGUCAUCAUUUGCCCUGCCUUUCCUUUUUUCAAAUCGAGCUUUGAAAUCUGGAAUUUGUCUUGAACUGCAAUGCUGUCUUUUCUGUGGCUAGUUGCUGUUAAUCUUAAAAUAAGAUAGUAGAUUUGUCCAAAUUGCCUUCAAUAUGUUGUAAAAUGACGGUGUGACAUGCUACUAUGAUCUAUUUUUGAUUGAUUUGUUCAUGUUCUUAAUAUUUUUAGAAAUUCAUGCGUUAGGAAUCUUGAGGUGCUUCCUUCAUGGAAUGACAUCCUUUAUCAAUUGUCUACAAAACGGUUUUAGGUAUCAUGUGGGUUACACAUUGAUUGCUCCGCUUGCCUUAAAUACAUAUGUUGAGUGAAUUCAAUGGUGCGUGUUUUGGAAUAAGUGAUCUUUAGUUGGUUCAUUCAUUGUUUUGAGUUGAUUGAGGACCAAGGUUAUAUGGCUUGAAUGUUUGUCAUGUUAUAUGCUUUGUGUGUGAUCGUUAUAUGGAUGAUUUAGGUGUAAUACAUAAUGAUGCUAAAUCUUGGGAUUUCACUUAGAAUUUGAUCUAGAAGACUUUGUGACUUUAGUCACUCUUUGUGAACAUAAAAGAAUGUCUUGCUUUUGAUUGUUUCGAUACGUGAUGAUUGUUUUUUUCAUUUGUAUGCAUCUAAUCAUCCAGAUUUUCUAUAUUAGGUUUAGAAUAGGAUCCAAAAAGUGGAGAAGAAGUGAAGAUGGUGGAGGUCGAUGUCCACUCCGACCGUUAUUCUGUAAUAUUCGUUUUUCUCCCGACAUAUGUCUCGGGUUCCUUGUGUUGUAUAAAACUCGACGAGUUGCGGGUUUUCUCUUUUUCCCUUUUUUUUUUCUUAAUUGUGUUUUCUCUUUUAUAUUUUUAGAAUUGCAUGAUUAGGUUUAUUGCUUUCUCUUGAUUGUUUACUUCAUGUCUUGCACUUUCAAUUUCAUUGAUUGUUUUCUUUUCAUUUUUUUAGAAAUAAAAUAGCAUGAAAAUGAUCAACCACGCAUGAUCACUUAGCCUAGGAAUUGAUGAUCCCGAAAAUGUAAAAAGAAACGCAUGGAUAUAUUAGGAAAAACACAACAUACUGUUUAGGUACCGAAAGGGCGCUAAUAGCAAUAUUAGCGUAAUCCAAGUCCCCGAACCUAGAUAUCUGGUUACGUAGGAAUCGAUGGAGCACUCCCGACUCUCGAUUGGGUUUCUAGUCGACCCCCGAAAAUGAGGCUAGUGGCGACUCCUGUAUAUUUUUAGGUUGUUAUAAAUACCUAGAUUAUAUAAAUAAAUCCGCUGUCACGCGGGGUACGAGCUUGGGAGAGCUUGUGAUCUUGAGAUCAAGUACCCCUAAACCCGACCUUUCCCCAUCUUGGAUACUUUUCGAGGGGGCGGCGAGAUCGGGUCGCGACAGGCUUGUGCUUGGAGGAGUCUACGUUUGUUUAUUCAUGGCUUUGCCUUUCUUAUUGUGGCAAUUUUCUGUUAUGUUCGUGCAGGUAAUGAAGAUAAUAAAUAAUUAGAUUAAAAUUUUAAUGAAGUUGCCGAUCGCUUAGUAAGAAUUGUUAUUACUUUUUGUCUAGGUGAUUUAUAUCCAUGGGAAACACAAGACGUAUGAUCACAUUUGUGGGUUCACGCAUGGUGCAAAUAAGUUGUGAGUUAGAAGAGAAGCUCGAAAAAGUACACAAUGGUGACAAGUUAUGUUAUAAUUCAAAGGUUGAACUGAUCAGCCUCAAGAAGAGAAAUGUGAAUGCAUCAGGUAAGACUUACCUACAUAUAUAUUGUACAAUUUUUCAUCAUACUAUACUGAGAUGGUCCGAGUAUUGAUAUGGUUUGAUAAUAUUAGAUCCUUCUUUUGAUAUUUAGAAUUUCUUGUCUAGUAGCUGCCUCUAGAAAAAAGGAAGCACAACUUUAUGUGUCUAUAGGGCAUAUGGAAUCUUUCUCCUGAGAAAUGCAUCACUUCAAGUUAGGGAAGAAAAUGCAGCCUAUUGGAGGUUUAAGGAGUUUCUUGGAACCAUUGCUAGCGUGUUGGCACUAUUGUUCACAACUUUGAAGCAAACUACCAAGGAUAUGAGGAUGCCAUGAUUAGGAUCGUAGAGGUAGUUAGCUUGUACUUGUAUGAAAUUUUAUUCAUGUCAUAAAUAAAUUUAUCAUCAUUAUUAAUAUUUCUUUGUUGUUGUCUAAGUUUGAUUAUCUUCAUACCAACCAUGGAAAAAUGGAUUCUACAUUCCUUAAUACUGGAAAAGUGAUCUAAAAACUGCUCAAUAUGAUAGCUUUCGAUCAUUCUCAUAUCAUUUGAAGAAUCUGUCAGAAAGAGUGAGGAGAGAUCAAUGCAAAAAUCUAGUGACUUUUUGGAGUUCAUGGGACACAUUGUUUUAAUAUAUGACCUGUCAACUUAAAUAGACUCUCAUUACCUCUUACUGACUAUUUUCUGAUAACCUUGUUUUUUUAAUUGGAGAAGCUGAGUGAAACAAAUAAGGUAAUGGAGCAAAACAAAAAAAUAUGACACACCUUAGGAAACAAAAUUUUUGCUAGAAUAAAAAUAGAAAAGGUAAGUAUUCUCAUGUUUCCCCUUAGAUUUUUGUGUUUCCCUGUAAGUGAUAUUUCCAUUGUGUAAUCAAUAAUUUCUCUUUAGAAAAGAUUCUGCUGAGGUGAUAUCUUUGGACUUAAGGUAAAGAUGUCUAGAGAUAUUUGCCACUUUUCCGACACUACGUGUGUUUAGAUAGCAGUUGUCAUAGGAAGAAAAGAUAGGAUGUGUUCUAGAAAUGCCUCCUUAAGAUUGUCUACGUUCUUAGCACGUGCAUCGAUUUCUUGUUAUUAUUCCCUUAGCUCUAUGAUUUGGAUUUGCUAGUGACAGCACAAUAAUCCACAACUUGGUUCAGGUUUAUCUAGAACACAAUGUCCAAAAUCAUUAACAAAAGAGCUAUGCAGCAGCUAGAGCUAUAAAGUAAAUUAUAAAUGAUGAAACCUGUACAAUUUUCUAUUAAUUUGCUAACGUGACUGCAGUUUGGUUUAAUGAGAGAGAUCAAAAAAUAGAAAAGUACUGUAGCCCUAAAAUACCCAAUUGCUAGCUGUGCCAUUUCACAUGCAUGCACACAUCCCCUUAAUUGUUGAAAAGCCAUUCAAUAUAGUUCAUCUAGUGUCAACAAAUGUUAUUCAGUCUUGGCAAUGACAAUAUUGCUGCUGUAAUGUUAAUCCGGGAGUGUUUAGCUUAGAGAAAAAGGACCAUAGGCGAGCCGACGAAAAUCCCAUUUCGUUUUAUUGAGACGGAUCGAAAAUUCAGGAUGUCACAAUAGGGGUAUUCCUUUGCAUGGAACAAUUGUGUGCUAUAUAUCUAAGUUGCCCGUAUAUAAAAAGGAUGAUCUACUAUCAUUUGGAGCAUCCUCAAUAUAGAACAAUCUUGUACGACACGUCUCAUUUUCCCACAUAGAAAGUAUGCCCUUAUGUUCCAGUAAUACCAACAAGUGUUAUGUUUUCCACAAGUGUUGGCCCUGAUUAUUUUGAUUUCUAGACUUCCUUGGCCUAUUAUUGGGUAGAAGUACAGUAUAAAUGUAAAAUUUUGGUAUGUAGAGACAUUUAAGUAUCAAAAGUUACACAAGGUACACAUAAGUGUCACUUUUUUUUGAAAAAUUGGACAUUUAGGGGGUGUUUGUUUGUAUUUUUUUUUGUUUAUGAACAAAAAUCCUUUUUUUUGUUUGUUCCAGAGAAUAAAAAAAGAACAAAAAUGUGUUUGUUUGCGUUUUUGUUCCAAAUCUAUUUUUUUUUGUUCCCGGGAACAAAUUUGAAACAGAAACAAGAAACAAAAAAACUUGUUUCUUGUUUCUGAAACACUUUUAAGAAACAAAUUUUCUCUCUCUUCUAUUUUUCUUCUCUUUCUUUCUUCUUCUUUUCUUUUUCUUUUUUUUUUGGCCGGUCACCGGCCUCGGCCAUGGCCGACGACCUUGCUAGAGCGUCGCCGGCCCCUAGCGAGGCUCGGCCUUGCCAGAUCCAAGAGAGCCUGAGCUCGCCCAGCCAAGGCGAGGCCGAGCCUUGCGCUGGCUAACGACACUCCGCCUUGCCUUGGUUAGGUGAGCUCGAGCUCGCCCAGAUCUGGUGCCGCCUGGAGGUGGCCCAGCGAGGCUCAGCCUCACCAAAUUUGAGCGAGCUCGAGCUCGCCCAGCCAAGGCAAGGCCAAGCCUCGCGUCAACCGGCGACGCUCGGCCUCGCCUUGGCUGGGCAAGCUCAAGCUCACCUAGAUCCGGCGAGCCUCGCCAUGGCUAGGCGAGGCCGCCAGCCCUCAUCGGCCGGUCACCGGCCAUGGCCGAGGUCGGCGACCAACUACAAGGAAGAAAUAAAGAAAAAUUAAAAAAAAUUAAAAAAUUAAAAGAAACAAAAAAAGAACACAAAUUUACCAAACAUGUUUUUGUUCUUUUUAUUUAUUUAUUCCUGGAACAAGUUUACCAAUUACGUUCUUCUGGUAAAAAAUUAUUCCCUAGAAUAGAAAUAGUUUUUUCUAUUUAUGUUUCCUAGAACAAUUUUUGAACAUAAAUGUUAUCACACGCACCUAUAAGUGCCAAUUCCGAUUAAAGAUGCUAGAAAUCCCAUAUAACAUAUUUUUUUAAUAAUAUAACUUGCCUACAUGGCUCACUGGACAGCUAAGUUAGCAAAGUAGAGCCAAAACAAUGUCAUUUUGCCCCUUAUUUGAAUUUUAAUAUGAAUAUUAAUUAAAUUAAAUUUAAAACUAAAUUUAAUAAAUAAAUAUUACAAAAAAAAACAUGGGUUUGCAACUCAGCCCUCACUGCCGCCUCCCCAUCAUUGCUGGGAAGGGCCGGCAAUGGUGGGAGGAGCGUUGCUUAGGGUCGUCGAGCCUUGGUUAGGGGAUGUAACCAGUGGCGACCCUGGCCAACUAGCAUCGAGGGCCUACAAGCCCUCACCCAAAUCUGGGGCAAGGGUCCCAACCUUCCCUCAGAUGCAGCAAAGGUCGCUAGCCCUCGCCUAGUCAAGCCAAAGGCCACCACUGGUUGGGUCACCUAACUAAGGCCUAGUGACCCUAAUCGACCCUCCCUUCACCAUCGCUAGCCCUUCUCAGCAAUGGUGAGAGGCUGCACCCUCGUUGUUCUACAAACCCAUCUUCCCCUUUUUUUUUAUAUUUAUUUAUUAUUUAUCAAAUUUAGUUUUAAAUUUAAUUUAAUAAUAUUUAUAUUAAAAUUCAAAUCCCAAGCAAAAGAACAUCGUUUUUGGCUUUUCUUUCCACGUUAGAGUGCAAAACGACAUCGUUAUACACUGAUCUCAUUGGAAAAAUGUUACGUUAAUAUUUUGACUGUAUUUUCUUGUCACUGGUACUUAGCUAAUCCAUUUUACUCCUAUUUUGGCACUUAUGUGUACCUUUCGAAACUUUUGGCACUCAAAUGUUUCCUCGUGUCAAAUUUUCGCACUCCAAGUGUCUGCGUCCCCUUAUUAUUGCCUCUCUAGUUAUUCCUGCUUUGAGUAAAAUUCCCAUUGGCAUGUUAGAGUAGUUUUAUUUAUGAAUAAACUUAGUUUAAUCGAAUCUUGUUUUGGAUAGUUAUCUACUUGCUUUUGAUAUAAAUUUCUUACCCAAUAUAUAAGAUUUUGAUUUUUUCUGCUCAAAGUAGUUUUCAUUGUUUGGUUUCCCAAUGUCAAGUGAGUGAUGCUUAUCUCUUCUUAGAUUUGGAAACCCAUGUAUUGAAACAAUUAAAAAGGAAAAGUGGUGUUUCAAGCAUAUUUGUUGCAUAAAGCUAGAUCAAGUAAUUACUAUCCGUUUGUUCAUUAGAUAUUGCAUAGUAAACCAUUUCUUAAAAUAGUUUGUGAGUUAAUUAUUUGUUAUAAGGUUUGGGAAAUGCUAUGUAAAAAGUAUUGUGCUUGAUGGAUUAAAUUAUGAAAGGCUAUAUGAUUUGUGAAUCCAAUUCAUGAAAUGGAUUCAGAAUUGGUUUUGUAGAUGGUUGGAUAAUGAGUCAGUUGUUUAUCAUAAUCACUAUGAUCUAAACCUUUACAGGGUUGAACAUAUGCAUAUUGUUCUUAAGAAUUGGUUUUGUAGAUGGUUGGAUAAUGAGUUAGUUGUUUAUCAUAAUCACUAUGAUCUAAACCUUUACGGAGUUGAACAUAUGCAUAUUGUUCUUAAGACAUGCCAUUAGGGCCAAGCCACCAGUUGUCAUUGGUGAAGGCAUACGUGACCAAAUAAACAUUGUUAAGCUACAUAAAACAACUAUUUUGUGAGAUAAUUGGAGCAAGGUUGGCAAAUCAUACAAAAAAGGAGUGCCAAACACCCUAAGUGCCAAAACUUGGCGUGGGUAAAUACUUAAGUACCAGAAUUUCUAAAAGGUACACUUAAGUACCAAAAUCAGAGAAGAAAAUAACAUUUAAGUGCCAGCGGCGAGAAUUUCCAACUAAACUAUUGAUGUGGCUCUUUCCAACAAGAUUUUUUUUUUUUUUUUUAUUGAUGUGGCAAUUCUUUUAAAAAACUUAUCCACAUGAUGCUAACAUGGCUAGAUAUGCCCAAAACGAUACUGUUUUGACUGAAAAUUUGAUUUUUAAAUUAAAAAACUAAAUUACAAAAAAAGAAAAAAAGAGGGAGGUAGUAUUCGGCGAGGGCCUCCCUAGCCCUUGCCGUCGCUGCUGCCACCCCACCAUCGUUGAAAAGGGCAAGCGAUGGUGGGAUGAGGGUUAGCCGAGGUCGCCAGACCCCAGCAAGUGGCCAACGACCUUAGUUGACUGCCAGCGAGGGCUUGUAGGCCCUCAUCCAAAUCUAAGGCGAGAGGUCGUGGGUGACCCCAUCACAGCUAAUGGUGGCCCUUAGCCCCUUUGGGCGAGGGCUAGUGAUCUCGAUCGACCUUUGCCCCACCAUUGUCGACCCUUUCCAACGAUGGUGGGGCAACCAUGGCAAGGGCUAUGGAGGCCCUCGACUCUCGUUUUUUUAAUUUAGUUUUUAAUUUAAUAUAAUUAAUAAUUAUAUUAAAAAUCAAAUUUGGGGGCAAAAAGAUGUCGUUUUACACAUUGAUUGCUAAGUAGACAACCUUUAGUGAGCCACACAGACCCAUAUUUAUUAUUAAAAUAAUGCCACAUUGGAUUUCUAGCUAUCUUCACUAGAGUAGGCAUUUAAUUGUCCAAUUUUUAAAAAUAGUUGCACUUAAGUGUACAUUUUAGAUAUCUUGGUACUUGAGUGUCCACCUGUGCCAAAUUUUUGCACUCAUAGUGUACUUUUGCCUACAAAAAAGGUUAAAAUUUUCAAAUAAUAGUAGUAAACUCAAGGCAUUGCCAAUAAAGGUAAAUAAAAAUUAGUGAAAGAUAAACAAAGGUUUUUGUCAAAGAUAGAAGAAGAUGGCAAUUUAAAAACAAAAACAAAAUAAAUAUUGGCAAGUAUCUUAAAUAAGAGGUGGUAACUUGAUUAGAAAAGCUAGUCCUUGUAAGUAAAAAUAAUUGACUAUUGAUAAGCAACUCAAAUGAGAGUUAGUAACUCAAAACUAGUUGGUAAUUUGACCCCUGAAAACUUUGUGAGGUCACGCAAACAAAGAUUGAUCAUUUCAUAUGGUAGUUGGUAAAUUUAAACCUUAAGUAAGAAAGGUAAAUAAACGUUGGUAAGUAAUUAGAGAAGCUUUUUUUGGUUAAAGAUAAGAGAAAUUGGUAAUUUAAAAGAAAAUCCCAAAUAAAUAUUGGUAGCUAACUCAAGUAGGAGUCGGUAUGCAAAAUAAGUUGGAAACUUAAUUAGUUAAAAGUAGGGAAUCGCUAAAAGUUUCUAAAAACAACCGGUAGAUUUAUAAAGUUUGUCAAGAAGGCAAACAAAAGAAGUGACUUAAUAAAAAUUUUAUAAAUAAAAAAAUAAAUGAACUUUGACAUAAGCAACUCAAAUGAGAGUUGACAACGCUAGCCACUAGGUUACUUAAUUGGAGUGACAUGUUAGUAACUAAAAAUAUAUGGUAGUUGAUAAAACAUUGGUGGUAAACAAGAGAAGUUUUUUUUUUUUAGGUCAAUCACAAGGGAAAGUUUUAAUUGAAAAUAAAAAAACAUCAAUAGCUAACUCAACUAAGUAUAUGUAAUGCAAAUUUUGUUAAUGACUUGAUUGGAUAAUGUUGAGAAUCACUACAAUUCCAAUUCCCAAUUGCAAUUUCUAAAAAGGAGUUGGUAGAUUUAACAAGUGGAUAAAGGAGGCAAAUCAAAGUUGGUAACUCAUUGAAAAAGUGGAUAAAUUUUUUAGAAAAAUAAACAUUGGUAGGCAAUUCAAAUGAAACUUAGUAAAUCAAAGCUAUUCAAUAAUCUAAUGGGAGAACAACUGUUAACUCACACAAUUAAAGGUUGGUGAAGUCAUAUAAAAGUUGAUAAAUUUAAGUCAUCCAUAAGAGAGACAAAUAAAAGUUGGUAAUAAUAAGAAAAUUUGAUAAAUUAAAGUAAGAUCAAAUAAAUAUCGGUAAGUAAUUCAAAUAAAAGCUGGAAAACCAAAACUAGUUGGUAAUUUGAUUGGAAAAAAAGUUGAUAAGUCACUCAAAUAAAUAUUAAAAGAUUCAUAUAUUUGUUGGUAAAUAUUAAUGAUUCAAAAUAAAAGUUAGUGUAAACUGCUAAAAGAGUUGGUAAUUUCAUGAAACUCUUGCUAAAUUACCAAUAAAUUACGGAAUAAUAAGGGACCGGUAGCUUAUUUCUACUUGUAUUUUUAUAUUUAUUAACUCUAUCAGAAAUCUACAAGCAAUGAACAAAAAUCAUUUUUUUAGCAAAAGAAUAGAAUUGUCCUAUUUACUUUUCAUCAUAAUUAUUUAAAAUAUAUAUACAUAACCAAAUCACUUAGUGGCUUGAGAAAUGAGAGAUUAACCCACUAAGCCAUGAGUGUUCUCAUAACUUUUAUUCUUAUCAUACGGAUACCAAUUCAAUUAUAAAUUAUUAUUUUUGUCAAUUAAGCCAUGAAUCUUGUAAAUAUCGUACUUUCAGUCAAUUUGAAUUAGAAAUUACUGACAUAGACGUUAGUUGUCUUAUGUGACACGAUUGUUGCUGACAUAGACAAUUUUUAUAAUUUUGUUAGACUUUUUGAAUUUUUUAUUUUAUAUAUUCUUUUUCUUUCUUACUUUUCCUUCUUUUUUUUCUUCUAAGUUUGAUGAGGAUCGUCGACCCUCACUUGCCAUAGAUUUGGCAAGGGCUACAAAGCCCUCCCCAAUCAUGGUCAAGGGUCGUCGGCCCUCUCUUGUGGUCGACAAGGGUCGAGUGGCCCUCAUUGAACUUGGUAAAAAAAAAUGGAAAAGAAAGAAAAAUAAUAAAAAUAAUAAUAAAUUAUAAAAAUUGUCCACAUCAUAGUGUCAACAUCAACAAUUUUCAAUUAAAAUUGGCCAAAAUGACUACAUUAGUAAAUCAUCAAAUUUUUUAGGAUUCAAUUUAUAAAAUUCAAAAACUUAAAACUAAAUUGACAUAUGUAUAAUAGGUUUAUGACUUUUUGGGUAAUUUUACUCAUUUGCUAUUGAUAAUGCUUUAAAAAGUUCAUUUAAUAUCUUAUUAAUCUUUCAGAAUGAGAAGGGAAAAAAAAAAGAAUCGAUUGGUUUUUAUUUUCCUUAAGGACAAUUAUUAUUUUUUUUUUGGUCAAUCAAACAUUAUGUAAGUCAAAUCCUUUUCAUGUAGACUCCUAGCAAGGUUUGGAUAACCAAGGAUACUGGAGUUGGCAAUUGAUUAUCUAGACCUUGCUAUAAGGCAGCCAGUCCAACAUAGUGCAUUUCACCCUCCCAUUUUCACCCUAGACGUGAAAGGCUAUUAUACCUGCCUAUCCGACAGUAGCCAGAGUGUUUCCACCCUAACGUGGUGUCUAUUUUCACAACUAAAGGGCCUCCUAAUUCCCUUCUCUAUCUUUUUCUUCCCGAAGAGGAGGGAAUAUGGGAGUGACAUUAUAGGGUCUUUCAUCUUAGGGUGAAUCUCUCGCCUAUUUCUUCCCCUUAAGUAUUUUAAGGACCUGCUUAGGUCCAAGUCUACUUUAUUUAGUAUCUUAUCAUAGUUGUUUUCUUUUCAUAAGUUCACACAUGUAUGUGUGUAUGUAUGUAUGUAUGUAUGUAUGUAUGUAUACACACGUAAUAUAUAUAAAAAUAGGUUUUCAUAAGCCUGGAAGAAUUUUAUACUAAUGGUGGUCAUCUUUAAUGAACAGGAUAAGAAAAACGCUUUAAUGUCAACACAAGAAAGAAAUUAGGAGAAACCCUUUCUUGUGCGAAGGAAAAGACGAAGAAGAAGAUAAGAAAUAAUCAAUCCAUUGUUUUAUAUUUUCCACUUACUUAUCUUAUGUUUAGUAUCCGUUGAAUUUUAGAUGUUAAUCAUUAUUAGAAUAUGAAACUAUUGAUCCAUUAUAUGACAUUCAAUCUUGCAAGAGGGACAUAGUGAUGCCACUCGAAUUUGGCUUGAAAAGGAAAUGGAUAAAGUCAAAUAAUAUUCUUCAAAUACACAUGCUAUGACUAGAAUGUGAGACAUGUUAUUUCUAACAUCGAUAUCCGAAAUAGAAUACAAGCAAGAAGCUUUUAAUAAUUAUUUAUCAUAUAUAACAUAAUUGAAUCGUCAAAACAAUAAUUCGAUUCUUUUUACUAAAUUAAUAUUGGAAAUCUAUAAAACCUAGAAAUCAAUUUCAGACAAUUGAACUUCUCAAGUCGUCUCUUGUUGAGAACAAAAGGUAUUUGUGCCAAUAUAUAAUAUGCUAAAAAAAAUAAAAUGCCUAGAACAUGGAAUUGAUCUUAAAAGUACUAUUUCUAUAUCAUGGCAGGAGAGAUAAUUAUCAAAUCAAUGCUAAAUCUAUUGUUUAAAUACUAAUUCAGUCCUAAAUAAUUUUGUCUAAUGUAAUUUUAAACCUUUGUGCAAAAUUUCGAAAUAGUUCUUUUAUCCAACUACCGCAAAAAACUGUUGAUGUCAUGCCUAGUCAUCUCCGAUCAUCCUACAUAGUAAAUGAUAGUGAUGGCUUUGCUCAAAGUAACAUCUUUUGUGGACCACAAUGUUAGCAAUUGGCCAGAAUGACUAUUUUGAAAUUUCGCACAAAGGUUUAUGUUGAUGCUCAAGUUUUUAUAGACGUUUUAAGUAUUCGCUCAUUUUAUGAGAUAUACAAAAUAAAUAUAAUAAUAAAGAAUGAGAAAAUUAAACAAAAAGUAAUGGUAAUAAAAAAAUAAAAAAGAGAUAUAAAACGAAGGAGAUAAAAAAAAAUGGUAAUAAAAUUCGGAGCCCAUAUUCCUUAGCAAAUUUCGGACCUGCCGAGCCCGCGUAACCAGCCCAUUUCUCUUAUUUCGUUUAUGUCUUUCAAACUCACUUUGCUUGGCCCAUUUUCCUUUCUUUGUUCACAUAAGCCCAUCAGAACUAAAAAGAAACAAAAAGCCCAGCCCAGCCCAGCCCAGCCCAGCUCAGCCUUUCCUCUGGCCUUGCUUCGGUAAGGAGCAGCGUGCUUGGGGAGAAGAAAAGGAGAAGCGACCGCAGCGACACAGCAGAAAGACAGGAGCGUUCGGCCAUUGUUGAGGGAGGGGAGAGCAAGGUUGGCUCUGCAAAAAAGUGACAACCAGAGGGAAGGAGGGACAGCCAAGGGAAAAGUUCACUAGAGACAUGUAGCUCGCUCGACGGAGGAGAGCUCAUUGGAAGCAGCCAAGGAGAAAGGAGAAAUCUGAGAGAAUGAGAGAGUGCCGCGGGUUUCGAUCUCAGAGAUGAACUCAAGAUGGGUUCGACGAGAUCGAAUCUGGCGGAGUCGUCGACUGCAGGGAGGAUGAAGUCAGAGUUGAUGGCGAGGUGAGCGAUGAUGUCACCGGCGAGAGGAUGGAGUUAGAGUUGACGGCAAGGAUGGACAGCUUCAGAGUCGACGGCGCUAGGGUUUUUGGUUGAAGCGUUGAGGAGAAGGAACGCCCCCAUCUGGUGAACGAAGAAGAUGCCCAAAUUGGAGAAAAGAAGAAACGAUUUCUAUUCAUAUUUCAGAAACUGAGAAGUUACAAUUUUUAGCUUCUGAUUUCUCCUCCAAAUCAAUUUCUGGAAUAGAAAUCUAUUUUAGAAAUAAAGAAAUCAAAUUGCAUUACCAAAGGGAUUUCUGUUCCAAACUUGUUCCGGGGAACAGAGAAAUAGAGAAAUCAAGAAACAGAAAUUUAUUAUGUGCAGCCUUAAGUACCAAAAUCAGAGAAGAAAUGAACAUUUAAGUGGCAAUGGCGAGAAUUUCCAACUAAACUGUUGAUGUGGCUCUUUCCGGCAAGAUUUUUUUAUUGAUGUGGCAAUUCUUAUAAAAAAUUUAUCCACAUGAUGCUAACUUGGCUAGAUAUGCCCAAAACGAUGUUGUUUUAACUCCAAAUUUGAUUUUUAAAUUAAAAAACUAAAUUACAAAAAAUGAAAAAAAAAAAGAGGGAGGCAGCAUUUGGCGAGGGCCUCCCUAGCCCUUGUUGUCGCCGCCGCCACCUCACCAUCGCAAAAAAGGGCCAACGACGAUGGGAUGACGGUUAGCCAAGGUCGCCAAACCCAAGCAAGUGACCAACGACCUUAGUUGACUACCAACGAGGGCUUGUAGGCCCCGUCCAAAUCUGGGGUGAGAGGUCGUGGGUGAUCCCAUCACAGCUAACAGGGCCCUUAGCCCCUUUGGGCGAGGGCCAGUGACCCCGACUAACCUUUGCCCCACCGUUGUCAACCCUUUUUGACAAUGGUGGGGCAACCAUGGCAAGGGCUAUGGAGGCCCUCGAUGAAUGCUACCUCUCUCCUUUUUUUAAUUUAGUUUUUAAAUAUAAUAUAAUUAAUAAUUAUAUUACAAAUCAAAUUUGGGGGCAAAAAGAUGUCGUUUUGCACAUUGAUUGCUAAGUAGACAACUCUAGUGAGCCAUAUAGACUAUAUUUAUUAUUAAAAUAAUGCCACAUUGGAUUUCUAGCUAUCUUCACUAGAGGAGGCAUUUAAUUGUCCAAUUUUCAAAAAUAGUUGCACUUAAGUGUACAUUUUAGAUAUCUUGGUACUUGAGUAUCCACCUGUGCCAAAUUUUCGCACUCGUAGUGUACUUUUGCCUACAAAAAAGUUUAAAAUUUUCAAAUAAUAGUAGUAAACUCAAGGCGUUGCCAAGAAAGGUAAAUAAAAAUUAGUAAAAGAUAAACAAAGGUUUUUGUCAAAGAUAGAAGAAGAUGGCAAUUUAAAAACAAAAACAAAAUAAAUAUUGGCAAGUAUCUUAAAAAAGAGGUGGUAACUUGAUUGGAAAUAUGCCAGUAAUCACUCUAAUGAAGUUGGCAAUUUCAAAAAAAGAGUUGGUAAAUUGAAAAUGUUAGUGAGUGAGGCCAAUAAAAGUGGUAACUCAAUAGAAAAGCUAGUCCAUGUAAGUAAAAAUAAUUAACUAUUGAGAAGCAACUCAGACAAGAGUUAAACUCAAAACUAGUUGGUAAUUUAAACCCCGUAACUUUGUGAGGUCACGCAAACAAAGAUUGAUAAUUUCAUAUAGUAGUUAGUAAAUUUAAACCUUUAGUAAGAAAGGUAAAUAAAAGAUGGUAAGUAAUUAGAGAAGCUUUUUUUAGUUAAAGAUAAGAGAAGUUGGUAAUUUAAAAGAAAAUCCCAAAUAAACAUUGGUAGCUAACUCAAGUAGGUUAGUUAAAAGUAGGGAAUCGCUAAAAGUUUCUAAAAACAACCGGUAGAUUUAUAAAGUUUGUUAAGAAGGCAAACAAAAGAAGUGACUUAAUAAAAAUUUUAUAAAUAAAAAAUAAAUGAACUUUGAUAUAAGCAACUUCAAUGAGAGUUGGCAACGCUAGCCACUAGGUUACUUAAUUGGAGUGACAUGUUAGUAACUAAAAAUAUAUGGUAAUUGAUAAAACAUUGGUGGUAAACAGGAGAAGUUUUUUUUUUUUUUUAAUUUUUUUUGGUCAAUCACAAGGGAAAGUUUUAAUUGAAAAUAAACAAACAUCAAUAGCUAACUCAACUAAGUAUAUAUACUGCAAAUUUUGUUAAUGACUUGAUUGGAUAAUGUUGAGAAUCACUCCAAUUCCAAUUCCCAUUAGUAAUUUCUGAAAAAGGAGUUGGUAGAUUUAACAAGUGGAUAAAGGAGGCAAAUCAAAGUUGGUAACUCAUUGAAAAAGUGGAUAAUUUUUUUAGAAAAUUAAACAUUGGUAGGCAAUUCAAAUGAAACUUAGUAAAUCAAAGCUAUUCAAUAAUCUAAUGGGAGAACAACUGUUAACUCACACAAUUGAAGGUUGGUGAAGUCAUAUAAAAGUUGAUAAAUUUAAGUCAUCUAUAAGAGAGACAAAUAAACUUUGGUAAUAAUAAGAAAAUCUGAUAAAUUAAAGUAAGAUCAAAUAAAUAUUGGUAAGUAAUUCAAAUGAAAGAUGGAAAACCAAAACUAGUUGGUAAUUUGAUCGAAAAAAAAAGUUAAUAAGUCACUCAAAUAAAUAUUAAAAGAUUCAUAUAUUUGUUGGUAAAUAUUAACGAUCCAAACAAAAAGUUAGUGUAAACUGUUAAAAAGAGUUGGUAAUUUCAUGAAACUCUUGCUAAAUUACCAAUAAGUUACAUAAUAACAAGGGACUGGUAGCUUAUUCUACUUGUAUUUUUAUAUUCAUUAACUCUAUCAGAAAUCUACAAGCAAUGAACAAAAAUCAUUUUUUUAGCAGAACAAUAGAAUUGUCCUAAUUUACUUUUCAUCAUAAUUAUUUAAAAUAUAUAUAUACAUAACCAAAUCACUUAGUGGCUUGAGAAAUAAGAGGUUAACCCACUAAGCCAUGAGUAUUCUCAUAACUUGUAUUCCUAUUAUAAGGAUACCAAUUCAAUUAUAAAUCGUUUAUUUUUGUCAAUUAAGUCAUGAAUCUUGCCAAUAUCGUACUUUCAGUCAAUUUGAAUUAGAAAUUACUGACAUAGAUAUUGGUUGUCUUAUGUGACACGAUUGUCGCUGAUGUAGACAAUUUUAUAAUUUUGUUAGACUUUUUGAAUUUUUUUUAUUUUAUAUAUUCUUUUUCUUUCUUACUUUUCCUCUUUUUUUUCUUCUAAGUCCGAUGAGGGUCGUCGACUCUCACUUGCCAUAGAUCUAGCGAGGGCUACGAAGCCCUCCCCAAUCAUGGUCAAGGGUUGUUGGCCCUUGCUUGUGGUCAACGAGGGUUGAGUGGCCCUCAUAGUACUCGGUACAAAAAAAAAAAAAAGGAAAAGAAAGAAAGAAAAUAAAAAAAAAAUAAUAAAUUAUAAAAAUUGUCCACAUCAUAGUGUCAACAUCAACAAUUUUCAAUUAAAAUUGGCCAAAAUGACAACAUUAGUAAAUCAUCAAAAGUUUUAGGAUUCAAUUUACAAAAUUCAAAAGCUUAAAACUAAAUUGACAUAUGUACAAUAUGUUUAUGACAUUUUGGGUAAUUUUACUCAUUUACUAUUGAUAAUGCUUUGAAAAGUUCAUUUAAUAUCUUAUUAAUCUUUCAGAAUGAGAACGGAAAAAAAGAAGAAGAAUCGAUUGGUUUUAUUUUCCUUAAGGAUAGUUAAUUUUUUUUUUUGGUCAAUCAAACAUUAUGUAAAUCAAAUCAUUUUCAUGUAGACUCCUAGCAAGGUUUAGAUAACCAGGGAUAUUGGAGUUGGCAAUUGAUUAUCUAGACCUUGUUGUAAGGCAACCAGUCCAACAGAGUGCAUUUCACCCUCCCAUUUUCACCCAAGAGGUGAAAGGCGAUUAUACCUGCUUAUCUGACAGUAGCCAGAGUGUUUCCACCAUGAUGUGGAGUCUAUUUUCACAACUAAAGGGUCUCCUAAUACCCCUCUCUAUCUUUUUCUUCCCGAAGAGGAGGGAAUAUGGGAGUGAUAUUAUGGGGUCUUUCAUCUUAGGGUGAAUCUCUCGCCUAUUUCUUCCCCUUAAGUAUUUUAAGGACCCGCUUAGGUCCAAGUCUACUCUAUUUAGUAUCUCAUCAAAGUUGUUUUCUUUUCAUAAGUUCACGAGAAUAGAAUAUAUAUAAACAUUUAUGUAUGUAUGUAUGUAUGUAUGUAUGUAUGUAUGUAUGUAUGUAUGCACACGUAAUAUAUAUAAAAAUGGGUUUUCAUAAGCCUGGAAGAAUUUUAUACUAACGGUGGUCAUCUUUAAUGAACAGGAUAAGAAAAACGCUUUAAUGUCAACACAAGAAAGAAAUGAGGAGAAACCCUUUCUUGUGAGAAGGAAAAGACGAAGAAGAAGAUAAGAAUAAUCAAUCCAUUGCUUUCUAAUUUCCACUUACUUAUCUUAUGUUUAGUAUCCACUGAAUUUUAGAUGUUACUCAUUAUUAGAAUAUAAAACUAUUGAUCCAUUAUAUGACAUUUCAAUCUUGCAAGAGGGACAUAGUGAUGCCACUCAAAUUUGGCUUGAAAAAGAAAUGGAUAAAGUCAAAUAAUAUUCUUCAAAUACACAUGCUAUGACUAGAAUGUGAGACAUGUUAUUUCUAACAUCGAUAUCCGAAAUAGAAUACAAGCAAGAAGCUUUUAAUAAUUAUUUAUCAUAUAAAAAAUAAUUGAAUCGUCAAAACAAUAAUUCGAUUCUUUUUACUAAAUUAAUAUUGGAAAUCUAUAAAACCUAGAAAUCAAUUUCAGACAAUUGAACUUCUCAAGUUGUCUCUUGUUGAGAACAAAAGGUAUUUGUGCCAAAAUAUUAUAUGCUAAGAAAAAAAGAAAAUGCCUAGAACAUGGAAUUGAUCUUAAAGUACUAUUUCUAUAUCAUGGCAGGAGAUAUAAUUAUCAAAUCAAUGUUAAAUCUAUUGUAUAAAUACUAAUUUAGUCCUAAUUUAUUUAUUUAUUUUGCCAAUGUAAUUUUAAACCUUUGUGCGAAAUUUUGAAAUAGUUCUUCUGUCCAACUGCCGCCGAAAACUAUUGACGUCACACCUAGUCAUAUCCGGUCAUCCUACAUAGUAAAUGAUAGUGACGACUUUGCUCAAACAACAUCUUAUGUGGCAAUUGGCCAAAAGGCACUAUUUUGAAACUUUGCACAAAAGUUUAUGUUGACACUCGAAUUUUUAUAGAUGUUUUAAGUAUUCACUCAAUUUACAAGAUAUAAAAAAUAAAUAUAAUAAUAAGAAAACAAGAAAAUUAAACAAAAAGUAAUGGUAAUAAAAAAUAAAAAAGAGAUAUAAAACGAAGGAGACAAAAAAAAAUGGUAAUAAAAUUCGGAGCCCAUAUUCCUUAGCAAAUUUCGGACCUGCCGAGCCCGCGUAACCAGCCAAUUUCUCUUAUUUCGUUUAUGUCUUUCAAACUCACUUUCCUUGGUUCUUUCUUUGGUCACAUAAGCCCAUCAGAACUAAAAAGAAACAAAAAGCCCAGCCCAGCCUAGCCCAGCCCAGCCCAGCCUUUCCUCUGGCCUUGCUUCGGUAAGGACCAGCGUGCUUGGGGAGAAGAAAAGGAGAAGCGACCGCGGCGACACAGCAGAAAGACGGGAGCGUUCGGCCAUUGUUGAGGGAGGGGAGAGCAAGGAAGGUUCUGCAAAAAAGUGACAACCAGAGGGAAGGAGGGACAGCCAGGGGAAAAGUUCACUAGAGACGUGUAGCUCGCUCGACGGAGGACAGCUCGCUGGAAGCAGCCAAGGAGAAAGGAGAAAUCUGAGAGAACGAGAGAGUGCAUCCCGUUUAGGAGCGACGGAAAACCGCAUCGCCGGAGCUCGCCGUCGAUUUUCAGAGCUCCGGUCAAAGGCCAAUCCGCGAGUUGUUCUUCACAGUUGCUCUAACCAGACGAUCUUCAUCGUCGUCAAUCGAGACCUCGAUCCGCCAAACAAACCGGGAACAAUCUCGCUCCAAACGCUCUUCUCUGUCUCAGUUUUGGCCGAGAAAGAAAUGCUCGACUCGAUCGAUUUUCUUGAAAGAAUCUUUGAUAAAACGAAUUUUUGUAUUGUUGCUAAAAAUGGUGUUUUAAGUCUGUACGUAACGUGUGAAGCUGAGGAUCUCGUUAAAAUCAAAAUCAGAGAACUGUUGAAAGAUCUGCAUAUUGCACGUUUGAUCAAAAUGCCUAACAGAGGGCCGAAAGUUCAAUCACGUUUAAACUCAAGAUCGAUUCGUACUUGCUGCGUCAUUUGUUGAAUCAUGUCUAAUACUAGCAUUUUCUCUGUGUUUCUAUGCGAUUUGAUGAAAAAUCUUUGCUCGAGUCCAACGUGCAUGCAUAUAUCUCCAAUGCUGGAAAGCUUUCCGUCGGAGAAUUCCAUCGCACCCAGCGAAGUCAGCGUUUCAAGGGCAUAUUAGUUAAGCCCAUCUCGCUUCAUUCUAAUGUAAGUUUUCUUGUGAACUUGCUGGGGUUGCUGCUGUUAAAAAAGUGGAUUCGGUAGGAUGGUUUUUGUUAAGUUUUCGGAUAGAUGGAGUGGGCAGCCGGAGGUGGUCAAAGUGGGUCGGAAUAGACGAUCGGCGGUCGGAGAUAGGUCGGCGGUGAUCUAAGCUUUCGUGAUAAACUCGUCGGUGAUGAUAUUUGUUUCGUUAAAAAGGAAUAUAAAAAAAAAAAAAAAAUUUGGCCGCGAAAGGUGGAGUUGCAGGUUGAAGAUGGUGUUCGGGUAGAGGAUGUCGAGAGAGGAAGGGAGAAAUGCAGGCAGAACGAGACAAAAACAGGAAAAGACAAAAACAAAUUAAAUAAAAAAAGGCAAAUCAAUUAAAAAAUUCAAAAGAAUAUUAGAAAUCGGUUUUAAUCCGACGCGGGUCGGAUCCGGCUAUACGGCUCGGGUCAUAGAUUCGGAUCGGAUUAACGGUCCGAACCCAUUCGCUGAAUAGAAUAAAAUAAAAUAAAAUAAACAAAUUCUGAAAAAAUUCUAAAAAAAUUCAUAAAAGAUAUAAAAAUCCUAAAAAUCAAUAAACAAUAGGAAAUUCGAAGAUAUAGAAAAAUUCCGAAAAUUUUUAAAAGUUAUUGUUAUAAAAAAUCGAAGAAUAGAAAAUUCUUAAAUAACAAUAAAAAUAAAAAAGUUCAGAAAAAUUCCAAAAAUAUUUAAAGAUUCAAAAAAAAAAAUUCCACAUACAUAGAUUUUUAAUCUCGAAAAUAAAUAAAAUAAAUAAAUAAAUAUUAAAAAUUCAGAAAAAUCAUUAAAAAUUCAUAAAAUUCUAGAAAAUGAGAAAAAAUUCAGAAAAAUUUGCAAAUUAUUUAAAAAAUUAAAAUAUAAAAUUAGACAACCCUUUAGCACUUUACAAUAGGAUUUUUAUUUUGAAUUUCCCAACAAAUUUAUGAUUCUUGGUGUACUUAUGCUUUGGAUAUUCUAUUUUUAUUGUAAAUAUCGCAAAUUAUAAAAUUCUAAUUGUUGGUAUAAUAGAGAUAUUUAAAUUUUUUUCUGAUUUUCUAUAUUUAUUUUGGUUAUCUAUAUCUAAUUAGAUUUUUUUUAUCUCCUUAAUUAUUCAACUACUCUUUUUUAGAACAUCGAAAUUUACAUAAACUUCAUAUUAAUCUCUUCCGCAUCAUUAUUCUUAACUUAAAAAAAAAAACAAAACUCUAAAGUUUUUUCACCACAAACCGUUCAGCUUCUCUCUAACAUUUUCUCUCUUCAUCACUCACAUCGUUCACUGUAAGCUCAAGCUCAAAUGCUCUCUCUCCGUUCAUCUUUGCUUUCACCAAUGCCUGUGCCCAGUGAGUGACUCGCUGACUGUGGUUCGUCUCUGUUCAUUGGUGGUGUCAUUUACUAUGGUUUUUUCUAUGUUCUUUUCUUCUUUUUGGUUUGGCUUUUUUAUAACUAGGAAUUGGAGUGAUUUAGGUUCAUGACUCGUGAAUCAACUCGAUAUCCGUAAAAUGUAUUUGCUGAUUGUCAAUUGUGAUGUGAACCCGUUUGUUCUGAUUUGCUUUCCAUUGAUUCUUGCAUUUUUUCCUUGCCUUGGUUCCUUUUCUUUUUCUUGGUUUGCAAGUUUUAACAUCUGUUAUUUUACUGAUAGAUUCUAGUUUCCUACUUGAAUUAUGAGGUUUUACCCUGCUUUGUCUUCUUUCCAAUUCGUGUAGUAUACGUGAUUUGAGUUCCAAUUGCUGUUCAUACUAUGCCUCAGUCCCAUUGUUUAAUGUCCUAAGGAUUCAUUCCGAGUGAGGUUUUGAACUUCUAAGAGCUCUUUCUUUAGGAUUCCGUGUUGGGUUUCUCUUGGAGGGGUUUAAGUCUAUUUAUUCAUGGCUUUGCCUCUCUUAUUGUGGCCAUUUUCUGUUAUAUUUACGAUCUUAUUGGAUAUUCGUGUGACCUUUGCCUCCAGCAGAUGAAGAUAAUAGAUGAGCAUUUUAAUCGAGUUGUGAUCUCUUACUAAGAAUUGUUAAUAUUUUUUGUCUUGGUGAUUUUUAUCCAUGGGAAACACAAGACGCAUGGUCAUAUGCGUGGGUCCACGCGUAGUGCAGAUAAGUUGUGAAUUAGAAGAGAAGGUUGAAAAAUCACACAUGGGUGUUGAGCUACGUUCUAAUUCAGAGACUGAAACUAAGCAGCCUCAAGAAUAGACUACAAAUGUGAAUGCAUCAGGUAAGACCUACCUACAUAUAUUUUGUGUAAUUUUUCAUCAUACUAUACUAAAAUGGUCAGUGUAUUGAUCUCGUUUCAUAAUAUUAGAUAUGUCUUUCAAUAUUUAGAAUUUCUUGUCUAGUAGUUGCCACUAGAAAAAGGAAGCGCACCUUUAUGUGUCUAUCGGGCAUAUGGAAUCUUCCUCCUGGGAAACACGUUAUUGUCAAGUUAGGGAAGAAAAUGCAGCCCAUUGGAGGUUUGGGGAGUUUCUCAGAACCAUUGGUAGCGAAUUGGCACCAUUGUUUACAACUUGAAACGAAUUACCAUGGAUAUGAGAAACAUUAUGAUUAAGAUUGUAGAGAUCGUUAGGUUGUACUCAUAUGAAAUCCCAUUCAUGUUGUAAAUAAAUUUAACACGAUUAUUAAUAUUUCUUUGUUGUAGUCUACGCUUGAUUAUCUUCAUACCAGCUAUGGAAAAAUGGAUUCUACAUUCCUUGAAUUCUAAAUGGAGAUAUUGGAAAAGUGAUCUAAAAGCUGCUCGCUAUUAUAGCUCUCAAUCUUUAUCGUAUCAUUUGAAGAAUCUUUUGGAGAGAUUGAGAAGAGAUAGAUGGAAAAAUCUCGUCACUUUUUGAAGUUCAAAGGAAGGGAAGGUAUGAAUCUCGUUCCAGCAUUGUUUUAAUAUGACCGGUCAACAUUAAGUAGACUUUCAUCGCCCAUUAUUGACCAUUUUGUGAUGAACUUAUUAUUAUUAUUAUUUUUUUUUAUCGCAGAAGCUGAGCGAUGCAAAUAAGGCUGAUAGAGCAAAACAAAAGAUACAACACACCUUAGGGAAUAAAAGUUUGUCUAGAAUAACUGCAGCAAAGGUACUCUCAUGUUUUCCGUUAAAUUUUUGUGUUUCCCUAUAAGUGAUAUUUCCAUUUUGUAAUCAAUAACUUUUCUUUAAAAAUAUUCUGCUGUGGUGAUAUAUCAUUGGACCUAAGGUAAAGAUGUCCCGAGAUUUGUGACUUUUCCAACAAUAUGCGUUUUAAUAGUAGUUGUCGUAGGAAGAAAACAUAGGAUUUGUUCUAGAUUGCCUCCUUAAGAUUGUCCACGUUCUUAGCACCUGCAUUGAUAUCUUGUUAUUAUUCCCUUAGCUUUGUGAUUUGGAUUUGCUGGUGACAGCACAAUCAUCCACAACUUGCUUCAGGUUUAUCUAGAACGCAUAGUCCGCCAUCGUUAACAAAAGAGCUAUGCAGUAGCCAGAGCUGUAAAUUAACUUAUAGAUUAUGAAACCUAUACAAGUUUCUAUUAAUUUGCUAACAUGACUGCACUUUGUAUAUGAGAGUGAACGAAAAAACAGAAAACUACUGCAGCCCUAGAAUACCCAAUUACUAGCUGUGCCAUGUCACAUGUAUGCACACGUCCCCACAAUUGUUGAAAAGCCAUUCAAUAUAGUUCAUCUAGUGUUAACAAAUGUUAUGCAGUCUUGGCAAUGACAAUAUUGCUGCUGCAAUUUAUUAGGAAUUUAUACAGUUAUCUGAGCAGAAGAUGAAUGGACCAAGAAAAGAGGGUAGGCUGGAAUAAAUAGUAUAAAAUUAAAACCAAAAGUCUAACUUCCUAGUGUGUGUUUUCAUAUGGUUUUGGUAGAUGACAAGCCAUAUAACAAUCCGCAAGAAACACCUAUAAAAAUAAAGAAUGAGAUUACUUUUCAAUUUGAUAUCUCUGGACAUCUUUUCUUGUUUUACAGGAAAGUCAGUUAUGCUGACUAACCAAGUUCUGGCACAUGAUAGGAAGCAGAGUUAAGAAUUCAGCUUAAAAUUACUCGACAAUAAAUAGUAACAUCAUUAUUUUAUUUUAUGUUACCGAAUUGCAAGGAAGCAUGAAUGAUCUCAUAGAUCUAUAUUUGGAACUUGGAAAGAGCAAUCCCCCCAUGAAAUACUGUUUUUCUAGUGUUGGGAAAAAAGAAACCUGGUGUAUCUGAUGCUAGGGCAUAGUCCAUGCCUGAAUGAUUUGGGGCCUCAAAAUCUAGUUGUCUUCCAACCGAGAACUUAAGGUCAAAGAAAAAGAAGGAUGAAGAGAUUCACAUUUUGAAGAAAUAUAGUUGUCUUCCAUCCGAGAAAUGAAGGUCAGACAAUGAGAAAGAUGAAGAGAUUCACAAGUUGAAGGGAAUACUGAAAGCAACAAAAGAGCAAUUACAAAAGACAAAAUGGAGACGUGCAAGAGUUACGGGCUCAAAAAGAUGUCUACUAUUAUACAAAAUUGUUAGCAUGCGGCAGACUCAAAGUGGUAUCACGAGAUCUAGAUGAGGUAGUAUGUCAUGAGCCAUGAGGUGUGACUAAUUUCAUUGAAUGUUAAAAUAGUGAAAGGUGUUUUAUUUACUAAAUACUGAGUGACCUAGAUAUUGGACACUAAGGGGGUUUUAAAGGGAAUAUAGGUGGGAUAGACUUGAAACAUGAGUAUGGUAUCGGGAUCGCUUCAAUGGAGCUUGGAAGUGGAAUACAAAUUUAGCAUAUUGUUACUAUGUUUUUUUUUUUUUUUUUUUUUUUUUUUUUUUUUUUUUUUGCUGUGACUAAAUCAUGUUUUGGGUUUACUUCUCUUGCAUCAUGCCUUGUCCUUUUUGCUAAUUUUGAAGUACACAAGUGAUUGCCCUUAUCAGUCACUGCUGGGUGUUGCUCCUUUUUUUUUUUAAGGUCACUUCUGAGCUCUUUUGUCCUUCUCUGUAUAGAUCCUGGGGUGUUAUAGCAUCUUUUAUAUUGAAGAGAAGUUGAAAUGUUGCCUGUUUUGGCACUUGAGAGUGGUUGAGGGACACGGUCAAAUGCUUGGAAAUGGUCUAUGUUGAUGAAUGGGUUUAUCAGAUGACCUAAUACCAUAUGUUGAUGAACCUUACGCUACUCUAUUUUUGGCCCUCAAUGCAUUUCUUCUUCUUCUUGCUCUUAAAGGUUAGGCUUCUAUUUUCAUAAUCAAACUUCUCGAGUUUGCUGGGUUACAGCAAUGAUUGUGAUUUGUGAACUGGUUUACAGCCAUUCAAUAUUGGUUGUAGUGUUUAUAAGAUGCUUUGGCCACUCACAACUAUGUUUUUUGCAAUGAAGUGAAUGGAGCUCCUUUGUUCACGUCUCUGCAUUUUUUUCAAGUGACAGGAAAUGUGGCUUAUCAUGUCUUGCUCAUUCUGUUUUAACAAAUAAGCUUCUCUACGUUUUGAUAUGCUUUACAGAUUAGUUAUGAGCUCCUACGUUCAUUUAUUUUAUUACUUUCUGUGAUCUAAGCUUCCUCUACAUCCUUCUCCAAUCCAAAUUAUUGAAGGUUUAAUUGUGCGAUGUUCAACUAGCGAUCACUCUCAUGAUAGCUUGUGCUGAUUUCACACCCAUUAUGCUUAAUCCUCUUUCCUGCACUCAUUUGCUUUGCUGGAUGAUGACCAUCAUAACCCACAAUAGAGAUCUCCAAAAAUCAGUUUAUGCUCUCCAUUGUCGAGUCAUGAGCCACACUCUAAAAGAUGGGGUUGGUGUUACCUCCAAAGGUACAGUGAUCAUUGUAGAGCCCGCAUUCUAUUUAUUUUUUGUUAUAAAUGUCUUAGGUCUAGUAAAAAAAGAACAAAACAGCUUCUUGUGCCCGUUGUUGAAGAAAGCUCAUUAAAGAACUAGUAUAGUUCCCGCAUCUUCAAGAUAUGAUGAGGCUAGAAAAGAUUUUAUAGCGAUGAUAGGACCUCUUUCAUGUGCAGUCGAACAUUAUGUCCGAGCUAUAGCUGAAAUUGCUUUAGAAUGCGAAAAAGGAAAACACAGCAACAUAGUGUUUUUGUUGCAGUGAUUCUCUCUUGGACAUAGGGUGUCUAUCUCUCCCUCUCUGAACCUACCUUGUUUAAUUAUUCCUUUCUUGCAUUGGAAUAGUACAAAGAGCAAUCUAGAGAGUCCAAUAACUUAUGGAUGUCGGUGAAAAAUUGACCAUUGUCCUUCAGUACAUCUAGACAAUUUUUGGAUUGCGCCAAAAAGGCGAAAGCCCAUGCUUGAGAAGUUUUCGCCUUUUUGUUGUGAUUUGUGUAACGUGAUCAAAUGGAUGAUUCAGGGGUUUCAUGGCUGUUGCGUGACGGCUAAGCAAGUUGAGCGUCAUAACUCCUGAGCACGUCAAUUUGUUGUUUUUUGAAUCUUAUGACUUUGAUAAGUUAAUAGAUUUAGCUUUGAGAAGAUUUUGGAAUAAAGUACUCAACGGAGACGAGGAUUUCGCAUUAUUCAUCCGUUGAUGUUUCUUGGGUGGAUAUGUGAUGCGUUGUCCUGAAGGAUGUUGAGGACAUGAGGCGAUUCUCUUGUUCCGUUUCCGAUUAUUAGCAAAGCCAACAUCUUGGGAAUCAUCUAUAGCAUAAGAGCUAAAAACAAAGAUAAAAGUAAAUAGGCGUGCGCUAUGCAAACGCAACAGACCUGAAAGAGUUUGUCAUAUACAUUUAUUAGUCAACCUUUAUAAUGCAAUAUUUGCUUGUGGUUAUCUAACUAAUUUCGAUGACAUGUUACAGGUGUCAAAUGUUGUAGGUGUCAAAUUUUGUAAUACUACAUUCAUGUGGCUUGCAUGUUGUGUUAAUAAUUUAAAGGAUGUUAGAAAAAUGAAAGCAUGAUAUUACUUUUUUUUAAUUUUUUUAUGAGAACUAGAGAUGGAGUUCAAGUUUCACAUUGUGGUUUAGUUUCUUAGUUAUCAAUAAUUGAGUAGAAUCAACUUUAAUCUUGGACGCAUAUGCUAUAUAGAGUUGAGCUUGAGCAUGGGAUUGAGAAACAAAGUUUUGGCAUACUAACAGUACAAUAUCAAACCAUCAAUUUGAACUUAAACUUUGUAUCAACAAACUACUUCAAAUGAAUUUAUAGCUUGACUGCAAUUUUAUAGCUUUUUUUCCCCAAAUGAAGUACGUUUUCUUAGACACUUUUAGUUCAUUGACCAACUAAAUAAUAUGCUACGACAUUCCUUGCAUGCCGACAAGAAUGAUGCUAGUGGUCUUCAAAACUUCACCAAGCCUCUCCAACGUAUACAAGUCCCGUGAGAGCUUGAUUCCUGAAAAAUAUAAUCACCAUCAAUCUUUCGAGAAAAUUUCAAAAUAAAAUUAAGAUAAUCAAACUAUGUAGUCAAAUCAACCAAAAAUACAUGUGAACUUAUUUUUACUGUGUUUAAUAUAUUUGUCAAUGUAUACUAUUUAUAACAAAUAUAUAGAAGAUGUUAACUGCAUUCAUUGAGACUGAAAUACUCGAAAGGAUGCUGAUGAAAGUAAAAAAUAAUUGCAUUCAUUGAGAUUGAAAUAUUAGAAAUGAUCUAUAUAUAAUAGAAAAUGAUAUCAUGUGAAAAGAUACAUAAAUCUGGUGAGAUUCGUAUUGCGAUUAAAGGAAUGGGAUUAUAUGUGCAGAUUUAAUAUAUCACAUAAGUUUAUUUCUUGCACCACCAAAUGCAAACAAUUUAAUACUAAGCCAUUCACCCAAUCUUUGGCUUGUACCCUACUUGGUCCAUGAGAUUAGUAAGGUAUGAUAUGGGCUUGACAUCUUAUCUGCACAAGAUAAGUUUCUUGGAAGGAGAAACAAUAUCUUAUUACCAGAAAAUGGCCAGUUUAUUUAUAAAUCAAGUAGAUAAAGCCCCCUCCUCCUUUCCCCCCUUUCUAUCUAGUGCACUUAUGGAAGUAGGUCAAUGAAAUUUCAUUUAUGUGAAUUAACAUACGCAUAAAUACACUUUUUUUGUUUUUUUUAACGACUUUUAUGAAAACUGGUUUUGUUCUCAAUCUAGCUAAAUUAAGAAAUUUUUAUGUUCACAAUCGACUAAAUUAUAGUAGAAGAUAAAACUAAGACUCAACCUAGGCAUCAAAAGUUUAAUGAGUAGCAGAAAUAGACACUGUACCUGACAUGAAUCCUUCAUGACUAAAAGAAUGAAUUCCUAGAAGAUCGACUUCUUUAACUCCUAUUUGAAGUGGCUUUUAAUCGAAUGUAAAAAAUGGGGAAGGACACAGAAAUACAUCAUCCACCAAUUAAUAAAGUAUUUUAGGUCUAAAGUUUGAGAGUGAAAGGAGAUGUGACAAGUUUUUCCGACCUGCCUAUAUCUCCUUUCCUUCUUCGUUCAUUCUACUGGUAAGCGGCUGCUAUUCUUCGGUCACUCCUGGUGAGCAUCCGGUGCUGUGGGUAUCCUUCCAUUGGCUUCAUGAUCUCUAAUUGCAAUCAUCAUCAUCGUGUUAUCCACUGUUUUUUUAGCUCCAGUUCUGAUUUGCUUCAUAUAUCAUGAGACUAAACUAACGACACAAAAAAGAAAACCUGUCUUUCAUGGGCAGUUACAUAUCUCGCUCUGCAGCUCCUUGGCGAGGUUUGCAUGUCUGUGUUCCUCUUAUGUUCUUGUCUUUUGGUAGUCACUGAUGUAGCAUUUGGCGAGCUCUUCUAAUAGAUUCUCUCUCUUUCACGCGUGCAUAAUGCGGCCCACUAAGGAAUAGAAGUCCAAGAAUGUAAACAGAAUAAGAAACAUAAUUCAAAUUGUUCGCAGGAUGUGAAGGUUCUGGGAUGAAUAUUCUCUUCGUAGCAUUAUAAUAUUCCAAAAAGGGAGUUAAACCUCACCUUCGCAUGACUUGGGUUGUAACGUGGCCAAAACCUUGCACUUAAAUGUCACCAAUUUCUUCGAUGCUCUUGUGAUCAGGCUAUACAUGGUAAUGUCUGUGAAUUCAUUAUUCUUCUUGCAACAACAAAGUCCACUUCUUUUUAUACAGAUGCUGUUCUUUUUGCUUUGCAUUGUCUAUGUUAUAGUGAAGAAGCUCCUAGCAGAAUCCUGAUAUAACCGCGAUAGUCAACAGAUGUUUCUUCUGUUGCAUUCAUCCGUUGCUUGUGUUGCAUUUAGUAGAGCCUUCAGUUGCCAAAUCAAAGAAUGUUGGCCAGAAGAUUGAGGGCGUUGAUGUCUAAAUCAAGUGGUGUAACUCCUAAUGAGAUUGACUCAGAGCUUAAUUGCUAUUGUGUUCUUUGAUCACCAAUUCUCAUCACAAAAACAAAGUAGGAAUUGGUUUUAUGGUUGUAAUAAGUUGUGGAUUGAUCUGAAUACACCAGAUUGAGCUAAGGACAUGAUAAUCAACAUCCUUGAAAUGAACCAAGCAUUGUGCAAAUCCAGCCAAUCAAGGCACGAGGAGGUUAAUGUGAGCUAACUUCAACUGAAAUCAAGGCUCAAAGGGCCAAGUAUAGACAUUAAAAGGAGCAAUUGCAUGAGUAAAGAAAAAAAAUGAUAAUAUCAAUGGUCAUUUGUUCUAUUAAGGUGUUGUGUCAUUGUGCUGGUUGUGUCUAACACGAGAGUUGGUGGGAAGUUUCUAAGCCUUCCAUAGUUUAUUUAGGUGUGAGUGUGUGCAUCUGUGUCAGGUUGAACUACUGGAAGUCCUGCUUCCCUCGUCUUCAGUACGCUUGUUCCGGCUUCAUGCUUCGGACUUGCUUUACCACUGAAAACUAGAUAUUCUCAUGGAAAGCUGUUGGCUCUUUGGCAAUAUGACAGAAGCUUUCGUCGUUCUUACCAUUCUUACUAAAGAACUUCUAAUACCUUUUCAUUCUGUUACGAAAAAUCUAGUGAACUUAACAGCUUUGGCCUCUUGUAUAGUCUAAUAUAUCACCAGAUGUAAUGGCACAUGCUAAUCUUGAUUCUAGAAGAGGCGCCUGUGAAGCGAGACAAUGAAAUGCCAACCCCCUCGAGCGGAAAACAUUCCAACAUAAACAGUGAUUUAAAAUUUGACCCUGAAUGGUCAGGGCAGGACGAAUGAAAUGAAGUCUCAUUGUUUUCUUUUUCUUAACCCAACGGUUUAUCAGAGGUCUAAAUACUUGUGUACUUCCACACUAAAGACACUUAAAUACGUGAUUUUCAACAAUACUUCCACAUCUCUGCAUAUUUGCAGACCUGUAGGGAAUACUCGUUCUCGUGCUGAAUAUGUUAGUUUUUUUUCUCUUAUUGAAAUCAUCGAACAGGUGCAUAUGUACAGCUUGGGACUCCACUUUGCUUUUGUUAGGUCCCUUCGCUCGGAUUCGUGGUCAUCGGUUUCACAGCACUUUUGGGCGUGUCAGACACAGGCCCUCAUCCACAUUAGAAAGCAAUUUCCAUAAUGCUAUGCCAUUUUGUAGGAUUAACUCCAUGUAUCGAGUCACAUAGGCAAGCCACCUUUAGGCUUUUUAGGUAGGUCCACGAUAUAUUUUGCCAGCCUCGUCGAUCAGAAUGCCGAAAUCUUGGGUGAUUGAUUUGGAUAUAAAAGCAUUCCUACUUGAAUGUCAAGUCUUCUAGAAGUCCAUGAUAUGUAGAGCAUCCCAUGAAUCAAAUAAGAUGCAAAUUCAAAAUCUCAAAAAUUCGUUCAACUAUAAAUUUUUUCACACAGGAUGAUACAAAUGACUGAAUAACCAAAAACGACAUGACUUUCAAGCUCAGCAGCCUCAAAGCAUUCUAAUUAUAAAUUAGACAUACAGAAACCACUAAAAAUUUGAGAGUAACCCUUUUUCUCAGAAUCAAUUUCUCUCAACACAGACACGAAUUCCGUCCAAUAGAAAAAAGCCACACCAGCUGCCAAUGCAAUAACCAAAAGCAAAUCAUAAUGAAAGAACUAGAUGUACCUGGACACGAGUAGUGGCGUCCUGACCAGACACGAUGCCGUGCCUCAUCUGCUUCACCAUUGCCUGUCUCUUGUUCCUCAGCAGAUUUAUACUCACCACUGUCAUCUUCGCUGCCGUUUUGCUGUUCAUUCCCAAAACAAAAUAACAAAAAACUCUCCAUGAAUAUAACUACAAAAAGCCCUCACCUAUUAUUUGCUAUUUACCAGAACAUAGAAAAGUAAACGCCCCCAAAGUAAACCAAUUUCAUGUGGGGAUUUUAUGUUGCAUACCUUGUGAAUAGUGGCCAAGCGUUUGGUCUCUUCCUUGAUCUGACCCAGGUGAGAGAGGAUGCAGUCGCAGAUCUCCAUCUUCUUCCUCUUGAUCCCCUCCUCCUUGGCCCUGAAAGUGGACGGAGCAGCCCUCGACAUCUCCUUGUCCUCCCUCAACAGCGACGUGUUGCUGCUGAAGCUCAAGUUCCCCGACGAGCCCUGCAGGAUCAGCAGCAGCUGUUGCUGCCGCUGCCGCUGGGCCUGUUGCAAGGCCUGCUGCUCGUGCACCUGCAUCAAGAUCUUCUUCUUCUUCUCUCUGAUCUUCAAGCAACAGAAACCCCUGUGACCUCUGAUAAACCAAGUGUAUAAACUUCAGUACCGUCCCCACUGAUAAACCAAGAAUAUUCCACCAUCUUUGCUGUCUAAUACUAAUAAACCAAGUAUUUGAACUUCAGGACAGUCUGCACCAAAUGCAACCAAACCAAGUGUUCAAACUUCAGGCAUAUGGCUAGCCUACCGAUGGAAAUUUACCUCAAAUGGAGCCAGGAGUUCCUCCAUCUUCCCUGGUACGCACAUUUGUUCUUGUGCGCUGCUCUCUGCAUGCGAAACCAAUGAUGGGUGCCAAAACAUCGACGGGUCUGUUAAUGCAGCCGGCACACUCUCUUCCUCCUGCAAAAACAGGGGACAUUAACAAACCCAGGGCAUUGUAUUUCGCCAUUUUUGUGGCCUCACCAGAGGAGGGAUGCCUAAUUACCACAUGUUGGUCCUACUCAAAUUCGAUUUGACAAAGAAAUGAGUACACCAAUUUUAAGAUUCACAAACAAACGUAUUUUAUCCAGGUUUUUGUUUAAUUGCCUGAAGGGCUCCAAGCAACAAAUUUGGCAACAUGAAAGAAGAAAAAAGAAUACCGUCUUCCCUAAGUCGCCAUCUAAUGUUGAUUACUGUAACACUGCAAACAUGCUUUUUAACCCAUAGCAUGAAUGGUGCUGUGCCAGUAAAAGCUUCAGCACCUCAGAUCAGACUGUCCUUGAAAAUUGGCACUCCAAAAAUAGAUAGCACCUUGGAUCAUCAAAUCAUGUAGACCAGUUCAAGCUCUAAAUUGAAAAUAUCCCAAAUACAAUAUUAAAGAAAUCGCACAUUCAUUGGAUAUUCUGGAGAUUCUAAGUGAACAAAUAGCACUUGUAAGUAAAGAUGACACCUUUAUUUUGACUCCACAGGCCAAAAGAUGGAUUCAUAAUAAUUUGGAAUUGAGUUUACAGGAAAUUUCCAUGGGCGUUAUGCAUGAUAUUCAAGCCAAAUCCCCAAUCCUUUUAGCAUGUUUCCGAAGCAGAGAACCGCGAAAUUGAGCAUUAAAUAUAGUUGCUCCCACCUUAAUCAACCGAAACAAAAGCAUGCGAACAAUCUGUGUCCUUUUUCUGUUUUGCUUUGGACGAUCCUAUCUCUUAUUUUGCUAAGAUUAGUAAGAUCGCAACAACAUCCUGCGUUUGGGCAUAUACCCAUUGACAUCAUUCCCAAACUUCAGACCUAUUCAAUCCACAAGAGAAAACAACUCAAAUGAGUUCCCAUACCUCCUUCGGAAUGAAAGCAGAGUACAAGAAAGGAGAUUAAGCCGCCCGGCUUUGGACGAAGAGGACCCGACGUCGCCGUCGGCCUCAUCGAGCUCUUGCGCAAGGACUCGAUGUCGUCGCGCUCGAACGAAGAUGAAAUUUGGGGAUUCGGCGAAGAAGAAAAAGGACACUCAGAUGAAGAAGAGGAGGAUCGAUGAAUGAGAAGCGGACUCCAUGAACAAGAAGUACACUAUGGACGAGAAAGACUGAUGAAGAUGUGACGAGAACUUGAGAAGAAUACUCAAUCAUUGCGUUUGAAGGCUCGAAGCUCUAUGCCACGUAGGAGUGUGAAAAGAAUAAACAAAAAUUUUCAUUUAACUAAUUGAACAAAAUUAAUAAAAUGACUCGAUUAUACUAAAUUAACAAGUUUUAUUACUCGAUUGUAAUUUUUUGUAAGCUUUAGGACUUCUAAUAUAUUUAUCUCUUUAAUGUUCUAUCUACACUGUAAAUAUUGCAAAUCAUUAAAGUCAUUGUCAUAAUGAUUGGUAUUAAGGAAGAAAUGAAGAAAAAAAAAGUGCAGUAUAUUACGUAGAAAAAACGCUAAGUAAAACCAAUUGUUUCUUAUAAAAUGAGAGAAAAUUUUAAAUAAUAGGCUAUAAGCUAUUAUAUAUAUCCUAUAAAAUGAAGUUUUUCCGAAUAUUUGUGAUAAAAUCUGAACCUCUUACUGCAACUAUGUAACUUUCUCAUAUACAGAAAAAAGGAAAAGCUAGAAAAACGCAGAGAGAGAAAACAUCACAUGCGUUAACUGGUUUUUAAAGUAAGUGAGACCGAGACUUAUUGUAUGAUUGUUUCUUUUUUUAUUUUCCACAAUUAUUAUAAAUCUCCUUAUAGUUGAAUUUAUGUUUGUGGAUGGUCUUGCUGACUUACCUUAUAUUGCUUGAAAUUUUGGACAGAGCCUUCGAAUCCUUGCUUAAGCCCAAGUAAUUUCGGGCAACCGGCAAUACUUAAGUAGCAAUCAUUUGGCAAUUCAGUGGUCGAUACAUUUUCCAACAAUGGGCAGUCAUUAAGGUAUAAGAACUUGAAAAACUCCAACUUGUCGAGGCCCUCGACAAUUCGUAGGUUAGGGUUGUACUCUAUGCACAAGCGCUCAAGGUUCUUUAAUUCUGACAAACCACCAAGACUUUGUAAAUGAUUACCAUAAACUGUCAAGUCUUGCAACGAUUCUGACGUACCAACAACUUGAAUACCGAGUAUCUUAUCGCAAAACCCUAUGCACAGUCCCCACAACUUAUUGAAGACUCUUGAUGCAAGGACUAGUGAAGAUUCAUGGGAAGAUUUCCAAUGUCUGUCAACGUACACGAACCUUCUGAAGGACUCACAUUCACUGAUAUCCAAAUUGCGCAACGAUUCCAGCACCCCAGCGAUGUGGAUCUCAUCUAAUUUUGGGCAGCACGCCACGUUGACCUCUUCUAGCUUCGUCAUGCUAGAUAGCAUGAAUCUCUCGAGGGAUCCACAGCAAAAAAUUAGAAGCUCCAUUAAAUUUGGAAGCUAAAGCCCAUCGAGUAUUAUCUCUUGUAUUUGAGAGCGAUAGAGCCUUAAAUUUGACAAAUUCUCUAAGUGGGAGGAGAGAAACGUGGUUGAAUUAAUAUUAUCAAGGGUUAGCUUUAAUAGAGAAGAGGGAAGUUGCUUGAGGGGUUGCAAGUUCAAUCCACACAAACGGAGUUUGUCAAGCCGAGUAAGAGAAGCCAACUCAGUGGGAGCAGGGGCAUGGAGGAGACACAAGCUUAAUUUUUUUAGUUUGGAUAACCCCCUGAUCCACUCUAAAUCACCAGUAUAAGUUUUAUCUUGUUCGUCAAUUUUGGAGCCGUCACUUAGUUUCAACCUAACUAAAUUAGUCAAGUUUGAAAGGUCCGGCAACUCUCGAAUUUCAUCAAACCCUUCUAACUCUAGUAUUUGAAGCCGCAGAAGCAAGCCAAUUUCAGAAGGGAGUUGACUUUUCAAAUUUCCUUCAACUUGAAGCGCUUUCAGAUUCUCAAACUUUCCAAACUCCAUUGGAAGUGCAAUUGAAAGCUGCAACUCCCGUAAUGAUUUCCACUUAAAUAUGAAAUCCGGUAAUUCCUUCAUUGGACGACAAGAUUGUAAAGAGAAGUGCUCUAGAUUCCGUAGGUCCCCAAUUUUUUCAGGCAAACCUUCAAGGCGAUUGCAAAGAUCAAACUUUAAAUCUUUUAGAUACUUUAACUUCCCAAUAGAGCCAUCAAUCUUCGUUAAGCCGUCGCAAGCCAAAAAAGUCAGCCUCUCUAAUUUUGAGCAUUCAGAUAGGUCUGGUGUUCUGGUUAUGCCAUGACAAUUACCAAGACUAAGAACUUUCAAUUUUAUUGCCCCCUGUAAAAAGUGAAUGCAUUAUCUAAUGGAAGAGCAGUUCAAACGUUCAUUUAAGGACAAAGAAAGGAAAUAAGCAUAUGACGCACCUCUAUUAACUGCAAUAAUUUCUGAUCGUCUAUACUGGGAAUGCUUGAAAAUUCAAGGACAACCACAUUCUUUAAGCACAUAUUGGUCAGCUCCCACUGUAAAGAUGAAGAAUGACACAAAUAAAUCCAUUUUAGUUUGGGAAAACAAUUUAUUAGAUUAAGGAACCUUAGUUCUUUAAACCUUCCAAUCUCUUCACUUUUGAUACUUGUGUGAGUUACUUCCAUCGCUUGAACUUUCUUCAUCUGCAAAUGAGAACAAGAAAGGAGUAGCAUUCAGCAUUCCAUUUUAUUGAGGAAAAGUAUUAAAACCAAGAAGCAAAAAGAGAAUCUAUAAGUUCUCUCGUUAAGUAUCCCACCUCUUUUGUCGCCAUUGUAGUGAGGACUUCAUCAUCAAUCCAUAACCUACUAGGCCCUUCAGGAUUCGUUCGAUAUUCUUGACGAACAAUUUCCCUUCCAAGAUCUCGAAGUUGAUCGUGCAUCAAAAACUCAUUGUCAUUUCCAAUCUUUAUCAAGGACUUGUUUUUGAGGAUCUCAAUUCCACAGAUUGAGGAAAAACCACAAUCUGUCCACAUAUAAAUUGGGUUUGUCAUUAUAUCACCAAUGAAAAAGCAUGCAAUAUCCAGAAAAAUUUGUUGCUGCCCAGGAGUCAAUGCAUUAUAGCUAAUCCUCAACUUUUCGAAAACACCCUCUGGAGGUGCUUUGCGUAAAUCGUCCAAUGUUUCUUUCCAUAGGUCUUGUGUUCCAUGGGUCACAAGUGAACCAAUUACUGCAAUAGUCAAAGGAAGGCUUCCAGUAGCCGAUACAAUUUCCUUUGAAAUAUCAUCGCGAUCAUCUGGAGGAGAGUCCUUGUUAAAUGCAUGUCUGCUGAAGAGCUGAAGCGCAUGAUCACUACUCAUCACCUUCAUUUCAUAAGGUAAUAUACUGCACUUCAGUUGAGAGCCUUGCAAAACAUUCUUGUUUCUAGUAGUAAUCAGUACUCUAGACCCUGAACAAAAAUCACCUUUUCCAACUAAUUUCUCCCCUUGUUCAUCGUUAUCAACAUCAUCCAGCACAAUGAGGACCUUCUUAUUGUGAAGUCUUCCUUUGAUCAUCUCCAUUAGACGUUCAGUUUCGUCAAUACUUCCUAUUCCUGCGGCAUUUCCUAUUUCAGACAAUAAUUUCUUUUGCAAUUUAACCAAACCAUCAGCUCUUGACGAAUUUUCUCGAACAUUUUCAAGGAAGCAGCAACACUUUCCAAAGUGGGUCAAAAGUUCAUUGAACACGACCUUGGCGAGAGUCGUUUUACCGAUACCCCCCAUGCCAUGAAUUUGAAUGAGCCGCACACCUCCAGAGUGUAUGUCUAACAGAUUUAUUACUUCUAUCACUCGAUCAUUGAUUCCAAUUAAAUGUUCAGUCACGGACUUUUGCUUUAUCUUCAACUUAACCACAACCUCCUCAACGACCAACUUGAUUAGUUUGGCCCAGCUGUCAUGAAGGAAAACCAUUUCAAUAGCAGAAAAUUGCGAAAAAAAAGAAAAAGAAAAGAAAAACAAUCUAGUAAUUAAAUUUCAUUCAUAAUACAAUUCCACUGGAGUUCAAAAGAAUCUUAAAUUUUUCAUUUGUUUCCUACCAGUUGAUGUUACUCAAUUGCAUCUACUUAACUGCACAAUAAUUCCAUAACUAAUGGGACAUCAACAAUCAAGAUGUGCCUUCUCAAAUUUCGUAUUGAAUGUAAGGUUUCUUAGCUAUCGCUUUCGAUAACCUAACAUUUGUCAUUUGAUAUGUUGCGCAAACCUUACGUGUACUUGAUCUUGUAAAGUUCCCAAAUAACACCAAGCAUGCAUAACACAAACAUUUGACGAGAUAGAUGGAAUCGAUCCCGAAGGACUUCGGAUUUGAUUUUUCUAGCUAAUACUAUAACCAUAAAAAAUAUGAAUCUACAUCACUUUCAAACGUGCUUCUCAUGCACAUUGCUAGGUGCCACGUGUCGCAUUGUCUCUUGACACCUGAAAAAUGACUUGAUCCCAACGUGAUUAGCAAUUUUCGAAUUCUGUUAAUCUUGUUUGUGCAAGAUAAAUGUACAACUAUUUAUGCAUCAUGAAUUAGCAUCUUAUCAGUUAUAUUCAUAGGACAACCUUAGAAGUGGGAUAUUAUAUGUUCAGGAGGAGAAAUAUCUGAUGUAUCGAUUGAAAGAUCAAAUUAUUAGACAGAACAUGCAUGAUACUCAAUUAUUCCACUUCAUCACCCAUUAUAUAAAAUGCCUUUAUUCCAGCAGUUCCACAUUUUUUUUACACACAUACCGUUUAGUAUCACUAGGGGAAGUUCCACCUGAUUUGUGGUGAUAUAUCUACGUUAUUAAGUUUUGAGUAAAAGUUCUAGAAGCAUUAGAAUUUCACCAAGAGUUGCUUACUAAAUGACAGAGGUGAAAAAUGAAACAAAAUUUAUAUAGACCAUCAACGAAAGGAAAAAAAUGAGCUUUCGUUUCUAUUUUCAGUUCUUCAUUAAAAAAAGACAUAUGAUAGCACUUCUAGUGAAAUCAAGAACACUAACAAUUUUAGUAGCUCUAGCAUGAAUUUUUAUGUUUCUUGAAUUCUCUCCUCCUACCCACAUAUAAUAUGUUCCUUCUAUCUGUGAAUUAUUUACUUAGUUUUUGCAAACAGGAAAAAAUAUUAGGGAAAAAGAAGGAUCUUGGAAUGCAGCAAGCUCACCUAUCACAUUUCUUGACUUCCCAUCCCUUUAUUGCAUCAACCUCCGUCAAAGCCUUCCUCCAGGAAUCUACUUCUUCAAUGCUCAAGUUAUCCUCGCCCUGCAAAAUGAGAAUGGCAUCGCAAUAUAACUGGGUUUUCAUCUUAACAUCUUUGGGUUCCACAUCGAAGAAAAUAGGUAGGAUCUCUUUAUUCCCGUUUGACUUGGAGGUGUUCUCCAUAAUCUGCGUGAGUUCACGGAGACACCAUUUGCUCGAAGCAUAAGUUGGAGAGAAGAUGGGGAUGUAGAUCCUAGAGUUGUCGAUCGCUCUCUGGAGCGCUCCGUUGAUUCUUUCACCAACAUGGAGGUUUUCACUGUCUCGAAAGACGUGGAUACCAGUAUCAGCCAAGCUGUGGUAGAGGAAGUCGGUAAAAUUAUUACGAGUGUCGGGUCCUCUGAAGUUCAAGAACACUUGAUGCUCGCAUUCUGAUGAUGCUUCUGCCUCUGAGCUCUCCAUGUUAACUUUAGCUUUAGUAGCUCUCUUCCCUCGUAUGUGAACAAGAGAAGCCUUUGCCCUUGGCUGACUGAAGGUUUCAACCACGAACAUAUGGCGUGAAUAUAUCAGAGUGAGAUUACCAACAUAUAAAUUCAGUUACAGAAUAACAACAAAACUAAAGUCAAGUAUUUAGAUAACCGUGUUAUAUUCAAACUCUCAAUGAUUCAUAUCAUUGUAAGUCAACGUUAGAAAUGCUAUAUAGCAUUGCUUUUGCCAACUACUUUUCUCCAACUCACGAAAUUCUAGGAANNNNNNNNNNNNNNNNNNNNNNNNNNNNNNNNNNNNNNNNNNNNNNNNNNNNNNNNNNNNNNNNNNNNNNNNNNNNNNNNNNNNNNNNNNNNNNNNNNNNUUUGAUAGGUGUGUUAUAUGCAUUUUCUAAGCAAGGAAUAUACCUUCUUCAAUCUUGCCAAUUUUAAAAACACCACUAUGCACCCAAAAAAAAAAAAAUCUUAAAAACACUAUUCAAAUAUUUUAAAAGAUUGUGAAACAUUAUACGUGAAUUUAGGAAACUGGAAAAGACCAACAAUCAACGAACUCGCUCCGCAAGACUUAAGAAAACCAAAAACUCAAAGAGUAAAAAUUAGAAGUCAAUUCAAACAUAUAUAAAAAAAAAAAAAAUUGUAUAACAAUUACUAUUAUGAAAUCAAAUACUAAGUCACGGGUUCUUCUAAAAAACUUAAAUUUUUGGAACGGUUUGAGAUUAGCCCGCGAUUUUUUCAUAAAUCCACUUGUCUAUUCUUGUUAAGAAGCUGAUCGGGGAGACUUUUUGUCCAAUUUCACAGGAAGGAACGCGACAAAAAUACAUAUGGGUAUUUCAGUCCCAAGGACCAGAUCCGGCCUCGAUUGUGGACAACGCACUCAUUUUGAGCAAGGAUUUCAUCAAACCGAACACUUCAGGGAAAAUUCAGAAUAAGUCGGCAAAGAAUCAUACCGUAUCAGUGGUCGCUGCCGGGAAACGGCUUGGUCGGAGGGCUCGGUUGCCGGAGUCGCUCGGAACGACCGGGGGACGUUGAUCCCUGGGUUUGCGAAGAAGGUCUCGGCCUCCUCUGCUCUGGACACGGAUAAACCAGCCCUCAAAGAAGUGUCUGUCGGUGCUGUUGCGUGGAAAGGAAGCUCGAAGACUUUUUCCUAGCGAUCUGAGCGUGACUUCAAGCUAAUAUAUACAGUGCAUAUCGGACUGGUCUAAGCCCAUGGGCCCUUCGGUGUUUAUUUUAGGAAUCCAAAGGAGUUUCAAUUUUGCUUGAACAUAUUUUAAGGUAAAGUCACCAAAAAUCCUAAAUUAUGCCUCUUCUCACACACAUUUUAAGAAUUACACAGCAAGGAAACCCUGAGAAGGACAAUAAUGCAAUCAAAAAGGAUAAAAAGGAAAAUAAUGCAAUCGAAAAGGGUGAAAAGAAACAGCAAGGAAACCUCACAUGUGCAUAUUUUAUGGAAGCAAAGCAAGGGUCGGCAAAAAGUGGAAGGGACGCAUGAAGUUUCUAAAACAUGCCAAGCCACUUUAUAGAAACUAGGUCGGAAGGUGCCUUUGCUUUUCCUAAGAUAAAUAAGUAUAAACAAAAACAAACCUGCCCUUUGGGUAAAGCACAUAAAAUUCUCUUGGAGGCUUGUCCCAUUUUUCAACUCUAACUAUUAGAAAGGGCAUCCGGAAAACACAAACAUAAUUCAAGAAGGUGGCUCAUAUUUGGCAUAUAUCUUUGUGCGUGCAUAUAAUUUAGGCAGUGGGAUUAUAUCAUGAAUCCUGAAAUUGGUUGAAUACUCUUAAAUAAUAAAUACUCAAUAUCAAUACAAAACAACAUACAACAUGUUUUGUAUAUAUCUCCAUGCGUGCAUAGAAUUUUGAUUCACGUUUAGCACUUUACAUUUUCUGGUACAAGUUGAUCUCUUUGAAAGGGGCUAAAAUGAUGACAUAUAUAUGUGCAAACAUUCUAGAAUCUUCAAAAGAGAGGAAGAAAGAAAAUAGUCAAAAACUAUAUCUUCAGGAGGAACAAGCUCAGCUCGUGAUUGCUCCCUUUAGUUGGUCUACAUCUGUGAUUGAAGGUAAAAUCUCUUAUUUUCCAUAAGCUUAUUGAAUCAACACAGUAUUCUAAAAAAUAAAGCUAUCUGAUUCAGUAUUUUAUAGGUCUGUGCUAAGUGCAAUGUUAAAGGAGGUUGAAGGACAAAAAUAAAGGAAGUGCAGGCUCUGCUGAUGUCAUGGCCAUUAAAAGUAGGGGUAGGGCCGCUGUUUCCGAACUCUCAAACGACUCUCAUGGACGGUCCCACUCUCCACAAAUUUCUUUUUUUCUCUAGUUUUUGUCUCCUUUUGUUUUAGUUUUUCUCUGAUUUUUUAAUAAUUUCUCUAGUCUUUCUUUGCCGCAUUAGCACCAAUGCAGAAAGAAAUUACAAAGCGCCAUGUCAAAUUUUGGAAUCCACGUAAGCAAAUCGGGUUAUGAGCUUGUCGAAAGAAUUAAAUUGCACUCAACAAAAAAUGUUUAGGACUUAAUUGCAUAAAUUCAAAAUUUAGGACUUGAUUGCAUAUUCGGCCAAACAUUGGGGACUUUUGGUGUAAUUUUCAUUUAUAAGAACUUAAAAUGAGAAUUGGCAUAGUGGAUAGCAGAUAUUCUUAUGAGAUAAGAACAAAUAAGUGUUACUUAAAUAAAAAUUCAUAGUUUGAUUCCCAUCCUACACUAAUCUCUCCCACUUAGAAAAGCUAUGCUAUUUACCGGUUUUCCAACGCAUCUCUUAUCUUGAUUUGGCUAUCUUUCCACAACUGUAGAAUAAACUGGUAGAUUAGCGGCAAAAAUAGCAUAUUGUGAGGAUAGAUUUUCACGCUAACAAGCGCAAGGAGAGCGAAAACGCGUGGAGUGGGGUCGCUGUGUUCCAGCCAUGCUUGUGUAAUGAACACAUGAAGUUUCAACUCUAUAUCAUUGAAUUGGUUGGAUGCAUAGAGAAUCAAAUAUUCAAUAACAAAAAAAAAAACACAAAACUUCUUUUUGUAUAUAUCUUCGUGCGUGCAAAUAAUUUGCUUCAUGUUUAGCUCUCUCCAUUUCAUUUUUUAGUAUAAGCUAAGCCAACAGAUCAUAAAAUAUUAAUGAAAUAUACAACUUACAGUUUAAUGUAGCUGAGCCUCACGAUAAAGGAAAUAAAAAUGUCUAAGUCAUACAAACUCAUCAUCUGUUUAAAAAUAGGACUUGCGUGUAAACCAAUUUGGUGGAAAAUUUCAAUGCUAUAUAAUCAAUUUUUUUGCCUCUCAUACCAAAUUAUUCGAGACAAUAAGGAGAAGAAGUGAAGCAGAAGCAGAAAGGGGAUGCCAAGAUCAACAUUUGACAAUAAAGAAGAGAAAGAAACAAUUCAUGAAAUUCAUUGAUGCUCUCAAAAAAAAAAAAAUUAGACACUCACAAUCAAACAACAAUAUAUAUAUCCAUGCGUGCAUAUAAUUUGGUUCAAAUUUAGCUCUAUCCAUUUUCCGGUAUAAGCUAAUCUAUUUGAAAGGAGAUAAAAUGCCGACUAUAUACAUGUAUAAAUAUUUUAGAUUUAGAGAGAGCGAGUAGUCAAAAAUUACAUCUUUAAGAGGAACAAGCCUAACUCGUGAUUCCUCCCUUCAAUCAGUUUACAUCCCCGAUCGGAGGUAAAAUAUUACAUUUUUCAUAAGCCCAUUGAAUCGACAUAACCUUCUGAAAUCAAGAUAUAUGAUUUAAUAUUUUAUAGGUUUGUGCCAACUAAAAUGAAUAAGAGGAAGAAGACAGAAAAAGAAGUAUUGACUCUUCUCAUGGACAUUAUAGUGGGGGCAAUUAUGCCGUCUCCGAACCCUCUAACAGCCCUCACGGAGGGUUCCACUCUCUAUGACUUUCAGUUUUAUCUAGUCUUUGUAUUUUUUUUUUUUAAAGUUUUUCUCCUAAUUUUUAAUUUUUAACAUUUUUGAAUUUUCCUGACGUGGGGCCAUAGUAGUGCCACAUCAAAGCCAUGUAUAUUAAAAGAAAUUACAAAAUGCCAAGUCGGAUUUUAGCAUCCAUGUUAGCAAAUUUGAUCAUGAGUUUGCCAGUAGGAUUAUAUUGCACUCUAUGAAAACUGUGUGGGAUUUGAUUGCAUAAAUUAAAUAUUUAGGACUUGAUUGCAUAUUCAAUCAAAUAUCUGAACUUUUGGUGUUUCACUUAUAAGAGCCUAAAAUGAUAAUUUAGUAUGAUAAGAAAAUUUCACUUAUAAGUACCAGCUAGUAAGAUAACAAUUCUAGUUUGUUUCACAUCUUAUAUCAAUCUCGCCCACUGAGAAGAACUUUACUAUUGACGAGUUUUCCAAUGCAUCUCUUUUCUUGAUUUGCCCUAUCCUACCCUAGCUUUAGAAUAAUAAACUUGUAGAUUAGCAGUUAAAAUAGCACAUUGGUUGCAAGGAUAAAUUUUCACACCGACGAGUGGUUGGCCCAAAAUCUAAAUGGUACAAUAUGCGUUCUUGGUUGUAGUGCUCCAUCUGUUAAGCGAGAUUGACACUUUUCUCGGUGAUUUUUGACUCACUAACGCUUGCAAAACUUCCGAACCAAAAAAAAAAAAAAAAAAACUCUUGCAAAACUUGAACACGCACCCAUUUCUUUAACUUUUGUUCAUCAUAAUCUCACUAAAAUCAUGUACAGANNNNNNNNNNNNNNNNNNNNNNNNNNNNNNNNNNNNNNNNNNNNNNNNNNNNNNNNNNNNNNNNNNNNNNNNNNNNNNNNNNNNNNNNNNNNNNNNNNNNNNNNNNNNNNNNNNNNNNNNNNNNNNNNNNNNNNNNNNNNNNNNNNNNNNNNNNNNNNNNNNNNNNNNNNNNNNNNNNNNNNNNNNNNNNNNNNNNNNNNNNNNNNNNNNNNNNNNNNNNNNNNNNNNNNNNNNNNNNNNNNNNNNNNNNNNNNNNNNNNNNNNNNNNNNNNNNNNNNNNNNNNNNNNNNNNNNNNNNNNNNNNNNNNNNNNNNNNNNNNNNNNNNNNNNNNNNNNNNNNNNNNNNNNNNNNNNNNNNNNNNNNNNNNNNNNNNNNNNNNNNNNNNNNNNNNNNNNNNNNNNNNNNNNUGCUUUUGGCUCUAAUAUUAAAUAAUGCAGGACGAAGAUUGUUCUAAUACCAAUUGAUGAAGAACAUAACUAGAAUGGAAGAGAAUAGAAUAUAGGAGAGAACAUAAAAAUCAAUUUAGUUUUAUAUUUAAUCAGUCUCUUGUUUUAAUUGUGAUCACAAAGCUAUCUUUUGGAGGAUAUUGGGUAUCAUAUAUGUCUCCCGUCCAUGAUUGUCCAUGUUUAAAUCUAUUAUGUUGAUAGACAAGUUUCCCUAAGCUCAAAUUAGUACAAGGCGAUUUAAAAUUGUGCAGGGUUAGCAAGCCGCCAUCAAGGCAGACACUACCACUAGCAUCAGCCGAAUGGGACUGCCUAUUAGUCCAUGCCAAAGUUUUAUCCCCCUCAAAACAAGAUCAAAUUGGAUCCAUUUGAGAGAUGGCACAGUUUUUACACAUACAAUUAAAACGCAAUAGUGAAGUUACGGUGGAAUCCCAACAGAGAAGUGAAUCAUCCAAAAAGACUUGAAAUGCAAGGGAUAAAAUAAUGCCAAUUUCUUUGGCUGUAAAAGUAAUAAUAGGCCACUUUAGUCAAGCCAUGUCCAAGUAAUGAACCCACGAAGCUUUCAUUCAACUCCUCGCGAAAGCCCCAUGUAAACGCACGGAAAGUGAAAUGGGUGGCUCGACUCCAUUAUAUGUUGGAAGAAGCAAAAAAAUUUCAAUUUUUGUCAAUUUAGUCCUAAACUUUCAUACGAAUUUCUCAUAUAGUCGUUUUGAUAAUUUUUUCCUAAUAAUUGCCCUACGUUGGCAUUUUCAAACGAGGUGCGCACUUCCUUUUUUCAUCAGGGACAAGUUUAACCUUGUCACUCAUUGACCUCCAUACACCUUGCUAUCAAAAGAGUUGGCGCCGAUCAAAAUAAAGUUUCUUAUAACAUUAAAAUCCUCCUUAUCCUAAACAUUGUCAAUUCCAACCUCUCAUCCACCUUUUGACUAAAUAGAAUGAGCUUGGAAUUUUAUAUGCUCUUUUACAUCAAAUUACCUUCAAGGGGUGAUUCUUGCCCUUGUAUGCCAUAAACGUUUUUCCUUUUCUUUUUCCGUUCCUCCAAAACAUGUGUCCCUUUAAACUAUAAGCAACUAAAUUGCCUUGAAAGGGGUGAUUCUUGUUCUUGUACACCCUAUACAUUUUUCCUUUAUUUUUCCACUCCUCUAGAACCACGUGUCCCUUUAAAAUAGAAUCAACUAAUUUUACUUGUCAAUUUCUAGAUACAUACAUCUAGUGGGAAAAUUGAUCUACAUCUAAAAUUGAUCUUUCAAAUUCAAAGAUCCAUCUAAAAUAGAGAAGCUUCAUCACAUACAACCUUCUCAUCAAAAGCGCCUAUCCCUCAUGAUCUUCAUCAUUGAGAUGAUUGUUUCAAAAGCCUUUGGUGUCAAAAUUGUUUCAAAAGCCUUUGGUGUCAAAAUACUUCUUUCAACGAUGCUUUGACAUCAAAUGACACAAUGUAAUCGAAGUAACACUAGAUCACACUAACUUGCCCAUAGGACAAGGUUGCAACACACUUGAAGAGGCACAAGUAUCAAUUUUAAUGUCACUAUGCAAAGAGUUUUUGUGAAUGAUGGUAUAACCGUAAUACUUGAACCUUAGAGAUGUUAUAACUUCAAAUAAGUAGAUUGCAAAAAGGCGAUGAAAUCUAAUAAGCAAUGUUGAUACCUGAAUUUUGUGGUCCGCUCAAGUAUCCAUUUUUUGCCUAAAAAAUAAAAAAAAAUAUUAAAUAAAAAUUACCCAAAAAAGAAAGGAUAUAAAAAAUCGAGCGGGUCUGUUUUGCCUAGCCCACUUAACAAAAUCUUCGGCCCUCUACGCCAAGGCGUCCAACCCAUUUCCCUUAAUCCCCUCGGCCCAUCUUUUACUUCUUUUUUAAAUCUAUUUCUUUCAUAGCCCAUCAGAACUAAAAAAGGCCAGCCCAAAUGUCUUACUUUUUGUUUUCUUCAAAGCCCAUUAGAAUUAAAAGAAAAAAGAAGAUAAAAGAGGCCCAGCCCAAUGUCACUUCUUCCCCUUGGUUUGCACGAACCAGCAUCCGUGAGGAGAGAGAGGAAAGAGUGACGCGCGGGUGAGGAGAAAAGAUCAGGAUCGCGCGAGCGUCCGUGAGCAAGGAAGCGUGAGAAGCCGUGACGUGACCAAGUCCGAACCUUCUAGAAUCCAUGAGCUGGCAAGGGCGUAACAGAAAGAUUCCUCAAGCGAGCGCAACGUGAGGGAGGAAGAGAAGGCUCGGCCGAGGCAUAUCGGAGGGCGAGAGGAGAGAGACGCAAAGUGGGGGAGUGACCGAGAACCCGAUCGCCGUAGCCCGCCGAUGGUUUCCGAAGCUCCGGUCAAGGGUCGGUUCGUCAGCCAGCCUUUACCCAUUCGGCGGUCUUUCUGCAGACGAGAAGGAGCCCAAUUAGUCGCUCCUCGCCGUCGCCGAUCGAGAUCUUGACUCACUGAAAAGACAGGUGGGGGGGCCUUCUUCCCGAAGCUCCUGUUUUAUCCCUGUUUUUUGGCCGGCAAUUUCUUGUCCGAGUCGAUGUAACUUUUUGAUCGAGAUCUUGACAAACCAAAGAAAGUUUAGGAUGAUUCAUGGUGUGUUGAAGGUUGAUGAAUCGGGGUUGGACUAACGAAUGUUGUAAAUCUAAGUCUGAAGCUCGUGUCCUUCAAUGCGUGCCAGGUGUUCGACGUAUUGCCUGAAUGAAAUAUGUAAUACUCAAGAGCACCGAACUCGAGAAAGAAAGUUUCAAGGGAACCGUGAUAAUCUAAGACUGGGUUGACAUAAAAUAUGAUGUUUCAGGCUUUUAUACAUCGUUUUUGACACGAAAAUUGCCUCGAAUAUCUCUCUGGAACACAUCCUUUAGAUUGCACAUCAGUCGCUCGACAAAUGCUUGAGAGAAGACCGAAACUCAUUCAUUGUUGAAUCUUAUGAUCGAUUUUCUUUUGCUUCUGUAUAACUUGAAUCUGGCCUAAUAUUAGUGCUUCCUCUGUAUUUUUACGCAUGUGAUGAAAAAUCUGUGUUCGAGUUCAACAAGCAUACAUAUACUCAAGCCCGCUCUCUGGCGAAGUUUGUGAUUCAAAGCCAUCCAGUCAGUUUGUCUCUUCGAUUUAGAGUGCACUAGUGAUUAUAUGCUUGCUGGAAAGGCUAGGAUGGAAGAAAUUAAUCUCGUGUGUAUAUUUUCCGUUAACUGUUGUGGUCGCCAAGUAAGUGGCCAGAGUUGGUGGCCGUCGGUCGGGUUAGGUGACCGUCGGUAGGUGUUGGUUCAGUGGUGAUGUGUGUGCCAGCGACGAUGCGUAUAGAGGUUGAUUCGUCGCCGAUAAUUCUGGUUCGGUCAAGUCGCAGAAGGAAAAGAGAUUCGGGGAAGAAGAAGGCGCAAGGUUGAAGAAGAAGGCGUAAGGGUAAAAAGACAAAACAGGGAAGAAGACAAAAGGGAGAGAAUAAAAUAAAUUAAGAAAAUCAUUAAAAAAUUAAAAUUUCGAAAAAAUUUUCGUUUUUUAAUCCAACCAGGUAGGAUUAGGGGUGAGCAGCGGUUUAGGGUCGAUCCUGGACCAACCCUGGACCGGCCCAACCCUGCUGGUCCUGGUCCGGUUUUCAAGGGGACUGGGUCGGUCCUUGGUCCUAAAAUUCCCGGACCAAUACUGUGCGGGUUGGUCAUCGGUCCUAAGAAUUUUGGGUCGGUCCAACCCUGGACCAACCCUGUAUAUUAUAUUAUAUUAUUUAUAAUUCUUUUAUAUAUUCAAACCUAAGUAAAAUGUCUAUUAUAUUAUAUUAUAUUGAAAUGUUCUAUCAAUAGCACUAAUAAUAAUUUCAAUUUAAAACUUUUGUUAAGUAUUAAUUAUGUGUCGUUUGUUUUGUUUUCAAGUGUUUAGAAGUUCAAGUGAAUUAACAAGAUGUGAAGUUAUAUAUUCAUGGUUUAUAUUAAGUAUUUUGAACUUUUUAUGAUUUAAUUGUAUUUUACUAAUGAAUUCCAGCUGCACUUUGCUUUUUAAUUUGUGUCAAAUGGUAGAAGUUUUUGAAGAGUAGAGUAGUACUGCAGUUGCUACGGUGAUUUGCUAGUCAAGUGAUGUGAAGCUCAUUUUUUGGUUGAGUAGACUCUAUAUGAUCAAAUGUUAGUUAAGUGGUGCGAAGCUCAUUUUUUGGUUGAGUGGACUCUACAUGAUUAGGAAGACGCUUUUGCAUAUGGUGUUAUAAAUAUUAAAGAUAGAUGAUUACAAGAACUUUCCAUCUUGUCCCAUAUCUCGAUGAGCGGUUAGCGGAUACAAAAUUUAUAUUAUUGUGUCAUCUUAAAUUUGCUAAAUAUGUAUUGAUAUUUUAUAGUUUAGUUGCACAAUACGGUAUUGUUGAUGGAUGUGUAAUUUGAAUUUGUAGGUUUGCUUUUUUAGGAAGUAUAAAAAAUAAGACGAAAAAAAUUAUCGAUCGGUCCCGGGUUGAUCCUGGAACCGGACCGAACCCAUUGGGUCGGUCCGGUCCUUGGUCCUAGGCUUAAUAGGGUCGGUCCUCAGUCCUAAAAAUUGAGGACCGACACUGUACGGGUUGGUCCUAGGGUUAGGGGGUGGCCCGGACCAACCCGGACCAUGCUCACCCUUAGGUAGGAUUCGGUUGACGGGUCAGGCCAACUGGUCGGAUCGGGUAAACGGUCCGAACCUGUUCCCCUAAUAUAAUAAUAAUAAUAAAUUUUAAAUUUUAAAAUUUUAAAAAUCAAAAAUUAAAAAUUAGAAAAUGAUAAAAAAAGUUUUAAAAAUUUUGGAAAUAAUAAAAAAAUUAGAAAUUUUACAAAAUCAUUAAAAAAUUAAAAAAUCCGAAAAAGUAGUUAAAAAUAAAUAAAAAAAAUAAUUGAAAAUAUAAAUUAACUAAGAUUUUAAAAAUUUUAAAAACUGAAAAACCCUUAGAAACCCAACCCUAAAAUUGGAUAAGCCCUUAGGGUCUUACAUUUUUUUUUUUGUUUUUGUUUUGUAUUCUCUUGUUUUCAUUUGUAGGAACGAUAUUAGAAUGCUUGUGUGCUUUCUUUCAUGAUUAUAAUUGAUUACAACUCUCAAUAUAUGGAUGUUACUUUCUUGUUUUUGAAUGGUUAAGAUGAACCUUAGAUUUUUUUUUUUUUUUUUUUUUUUAUAGACUGCUAUGGUGUCAGUUAGCACGCUAUUAAAUUAGGUAUCAAAAGGGCGUUAGCCUUAGCGCUAAAGUAAUCAAGUACCCAAAGUUUAGAAUCUCUAGCUGCAUAAAUAGUAAGAUAUUCUCCCAUAUCUUAUUGGUUUUUAAUUGAUCGCAAAAGAGCUAGUGGUGACUCUUUAAUCAAAAUUCGCAUAGGCUUAAUUGAUGAAAAAUGUGAACACUCGAUAUCGUGCGAGGUAUGGGUUUAGGCGAGCCCGAGUCAAUAGAAGGCCAUUGGACUGAUAUUGACAAUGCCCCUAAACCAAAUAGUCUUGCUCACGAGGGGUUAGGUCGCGACAAGCUAAAUUUUAAUCUUAGUAGAAAAACUUGAUUUAAUAAAUUCACUUAAUAUAUUAAAAUGCAUUGCCUGAAAUUGUAAAUGUCAUGAAAAGCACUAUAUUUCCCUUCAUAUUUGACUAGUGAAAAUUUCCUCUAACCAUGCGUAUGAAAAUUUCAAGUUAUGUAUCAUGCGAAUUGAAUUAGUGCAAACCUAUACAUAAAAGUAUGUGAUGUGCAUGUUUGUCAACAUAGCCCUCCCUUUAGUAGGUGCAUGGUAUAUGAGCGGACUAGGGCCAUACCUAGUAUAAUGAGGGUGGGGUGUGAUUGUUAGGGUGAGAAACCUUGAACAAUUUGCAUAUCCUAAAGGACUUCAAGGAUGGCAAAAGUAACAAUGAUGGAUCAGGCCACACAUUGAAUGGAGGAAGUAUCACCUGGGGGACAAUCAACACUGAUGAGGACAUUGGUGAUUUAAGUUGAUGAGUUGGUAACAUCUAGAGUCGUACAUUGGAUGGGUGAGGCAUUAUAAUGUUAUUAAAAUGAAAGAAAAAUAUUACUUUAUUUUUCAAUUUUUUUUAUGAGGGUUAGAAAUAGAGUUCAAGCUUCACAUUGUAAUUUAGUUUUCAAAUAAUCAAUAUUUGAGUUUGAUUGAGUUUAAUCUCGAACACACAUGCUAUAUAGAAUUCAGCUCGAGCAUGGGAUUGAGAAACUGAGUUUUGUCAUACAAUCUAAUAUCAAACUAUCAACAUCAAGUUAAACUUUGCGUCAAAAAACUACUUCAAAUGAAUUUAUAGCUUGAUUGUGCCUUUAUAGCAUUUUUUUUAUAUAAUUAUAAUGAUGUACCUUAUCUUAGGCACUUUUAGUGCAUUGAUCCACUAAAUGAUAUGCUACUUCACCCCUCGCAUGCCAACAAGAGUGACGCUAGUGGUCUUCAAAUCUUCACAAGCCUCUAGGCCGCAUGUGGUUGUCCGGACAUUUUUGCCGGAUAGGAUAAUGUCGGAUAUGAUAAGGAUAUGAUAUAAUUAAAUAUCCAAUCCAAUGUUUGUUGACAUUUGGAUAUAAUAUGAAUUCAAAUAAAUAUUAUCCAAAUAAAUAUCUAAUUUACAGAACUAAAACUAAAAAUAAACUAGGGAAAUAAAACAACCUCUCUUCCUCAUGAAGCAAAGGAGGAGGCCGAAAGCGCUCAACUCAACUUUCCACAAAGGAAAGAAAAGGCAGAACUUUGCCGGAAAGUGAGGCAAAUUGAAAUCUCUUUAUCGGAGAUAGCCAAUCAUGUGGAUCUUCAAUGAAUAAAUGAACUCGAGAAAAAACCCAACUUUGCACUUUGCCAGAGAUGUCAAGUUACAGGGUCGAUCAUUUAAGGAUGAUAUUGUCAAAUCUGGGUCUUUAGCGUGUGUUGAACAGAGGAGAGAGCACGGAAUGCUAUUUGGAGAGAUAAAGGGGAUGGGGGCAGUUUUUUUUAGAGAUUAUUGAAAUAAUCUUAGGCAACGCUUGAGCUUUUUGCCUGUUCCUUUCUAUUCAUCCCUGCUUUUCUCAUUCUAUAUCUAUGCAGGCAACCACGAAGGGUGGCUUGGCCAUGGACGGUCAACAACUGCGAGCUGCCACGACUAAUAUGGUGGCUCGACCAUGGACCCUGGCUCUAGAUCUCACCUCAUCGAUCACAAACUAGUGGUGUCACUGACUAGAUCUGGUCGGCUCUGUCUUCCCAAGGCCGCCACGACUUUGGCCAGAUCUAAAGGAGAGGGGAGGAAGAGAGAAAUUUUAUUUUUCAAAUUUCACAUAUCCUAUUCAGGUAGAGGGUGGGAUUUUUUUAUCCGAACUAUAUUUGGGCUAUAUCUAGUGAUAUCCGGAUUUCGCGUCACUCCAAACACUAGAUAGGAUAAAAAUGAUCAUAUCCGGAGAAUUAUCCGGUCUACCAAAUGCAACCCUAGAGUCUAAAACAUGGACAAGUCCGGUAAGAGCUUAAUUCCUGAAAAAUAAAAUUACAAUCAAUCUAUUGAGAAAGUUUAAGAAAAGGAAUAGCAUGAUCAAAUUAUGCAGUCAAAUCAAUUAGUAAUCCAUAUGAACUAAUGUUUACCAUGUUUAAUUUAUUUGCCAAUGUACACUACAUACAAGAGAUUAGACUAAGAUGUUCUAAAUUCCUAAACUAGAUAUUGACAAAAGUCAAAUAUGUAGGUUAACUGCGUUUAUGAGAAAAGACCUAUACAUAAGAUGAAACAAUAUCAUGUAAAAAUAUAUAGUAAAUCUUGCGGGAUUCGCAUAGUGAUUAAAGAAAGGAAUUGUGUGUGUGGAUUGAGCACAUCAUGAGAGUUCAAUUUUCCACACCAGCAAAUUUAGACAAUUUUAUACCCUACCUGGUCCAUGAGAUUAGUAAUAUAUGUCAUGGGCUUGACCUUUUAGCCGCUUAAGAUAUAAGCUUCUAGGUGAGAGAAAUAACUUAUUACCCGAAAAUGAAAAGAUUAGUUAAUCAAGUAGAUAAAGCCUUCCCUCCUCCUUUCCCCCCCUUUGUAUCUAGCAUAGUUAUGGAAGCAGGUUGAUGAAAUUUCGUCUAUGUGAUUUUGCGUACGUGUGAAUACAUUUUGUGUUUUUAGGUAUAUCACAACUUUGAUGAAAACUGGUUUGUUCCCAAUCUAGCUAAAUUAAUAAUUUUUUCAUGGACACAAUCAACUAAACUAUAGAAGAAAUUAAAAUCAAGACUCAACCUCAACAUCAAAAGUUAAAUAAGUAGCGGAAAUUGACUCUAUACUCUACUGGAAAUGAAACCUUCACGACUUAAAGACUGAAUGCCUGGAAGAUCGACUAAUUCAUUUCCUAUUUGAAGUGGCUUUAAAUCAAACUGUAAAAGGUAGGGGAGCACACAGAAAUACAUCAUCCACCAAUUAAAUAAGUACUUUAGGUGCUUCUAGAGCACAAAUCCUGCUCGGCCGACACCAACCACACGCAAAAUUCAAGGAACACUCAAUUUUAUCAAGGACAUAAGUCACUUGAUUUGUAGUUGUGUUCUUGAAACACCUCCCCUAGCAAUAUUUUUUUUUUUCAAUUGUGUAUCGAGUAUUUGACUUUUUUAAUAUUGAAAAAAGUGUACUAGAAAUCCUAAAAUUUAUUGUAAAAGUGCAAUUAAGAAAAAAUACAACUAAGUCCUAAAAUUUGUCAAUUUGAUGUAAUCAAGUUUCUCUAUUAAUUUUGUCCAAUUUAGUUGAUGGAAAAUGCUGACAUGGCUUCUUUUCUUCUUCUUUUUUCAUUUCUCUCUCUUACUGGCAUAGAGCUUAAAAGAAAAGGUCCGUGUGCAAAAACGUCGUUGUUUAAGAUUCAGCCCAAAUUUCCAAGCCAUAAUUGAGUUUUCCUUCUCAAGUUUUGUUUACUUCUUCAUCCGUCUUUCGUCCAGAGUGUCCAUAUUAUUCGUGGAGUUCGCUUCUUAAUUGUCGAUCCUCCUGUUCUUUGUCCAAGUGUCCUUCUUCUUCUUCGUCGAGUCCCCAAAUUUCCUCUUCAAUCGAACGUGACGAGGUCGAGUCAUCGCACAGGAGCUUGAUGAGCCAACAACGACGUCGAGUCCUCUUCGUCCAAGCCGUUAUAAGCCACUACAUCGACCUUAAUCCCCUUUCUUGGAUUCUUCUUUCGUUCUCAUGGAGCUACGGAAACUCAUUUGAGGUGUUUUCUCUUGGGGAUUAUUAAAUAUGUCUGAAGUUUGAGAGUGAAGUCAAUGUUACAGCAGGUGGCUGCAUCUAUUUGAAAUACCGUGAAUUAUGUUUAGACAUAUUCUCAUGGUUUAUUCUAAUUGUCAGAUACUAAAUGGAAGGCAGUUGUUUUGUGGCUCAACAGCCAAAGCAGAAGCAAAAGAAGGGUAGAGCACAAAAAGCGUGCUCAAUUCUGUGAUUGAGACUUGGUGUAAGCAAAAGUAGCAAGCUUUUCCGACCUGCCUAUAUCUCCUUUCCUUCUUUGUUCAUCCUACUGGCAAGCGGCUGCUGUUCUUCGGUCAUUCCUGGUCUCAAAUAACAAGACUCGGUCUGAGUGAGGGUUUGAACUUUUGAGAGCUUUUUCUUUAGGAUUUUGUCACGGGCUGAGAGUUUCCUUGGCCUUGGAACGACCCGCGGGCGUUUGGCGAGCAUAAUUCGCCAGGCCAGCCUUGAUUCGUGUAGCUAUUCCAGUGAACGAUACGGUGAAUGCUUUUUCGUGCGAGAUCCUACCACGCCCAGCGUCACUCGGGCGUCUAGUCCAUCGAGUGAGACAUUAGAUAUCUUUUAGGCACAACAAUUGGUUUCGGCCUACCAUGGCCUCGUCAGGAGAGCGGUAUCAGCUCCCGACCAAUUUGUGCAAGGGAGGCCUACCCCGUCUUUAGAGCUCCUAAGUGAUAUAAUCCUUCUAUCCUAGAACUCCUAGUACCAAUUGUUCUGAUGCCACUCUCACGGACCAGUUGUGUUUUAGCCUUCCACCUCCUCACUCUUCACUCGAUAACCCCUAGUGCCACUCACAAGUGUCACGAGAACGGGAGAAUUCACGGACCGUGAAAAUUCCGUGUUGGGUUUCGCUUGGAGGAGUUUAAGUUUGUUUAUUCGAGGCUUUGCCUCUCUUAUUGUGGCCAUUUUCUGUUACAUUUACGAUCUUAUCAGAUAUUCUUGUGACCAUUCGCCUGCAGUGAAUCAAGAUAAUAGACGAACAUUUUAAUUGAGUUGCGAUCUCUUACUAAGAAUUGUUAAUACUUCCUGUCUUUGUGAUUUAUAUCCAUGGGAAACACAAGACGCAUGGUCAUUCGUGUGGGUUCAUGCGCAAUACAGAUAAGCUCUGAAUUAGAAGAGAAGGUUGAAAAAUUACGCAAUGGUGAUGAGCUACGUUCUAAUUCAGAGACUGAAAUUGAGUAGUCUCAAGAAGAGACUACAGAUGUGAAUGCAUCAGGUAAGACCUACUUACAUAUAUAGCGUGUAAUUUUUCAUCAUAAUAUACUAAAAUGGUCCGAUUAUUGAUCUGGUUUGAUAAUAUUAGAUCCAUCUUUCAGUAUUUAGAAUUUCUUGUCUAAUAGCUACCACCAGAAAAGGGAAGCAUAGCUUUACAUGUCUAUCAAGUGUAUACAGUCUUUCUCGCGGGAAAUACAUCAUUGUCAAGGUAGGGAAGAAAAUGCAACCUAUUGGAGGUUUAGGGAGUUUCUCGGAACCAUUGCUUGCAAGUUGGCACCAUUGUUUACAACUUGAAAGCAAAUUACCAAGGAUAUGAGAAACAGUAUGAUUGGGAUUGUAGAGGUAGGUAGCUUGUUGUGGCAUGAAAUUCCAUUCAUGUUUUAAAUAAAUUUAACAUCAUUAUUAAUAUUUCCUUUCCGUCUAAGCAUGAUUAUCUUCGUACCAGCUACAGAAAAAUGGAUUCCACAAUCCUAAAUGUAGGUAUUGGAAAAGUGAUUUAAAAGCUGCUCGCUAUGAUAGCUCUCAAUCAUUCUCAUAUCAUUUGAAGAAUCUAUUGGAGAGAGUGAGAGAGAUCAAUGCACAAUUCUCAUCACUUUUUGGAGUUCAAAGGAAAGGAAGGGAAGGUGCGGAUCUUGUUAUGGGAUUGUUUUAAUUGACCUGUCAACAUUAAAUGGACUUUCAUUACCUGUUCAUGACUACUUUGUGAUAACCUUUCUAUUUUUCAUCUUUUUCAUUGCAAAAGCUGAUUGGUGCAAAUAAGGCUAACGAAGCAAAACAAAAGAUACAACACACCUUAGAGAGUGAAAAUUCGGCUAGAAUAACAACAGAAAAGGUACUCUCAUGUUUACUUAAAUUUUUGUGUUCCUUAUAAGUGAUAUUUCCAUUGUGUAAAUCAAUAAUCUUGCUUUAGAAAAGAUUAUGCUAAGGUGAUAUAUUUUUGGACCUAAGGUAAAGAUGUCUAGAGAUAUUUGCCACUUUUCCAACAAUAUGCAUGUUUUGAACAGCAAUUGUCAUAGGAAGAUAACAUAGAAUGUGUUCUAGCAUUGCCUCCUUAAGAUUGUCUAUGUUAUCAGCACCUGCAUUAAUAUCUUGUUAUUCCCAUAGCUUUGUGAUUUGGGUUUGCUAGUGACAGCACAAUAAUCUAUAACUUGGUGGGGUUUAUCUAGCACACAUAGUCCACCAUCAUUAACAAAAGAGCUAUACAGCAGUUAGAGCUGUAAAGUAAAUUUGAGAUGAUGAAACUUGUACAAUUUUCUAUUAAUUUGUGAACCUGACUGCAGUUUGGUUUAAUGAGAGAUAUUGCAAAACAAAAAAGUACUGCAGCCUUGGAGUGUGACAUAUUGAAAUUCGACCUCAUUUCGAUAAAGUGAAAUGGACAUUUCAUCGACAUACUUAUGGUCCUUUUUCUCUGAGCUGAUCACUCACGAAUUAACUAACUUAUUGGAUGAAGCCAUUAAGGGAUGUAUCCGCGGUAAAAUCCAUAAAAGCUACCUAAUUAGUUGGACUGGGCUAAAAUCACGUUUGAUCGAUUCUAACCAUGAAAUUUAAUUUGGUUUCGGGAAUCGAAUAUUUGAGCGUGUCACAAUUCAUUUUUAGGAUCCUAUCUCAUCGUCCGUCAAAUUAUUGACGCGUCCGAAAUUUCGGGAAAGAAAUUAUCGGAGGAAAAAUUGAAGACCGGAAGAAAUUAAAAAGAGAAAGGAGAAAUAAUAGAAGUAAUUUGAAUAGUAAAUUUUUUACUAUUUGAUUACUUUUUUAUUUUCUUUUUCUCUCCCUUUCUUUUUCUCUCUUUUCCCUUCCCCCCUUCGUGCGCACUCCCCCUCCCCACUGACCGAAUGCCCCUUGCCAAUUUCAAAUUGGCUUCUCUCUCUCCUUUUUACUUUUGACUAGUCAAAAAGCCUUCAUCUUAUCUCUUCUUUCUUUCUUCUUCUUCUCUCUCCUCUCUCUUCUCCCCCACUCCCCCACGUGACCGAAUCCCCUCCUUCCUCCUUCUUCGUGCAAACCAGCGAACCAGGAAGAGGAAGACAGCAGCUCGCCGAAGCCCAUCGCCGCCGCACCGGAGCUGGACCUCCACCCACGCGACGCCCGCCCGCGCACGCCGCGCGCUCCACCGCUUCCCGCCCGUGCCUGCCGUCCUCGCCGUGCGCCGUCCAGCCCCGUUCAGCCUCUGCUCAGCCCUUGUUCCGCCCCGUCCGGCCAUCUCCGGCCACCGUUCGAAGCCGCCGGACCUCCACCGGUCCUCCCCCACACCUUGCCGCCCUUGUUGAAGUGAUUUGUGGCUGUUUUGUGUUCUUUUUCAGUGCGCGCAGCCACCCCACCGAGUGGGUUUCCAGCCCCCUUCAGUCUCACUUUUGGGCGGUUUCCGGGCCCCGAAACCGAGCCGUGCGUUGGGGUUUAUUGUUCCUCGUGUCGUCCCUGUCGGAUUGGUACAUUUUGCGCUUAAUUCCGAUGAGUAAUCUCACUAAUUCCUGCUUAGUUUGUUAAUUAUGCUUAGGGGUUGGUUAGGUUUAAUUAAAUGCAAUUAGGUGGUUAGAUUAGAAUAGAUUAGUGAUUAUUAGAUAAAUGUGAUGCAUAUUAGACAAUUUGAUUGUGUAAUUAGCAAGUAGACGUAGUCUACUAUUUAUUGAAAGCAUCUCAGGAUUUUUCCCGACCUUUAGCGGGCUUCAAUUAGGCAAUUCGGGCAUAAAUUGGAUUUUUAGUAAUUAAUUAUUAAUCUUCGAAAUUAAUUAAUUAAUUAUUUAUUUUCCGAAAUUUAACCCGGGAUGGCCGUGACCGGGAAUUUAUGCUGGUGAUUGUGGUGAAGUCCGUUUAUUUAAUUGGGCUUUAUUUGAGCUAAAUUGAAUUUUUAAUAUAAUUAAUUAUUUUCCGAAAUUAAGGUUGAGAUGACCGAUGACUGGAAUUUCGUGCUGAUUGUCGUGGUGCAAUCCGUUUAUUUAUUUGAGCUCUACGUUGCAUGGAAUUAAAUUAAUUGUGAUAUUUUAUCAAUUUAUCUUAAAUUGAUGGAAAUUGAGUGAAAUUGAAUGAUUGAUUGGUAGAUGGCCGAGUAUGUUUAUUUAAUAUUUAUAAUGCUUUGUUGAGUUGUAAAGUGGAUGGAAUCAUGAGAGUGAAUUGGAAAUACUCUAGGCUAUAACCGAUUAGGUACGAUGUGAUGGACCUACGUGGUUCGGUGACUAAGGACGUCACUGGCGAAAAUGGCGCCUUAAAGAACGCACAUAUUGGUCUAGUACUCACAUCGUCAUAGGCAUGUGUGGUUCGGUGAUUAAGGACAUCACUGGCAAAAACAGCGCCUUAAAGAACGCACGCAAUUGUCUAUUGAACACAUCGUUGUAGGCAUGUGUGGUUCGGUGAUUUGGGAUAUCAUUGGUGAAAACGACGCCUUAAAGAACGCAUGCAAUUGUCUAGUGGAUACGUCACCUUGGCGAAGUUGACGCCCGAGAGCAUUAAGAUGGCUCUGUGACUUAGAGUGUUAUUGAAGGUUUCAUGGUAUGAGAUGAAUGACCUAGUGAGGGUUCGAUUGACAUGUAAUCGAUUAAGUCGAUUGAACUGUGAUUUGGCUGAUUGUUCAUUGAGAUAUAUGAAGCAUCUGUAUAUAACCUUGAAUUACAGGUUGGGACUGAUGCCAAAGUACGUCUUCUGACCUAUGCGUGUUUAGGUAGCCUAUAGUAUAAUGGUUUACUAAUCGGGUCUUAGUGGGGUAGAACUUGUUGAGAAGCAGUCUCAUCUUGGUUGUGGGACAACAUUUCAGGCCCGUAAAUGAACAUGAGGAGAAGGAAUCGGAGAAGGAGAACAUUGAAGUGAAACUUGAGGAGGGGAAAGAUUUUUGAAGAAGAAGAUGAUCCAAGAAGGGAUCCUGAGUACGAUCGGAUGAGGACUGAGGUCCCAUCUUCUUUUGGGAAUCCUGUUUUGAUGUGAAUAGAGUGAAAUUAGAAAGCCGUGAAUAGUUUGUGAAAUACUUUGAGUUAUGUUCUGUAUAAAAGUAUGGUUGUGAAUUUCAAUAUAAAAAAUAUGACUUUACUUUUCUAUCCCAUUGUUUUAUUGUCUAGGGAUUAUAACUGCUUCCGCAUGUGCUUAAUAAAAGAAAGGGUUGGCGAUACAUAGUUCUGAGAUAUCGCAUUAUAAAAUUGACCAAGAGAGAAGGAUGUGUGCGUGCCCGAGGAUCGGGGCGUGACAUGGAGUACCCAAGUACUAGCUGUGCCACCGCACACAUCCCCAUAAUUGUUGAAAAGUUAUUCAAUAUAGUUCAUCUAGUGUCAACAAAUGUUAUGCGGUCUUGGCAAUGACAAUAUUGUUGUUACAAUGUAUUAGGAAUUUAUAUAGUUAUCUGUGUAGAAGACGAAUGAAUCAAGAAAAGAGGGCAAGCUGGAAUAAAUAGGCUAAAAUUAAAACCUAAAAUCUAACUUCCUAGUGUGUGUUUUCAUAUGGUUUUGGUCGAUAAAGUCAUAUAACAAAUCAGCAAGGAACAACUAUAGUUAGGAAGAAUGUGAUUACUUUCUCAAUUUGAUAUCUCUGGACAUAUUUUCCUGUUUCAUAGUAAAGUGCGAGAUAUUGAAUGUCUUCUUGAUAUGGUUCAUUUAGUUAUGCUGACUAAACCAAGUUCUAGCACAUGAUAGGAAGUAGAGUUAAGAAUCAAAGGCAAUCAUAAGUAUUUAAGACUUCAGCUUAAUAAAUAGUAACAUCAUUGGUUUAUAAGGUUUUUAUGUUACUAAAUUGCACGGAAGUAUGAAUGAUCUCAUGGAGGUAUAUUUGGAACUUGGACAGAGCGAUAACCCCUUGAAAUAGUGUUUCUCUAGUGUUGGGAAAAUAGAAACCUAGAUGGUCUGAUGUUAGAGCAUAACCCAUGCUCAAAUGAUUUGGGGCCUCCAAAUCUAGUUUUCUUCUAACCAAUAACUUAAGGUCAAAGAAAGCAAAGAACGAAGAGAUUCACAAGUUGAAGGAAUCUAGUUGUCUUCCAACCGAGAACUUAAGGUCAGAGAAUGAGAAAGAUGAAGAGAUUCACAAGGUGAAGGAGAUACUGAAAGCAACAAAGAGAAAUUACAAAAGACAAAUGGAGAUGUACAAGAGUUACAGGCUCAAAAAGCUGCUACUAUUAUACAAAAUUGUCUACAUGCGGUGGACUUGAAGUGGUCUCACAAGAUUUGGACAAGGUAAGUAUGUCAUGAGCCAUGAGGUGUGACUAAUUUCAUUGAAUGUUACAGUAGUGAAAGGUGUUUUAUUUACUAAAUACUGAGUGAUCUUAAUAUUGGACACUAUGGUGGUUUUAAAGGGAAUAUAGGUGGAUGGACUUGAAACAUAAGUAUGGUAUCGGGAUCGCUUCAAUGGAGCUUGGAAGUGGAAUAAAAAUUUAGCAUAUUGUUACUAUGUUUUAUCUUUUUGCUCUAACUAAAUCAUGUUUUGGGUUCACUUCUCUUGCAUUAUGCCUUGUCCUUUUUGUUCAUUUUGAAGUAUACAAGUGAUUGCCCUUAUUAGUCACUGCUUGCUAUUUCUUUCCAUGUUUCCAGAUAGUCACUGUUGAGCUCUCUUUUCCUUCUCUGUAUAGAUCCGGGAGUGUUAUAGCAUCUUUUCUAUUGAAGAGAAGGUGAAAUGUUGCCUGUUUUGGCACUUGAGAGUGGAUGAGGGACAAAGUCAAAUACUUGGAAAUAGUCUCUGUUGAUGUAUGGGUUUAUUAGAUUACCUAAAACCAUAUGCUGAUAACCUUACUCUAUAUUUUUUGCCCUCAAUGCAAUUCUUCUUCUUCUUGCUCUUAAGGUUGGGCUUCUAUUUUCAUAAUCGAACUUCUCAACUUUACUGUGUUGCAGCAAUGAUUUUGAUUUACUUAAUCAAAGAUUGUCCGCACAGGCCGAUGGGAUCUCAAUUGCCGCCGCCGCCACCAAUGGGACAGAACAGAGGAAACAUGCUACAGGAUGCAUUGCAGACAAGGCACUAUUAGGAUGGCAAAAGGGGCAGGAAUGAAUCGAGGUAUGCAUCGAACAUGAAGGAUAGUGAUCUCGGAAUAAUUUUAUUUGAGUGGCGCAACGGAAAUAUGUUUAAGCUUGUAGAACUUCAAUUUAUUGAAAUGGAGUCGUAGAAAGGAGAAUCGCUGGCUAGAGUUGUACUUGAAUAUUUUGCCUAUGUAUAACUUUAAUGUCAUAUAUAAAAAGGUUUGACUCAAUGAGCAUCUUGUUGUAAUGAAUUGUGUGUUCAAGGAGUAUCUGGAUCAGUUUAUGAUCGUUUUCAUUGACAAUAUCCUAGUGUACUCGAGAAGUCCAGAGGAGCACGAAAGACAGUUGAGGAUAGUACUUCAGACUCUGUGAGAUCAUGGAUUGUACGCUAAGUUCAGUAAGUGUGAGUUUUGGUUAACUCGUGUGGCUUUCCUAGGUCACGUGAUUUCAAGCGAAGGAAUCUCCGUGGACUCGACUAAGAUUGAAGCAAUUAUCAACUGGCUAAGACCAACGACAGUGAUAGAAAUCAGAAGCUUUUUGGGAUUGGCAAGUUACUAUAGAAGGUUCGUUGAAGGAUUUUCAACAUUAGCCUUACCUUUGACUUGACUGUUGAAGAAGGAAGAGAAGUUCGCAUGGACAGAUAAGUGUGAGCAUAGUUCCCAAGAGCUUAAGCAGAAGCUGAUUACCUCACUAACGUUGACAAUUCCAUCUAGACUUGAAGGAUACGAGAUCUAUAGUGAUGUGUCAUUUAGAGGACUGGGUUGUGUGUUAAUGUAGCAUGGUAGAGUCAUUGCAUACGCAUCCCAUCAGUUGAGACCUCAUGAGCUGAAUUACCCAACGCAUGACUUAGAACUCGCAGCGAUUAUUUUCGCCCUGAAGAUUUGGAGACAUUAUUUAUGCGGAGAAAGGUUCCAGAUCUUUACAGAUCAUCAAAGUCUCAAGUAUUUAUUCUCUAAGAAGAAGUUGAAUAUGAGACAGUGUCGCUGAAUGGAACUUCUCAAGGACUAUGAUUGCAACAUCCUAUAACACCCUGGAAAGGCUAAUAAGGUAGCAGAUGCGUUGAGUCGGAAGUCUUCGAUUGUGCAGAUGAUGAUUAAGGAAUGGAUCAUACUCGAGAGAACUCGAGAUUCGGUCUUCAAAUUUGAGGUAGGCCACCUUUCAAAUCUUAUGGCCACCCUCAUAAUUGAACCAGAAGUGUAGAUAAGAAUCAAGACGUUACAGUUGACAAACGCAGAGAUCCAGAAGAUUCUGCAAGAGGAUAUAGACAAGAGAAAAGCUGAUUUUCAUAUUUUUGAAGACGGAAUGUUGAAGUUUCGUGGACGAUUGUGUGUACCUGACGAUGUAGAGCUUAAGGAAGAGAUUUUAUCAUAAGCUCAUCAUAGCAGUUACAGCAUUCAUCUAGGCAAUACGAAGAUAUCAGAAUCUGUGUUAACACUAUUGGUAGACCGGUAUGAAAGCGGAUAUCGCCAAGCAUGUCACCAAAUGUCUUAUGUCUCAACAAAUGAAGGCACAGCACUAUAAACCGGGCAACCUCUCAAGAUUCCCGAGUGGAAGUGGAAACACAUCACAAUGGACUUUGUGAUUGAGUUGUGGUUGACAAAUUGACGAAGUCUGCUCACUUCAUCGCUGUACGAAAGGACUAUGCAUUGGACAGAUAUGCAAAAUUGUACAUGCAUCAAAUUGUUCGUCUUCAUGGAGUGCUAGUGACGAUUACAUCUGAUAGUGACCCGAAGUUUACGGCAGCCUUUUGGAAAAUUUUACUGACUACCUUAGGAACAAAGCUGUAGUACGGUACGACCUAUCAUCCGCAGACAGAUGGCCAGUCUAAGAGGACAAUUUAGACCCUCGAAGAUAUGUUGAGAGCUUGCAUGCUAGACUUCAAAGGAAGCUAGAAGGAACGGCUUCAUCUCGUCGAGUUUGCCUACAACAACAGUUAUCAGCAGAGUAUUUAGAUAGCACCUUUUGAGGCGUUGUAUGGCAAAGUGUGCAAAACUCUAGAGCGGAAGAUUAUAGACCCAAAGUUGGUUUAACAGUCAGUAGAUGCAGUUACAGUUAUUAGAGACAGAUUAAAGACAGCUCAGAGUCGCCAGAAAAGCUAUGCCUAUAAGCGUCGAAGACCAUUGGAAUUCCAAGUUGAUGAACACGUCUUUUUGAAAGUGUCACCAAUAAGGGGUACUCCGGCAAGAAAAGGAAGUUGAGUCCGAGGUACGUAGGUCUCUUUGAGAUUCUGGAGAGAAUAAGGACUCUGACAUAUCGUCUUGCAUUGUCGUCGAGACUGGCGCAAGUGCAUGAUGUCUUCUACGUGUCGAUGUUAAGAAAGUAUGAGCCUGACCCAACCCACGUGCUGAAUUUUGAAGAAUUAGACGUGGAUGACAAAGUGUCAUACGCGGAGAGAGUAGUUCAAAUUAUGGAUCGGAAGGAGCAGGUUCUGCGCACCAAGACGAUCCCAUUAGUUAAAGAGGUCUAGCAACACCAUGGGACAGAAGGAGCAACCUGGGAAAGUGAAGACUCGAUGAGACGACGAUACUCUAACCUUUUUGUUUAAGAUUUGUAAUGGUUUAAAUUUCGAGGACGAAAUUUUUAUAAAAGGGGAAGAAUUGUGAUAUCCUGAUUUUCAGCCCUAUCUUUGAUGAAAAGAAAUGGGCUUUUCAUUGACACGCCUAUGACAUUUUUCUCUAAGUUGGCCACUCACGAGAUAACUAAUCUAUCAGGUGAAGCCUUAAGGAAUCUAAACGCAAUAGACUUGAGAAUUCGAUAAGAAAUCGACUGCUUGACCGUGCUAAUCUGUAAGGGUCAAUACAUCACCGUCAAAAUCGACCAGAGAUCAAAGAUAGGUCGUUUCAAUCGAGACAUGUAAUUGAAGUGUAGGUGAUUCCACCUAAUUGCAAAAUUCUUGUCGAAUGGCGCUACACCGAUUUUUCUAUUAUUUAUGUACCCUGUGCCCGUAUUUAAAAUCUCAAGAUUUUCACGACAACCGAGAGUCACUUAUGAGUCGAAUAUGUACAAUGUGGCUUGAAAAUAAUCGAUCACGGGUCAAAUGCACUAAAAAUUCCUAAAAGCUACCCGGUAGGUUAGGUCACGCUAAAAUCACGCAUAGUUAAAAUUAACUGCGAAAUUGAACCUGAUUUCAGAAAUUGAAAGUUCUGUCAUGUCACAAUUUAUUUUAGAAAUGUCGUCUCAUCCUUCGAAGAAUUUUUAGUGAGUCCGGAUUUUCGGCGAAAAAUCAAAAUUGGACAAUAUCGGACCGAGAAAUUAAGAGAGCCGUUUUUGUGUGGAUUUUUGGCGUUUGAGAUGGAUCAACUAGCAAGGAAAAUUUUGGAAAGUAGUGUGGGUAUCCUCCUUGGUAAGUUGGCCAUUAAUAGUCCAAUUGGAGAGGAUUUGAAUUGAAAUUGAAGAGGGAUGCACAAAAUUCGUAGCCAUGGGUGGUGUGCAACAUUUGGACCACCUUUGGUGGCUUCUUGGGGAAGUUUGAUGAAGGAAAAUGGGCUGGGGAUAGGGCUGAAGGUGGUGGGGGUAGCCACUUGAGUUCUUGGGAUAUUUGUGAAGACUUUUGAGGCUUUGUGGUCCCCCUCUAGUUACAGUAGCUCUUCUUCUUCCUCCUUGUGUCCCUUGAUCUCCAUCGUUGCUGUUUUGAGAGCCAAAGACCAGCAGAGGAUUAGCCAAGACUAGCCCGCACCCCCUUAUAGUCGCCACACACCGUCCAAGCGUCGCCCAAGCCCGCCAAAGCCAUUGACCGCGCCCGCGAGCUCGUCCGCACGUCCUCACAUCCUGCACGUCCAGGCUAUCAUUUGCCAUUCACCUGGCUACUGUCCGAAGCCGUCAAGCCGCCUCCGUCACCAUCCCGAAGCCCCUGAUGCAGGCUGGUCCCGCCGUCGUCGCCUGGCCACCCAGCUCCAUCCGCCAAGCCGUCGACCAGCUCUUUCGGCCAGCAAGCAAAACUGAAGCUUCAGCUUCCGGCUGAGACUUCAUGGGCCUUUUUCGGGCCUUUUAGGACCUCGUUGGGUGUCGUCGUAGGCUUGAGUCUCACUCACCUCUGCGUUGCCGUAAACUCACCGGCUCUCUAAUUCGGUGAGUUUACUUGCUAAACCUUAUUUAUUGGGUUAAUUAUGCUUAUGUGAUAAUUAGAUUAGACUAAGCUUGGUUUAGGUUGUUAAUUUAGUUUAAUUAGUGAUUUAGUUUGUUAAUUAGGCUUAUUAGGUGGUUAGAUUAGAUUAGUUAAGAGUUAAUUAGAUUGUAUUAUUUCACUAGUAUAGUGCAUUAUUUUUUUAGAUCCAAUUAGGUGGUUAGAUUAGCAUGUUUACCUUAAUUAGGUAUUUAUUAAAUUAAUUUGCAUUUAUUUAUUUAAUUUUGUAAUUUAUUUAAUUAUUUAAUAUUUUUCGAAAAUUAUAUUGGGAUAGCCGGUCGCCGGAAUGUUGUGUCGAUUGUCGUGGUGUAAUUAAUUUAUGCAAUUGAAUAAUAAUUUGUGCAAUUGUGUGGUGAUUGUGAUUUUUGAUUAAUUAUUUCAAUAUUGUGAAAUUUUUGUAUUUAAUUAGAAAAUACCGGGUGUUGGGUUUUGAUACCCGAAAAUGUUUUUAAGUACUAUAUUAAACAAUAUGACUUUUAAAAUGAAGAAUAUCAAUUUUUAAGGUUCGAUCUGACCGUGUACCCACAUACGAUUAUUUUACCAAGUGUUUUUAAUAUGAAGAAAAUAGGCCAAGUUCAUUAUUUUAAUUGAGACAUUUGAGUGCAAAGCACAAUGUCCUUGGCUAAGAUUGGAUAUAUAUGGAAUCACUAUGAGAACCCAUCAUGAGCUUUUGAGUUGGACGAUGCUCCUUUGGGAAUGCCCCAAGUCAACGGUUGCCAGUCGCAGUGGAGGCUGAAUUGAUGCUCCCAUAUGGAAUGCCGUCUAGAUAUAGACGUUGCUGUGCUCGAUGGUGCGAGAUGAAGACCGCUGACUGUUGAGUCGACCGUGACUGUUGGGUCGUAAUCAAUUGGGACGCAUGGAUGAUUGAAAUUAACGCUCCUAAUUAUGAAACAAAAUUGUGUGGCACGAAAUAGGACGUGUCAUAACAAUUUUGCCCUAUAAUCGAGACCCAUGUGAUUGAUUGAGAUAUGAGUAAGACGUUCGAAUUGAUGGGUCCAUUUAUUAUAUGCAUCCGGUAUAUGAAUUGUACUGACAUGCAAGGAGGUGGUGAGGCGAGGUGAGUCUUUAGGAUGUGUGAUUAGACUACCUCUAGGCGUAUUUCCUUCAUAAUCAAGGUUUAGGACGUGAACUCACUGAGAUAUUGUUUCACUCUGUCAUGGGUUUCAUCUUUUACAAGUCCUUAAAUGGAGGAGCGUCACGUGCGGUAUAGGGUUCCGCAGAUGAUGGAUUUUGAGCAUACUUUCAUUCCUAUUCCUGAGACUACCUUGACUUGGGAGUUAGUUGAGUCCGUGGUAUGGGUCGAUGAGGGCUUGCCUCAAUUGGUACCUCACCGAUUCAUAGCAUGGUUCAUUGACUUCCAUCGAGGUGGUUGGGAGGGUCCCUUACGGGGUUUCGAUGGGCCUCCCGUCAAGACUGGGGAGUGGGAGGUAGUGCAUGCUAUGGAUCUCAACACUCCUUAUGGUGUCGUGAUAGAUUCGGAGCCCCCGGAGGCCAUGGAUGAGGAGCCUAGUGACUAGAUGGUUUAGUGGCUCUUCUUUUUGGAGUGGACUCUUGUGUAUAGACUAGUUGUGUAUAAACUUAGUGUGUUUAUAUAAGUGUGUUUGGUUUGAUUUGGUUGUCUUGCUUUUCUAUCCCAUGUUGUUGUUGUUUGGGGAUUGUUUAUUUGCUUCUGCUUGUGCAUUAAAUGAAUGGGUCGGCGACGCGUCCUGGGACAUCACAGUUCUAUCGACCAUCGAGGGAUGCGCGCGUGUUCGAGGCUUAGGGCCUGACAAUAGCCAACUUGCUUGAAAGGAAUCAAGCAUUGUGCGGGUCAAGCUAAUCGAGGUGCCACAAGGUCGACGUGAGAUGACUUCUAGCUGAAAUCGAGGCUCAAAGGGCAAAGUAUAGAUGUUAAAAGGAGGAGUUCGCACAAGUGAAGAAAGAAAAUAUGAUAUAUUAAUUUAGUUGUUCUAUGUUGUGUCAUUGUGCUAGUUGUGUCUAAUGCGAGAUUUGAUAGGAAGUUUCUAAGCCUUCCAUAGUUUAUUGAGGUGAGUGUGCACAUUUGUAUUAGGUUGAAAUACUGAAAGUCCUACUUCCCUCAUCUUCAGUACACUUGUUGCCGCUUCAUGCUUCAAAGUUGCUUUACUACUUAAAAAAUAGAUAUUCUAAUGGAAACUUGUUGGUUGUUUGGCAAUCUGACAGAAAGCUUUCAUCGUUCUUACCAUUCUUAUUGGAGAACUUUUGAUUCAUUCUCAUUCUGUUACGAAAAAUCUAGUGAACUUAAUAGCUUUGGCCUCAUAUGUAGUCCAAUAUAUCCAUGAAUUGCCUGCUAGUCACCUGGUGUAAUUGGCACAUGCUAAUUUGGAUAGGUGCCCUAGAAGCGAGACAAUGAAAUGACAACGCCCUCGAGCAGGGAACAUUCCACCAUAAACAGUGAUUAAAAAUUUGACCCUAAAUGGUCAGAGCAUGAGGAAUGAAAUGAUCUCAUUGUUUACUUUUCCUCAGCCCAAUGGUUUAUCAGAGGUUUAAAUACUUGUGUACUUCUAGGAUAAAGACACUAACAUGUGAUUAUCAAUAACACUAAAAUAUCUCCGCAGAUUUGCCGACCGGUGGGAAAUACUCGUUCUUGUGCUGAAUAUAUUAGUUUCUUUCAACUCUUAUUGAAAUCAUUGAACGGGUGGACAUGUACAGCUUGGGAUUCUGCUUUGCUUUUGUAGGGUCCCUUGGCUCGGAAUCAUGGUCGUCGGUUUCCCAUCACUUUUGGGUGUGUGUCAGUCACAGGCCCUCAUCCACAUUAGAAAGCAAUUUCCAUAAUGCUAUGCCAUUUUGUAGGUCCAAUUCAAUGUAUCAAGUCACAUAUGCAAGCCGCCUUUGGGCUUUUUAGGUAGGUCCCAGUAUUUUUUUACCAGCCUCAUCGAUCAUAAUGCCGAAAUUUCGGGCGAUUGAUUCAGAUAUAGAAGUGUUCCUACUUGAAUGUCAAGUCUUUUAGAAGUCCGUGAUAUGUAUAAAGCAUGUCAUGAAUCAAAUAAAGAUGCGGAUUCAAAAUCUCAAAAAUUCGUUUGACCAUGAGUUUUUUCACACCAGAUGAUAUAAAUGACUGAAUGCAACCAAAACCCAAUAUGACUAUUUCAAGUUCAGCACUCUCAAAGCAUAAAUUAGAUGUACAAAAACCACUGGAAAUUUGAGAGAAACCCUUUUUCUCAAGACCAAUUUCUCUCAACACAGACAUGAAUUACGUCCAAUACAAAAAGCCACACCAACUGCCAAUGCAAUAACCAAAAGCAAAUCGUAGUGAAAGAACUAGCUGUACUCGGACACAAGCAGUGGCGUCCUGACGAGACGUGAUGUCGUGCCUCAUCUGCUUCACCAUCGCCUGUCUCUUGUUCCUCAGCAGCUUUAUAAUCACGAAAACCCCUCACCUCUUAUUUGCUAUUACCAGAACAUAGAGAAGAAAAAGCCCCCAAGUAAACCAUUUUCAAGUGGGGAAUUUCAUGUUGCGCACCUCACGAAUAGUGGCCAAGCUUUUGGUCUUUUCCUCCAUCUUCUUUGUCUUGAUCUCCUCCUCCUUGGCCCUGAAAGUGGACAGAGCCGACCUCGACAUCUCCUCGUCCUCUCUCAACAGCGACAUGCUGCUGCGGAAGCUCAAGCUCCCCGACGAGUUCUGCAGGAUCAGCUGCUGCUGCUGCUGCUGUUGUGCCGCCCUCUGCAUGCCCAACCAUCAAUCGGUCUGUUGAUGCAGCCACGCACACUCUUCCUCCUGCAAAAAUCGGAGACAUUAACAAACCCAUGGCAUCGUAUAUCACCAUUUUUGCGGCCUCACCAGAGGAAGGACACCUAAUUGCCACAUGUUGGCCCUACUCAAAUUUGAUUUGACAAAGAACUGACUAGACCAUUUUUAAGACUCAUAAACAAACACAUUUUAUCCAAGUUUUCAUUUCAUUGCCCGAAGGGCUCCAAACAACAAAUUUGGCAACAUGAAAAAAGAAAAACAAAUACCGUCUUCCCUAAGUCGCCAUCUAAUGCUGAUUAUUGUAACACUGAAAACGUGCCUUUUUCACCCAUAGCACAAAUGGUCCUGUACCGGUAAAAGCUUCAACACCUCAAACCAGAUUGUCCUUGAAAAUCGGCACUCCAAAAAUAGAUAGCACUUUGGAUCGUCAAAUUAUGUAGGCCAGUUCAAGCUCUAAAUUGAAAAUAUCCCAAAUACAAUAUUAAAGAAAUCACACAUUCAUUGGAUAUUCAUUGGACAUUUGGAGAUUCUGAGUGAACAAAUAGCGCUUUAAGCAAAGAUCACACAUUUAUUUUGACUCCCCAAUCCAAAAGAUGGAUUCAUAAUAAUUUGAAAUUGACUUUUCAGAAAAUUUCGAAGGGGCGGCAUGCAUGAUAAUCAAGCCAAGUCCCCAAUUAUUUUUUAGCAUGUUUCCAAAGCAGAGAACCGCAAAAUUGAGCAUUAAAUAUAGUUGCUCCGGCCUUAAUUAAUCCAAACAACAUCAUGUGAACAAUCCGUGCCUUUUUUUUUUUGGACGAUCCUAUCUUUUAUUUUGCUAAGACUAGUAAGAUCGCAAGAACUUCCUGUGUAUGUGCAUAUACUCAUUGACAUCACUCCCAAAUUUCAGACCUAUUCAAUCCGCAAGGGCAAACACCUCAAAUGAGUUCCCAUACCUCCAUCGGAAUGAAAGCAAAGUACAAGAAAAGGGAUUAAGCUCGAUGCAGUGGCUUUUAACACCUUCGUUCACACCGUCUGGCUCGAACGAAGAGGACCUGACGUCGCCGUCGACCUCAAGCUCUUGCACGAGGACUUGACGUCGUCGCAUUCAAUGGAGAAGAAAAAGGAGACUCAGACGAAGAACAGGAGGAUCGAUGAAUGAGAAGCGGACUCCACGAACAAGAAGCACGCUAUGGACGAGAAAGACAGAUGAAGAAGUGAGGAGAACUUGGGAAGAAAACUCAAUUAGGGCUUGGAAAUUUGGGGUGAACCUUAAAAGGACAGAUGUUUUCGCACGCAAACCUUUCCUUUUAAGUUUUAUGCCACAUAGAAGAGAGAAAUGAAUAAAAAAUGCAUAGACAGCAUUUUUCGUUAAUCAAAUUAGAUGAAAUUAAUGGAGGAAUUUGAUCGUACUUUAACAAGUUUUAUGACUCGAUUGCAAUUUUUAUAAAUCUUAAGACUAUUGCAUUUAUCCCUUUAAUGUUCUAUCUUCAUUGUAAAUAUCACAAAUCACGAAAGUCAUUGUCAUAGUACUGAUUGGUAUUAAGUAAGAAAUGGAAAAAAAAAAAAAGUUGCAGUAUAUUAGUUGAAAAGAUGCUAAGUAAAACCAUUUGUUUCUUAUAAAAUGAGAAUUUUUUUUAAAUAAUAAGCUCUAAGCUAUUCUCUCUCUCUCUCUCUCUCUCUCUAUAUUUCCUACAAUAUGAAGUGUUUCUAAAUAUUUGUGAUAAAAACUAAACUUCUCUAACUGCAACUACGUAACUUUCUCAUUCUCAUAUACAGAAAAAGAAGAAAAAAGAUGGAGAGAGAGAGUAUCGCAUGCGUCUACUGGUUUUUAAAGUAAGUGAGACCGAGUUUAAUUCAUGUUUGUAUGAUUGUUUUUUGAUUUUCCACAAUUAUUAUAAAUCUGCCUAUAGUUGUUCAUGUUUGUGGAUGGUUUUUCUGACUCACCUUAUAACGCUUGAAACUCUGGACGGAGCCUGUGAAUUCUUGCUUAACCCCAAGUAAUUUCGGGCAAUGGUAGAUAGAUAAACGGCAAUCAUUUGGCAAUUCGGUGGUUGAUACAUCAAUCAGACUUUCCAAUGAUCUGCAGUCAAUAAGUUUCAAUUCGUUCAAAAACUUUAACUUGUCAAGGCCCUCGACAAUCCGUAGCUCUGGGCUGGAAAAUAUUUUCAAAGACUUGAGGUUCUUUAAGUUUGACAAACCACCAAGACUUUGCAAAUGAUCACCAGAAAGUACCAAGUCUUCCAACGAUUCUGACAUACCAACAACUAGAAUGCUGAGUAUCUUAUCGCAAUUCUGUAGCAAGAGACGCCGCAACUUAUUGAAGACUUUCGAUUCAAGGAUCAGUGAAGAUUCAUGAGAAGAUUCUGAAUGUAUGUUGACGUACACGAACCUUCUGAAAGACUUACACUCACUGAUAUCCAAUUUUUUCAACGAUUCCAGCACCCCAGCAAUGUGGACCUCAUCUAAUUUUGGGCAGCCACUCACGCUGACCUCUUUUAGCUUCGUCAUGCUGGAUAGCAUGAAUCUCUCAAGGGGUUCACCUCCAUUAAUAUAAAGCUUCGUUAAAUCUGGAAGCUGAAGCCCAUCAAGUAUAAUCUCUUGCAUUUGAGAGCGAACGAGCCUUAAAUCCGACAAAUUCUUUAGGGUGGAGGAGAGAAAAGCGAUUGAAUUGAAAUUCUGAACAAUUAGAGUAGAGGGAACUUGCUCUAGGGGUUGCUGGUUCAAUCCAUACCACCGGAGUUCGUUAAUCUGAGGAAGGGAAGCCAACUCAGUGGAAGCAGGGACAUGGAGGAGACACAAGUUUAACAUUUCUGACCUCCCAUUCCCCCUCCAGUCACCAGUAUGAAUUCUAUCUCGUCCGUCAAUUUUGGAGCCAUUCUUUAGUCUCCAUUCAAUCAAAUCAGCCAAAUCAGAGUUUUCUUGGAAAACUGGAUCGAUGUCUCUGAAAACUGGCCAGACACUUUUGUAAAUUGGCAAAAGCUGCAAUGACUUAGAUGACACUAAUAAAUAGGUUAAACUUGUUGGGAGUGCUGGCAACUCUUGGAUUUCAUCACGCCCUUUUAACACCAGUUUUUGAAGCCGCUGAAGCAAACCAAUUUCAGAAGGAAGUGGACUUUUAGAAUUUCCUUUAAACAGAUGCAAUUUUAGAAUCUCAAACUUUCCGAUAGCACCUGGUAACUCCACUGGACCUAGAAUUGAAAGCUGCGACUCCCGUAAUGAUUUCCACUUAAAUAUGGAAUCUGGUAAUCCCCUUAUUUGACAACAAUCCCAUAAAGAGAAGUGCUCUAGAUCCCGUAGGUCCCCGAUUUUUUCAGUUAAACCUUCAAACCAAUGGCCAAAAUCAAACUUUAAGUAUUUCAGACGCUCUAACUUCCCAAUAGAGCCAUCAAUCUCUGUUAAACUGUCGCACUUCCUAAAAGUCAGCCUCUCCAAAGUUGAGCAUUCAGAUAAGUCUGGUGUUCUAGUUAUGCCAUGACAAUUAUCAAGCCUAAGAACUUUCAAUUUUCUUGCCUCCUGUAAAAAGUGAAUGCAUUAUCCAAUGGAGGAACAGUUCAAAUGUUGCUUUCAAGGAUAAAGAACAGAAAUAAGCAUAUGACGCACCUUUAUUAAGUUCCAUAAUUUCAGAUCAUCCAUACCAGCAAUGAAGGAAAAUUGAAGGACAACUACAUUCUUUAAGCACAUAUUGGUCAGCUCACACUCUAAAUCAGGAGCUUCCCAAUAAAUCCAUCUUAAAUUGGGAAAACAAUCCAUUAGAUCACCAACAAAGGUUCCUCCGCAAAGUUUAAGGAACCUUAGCUUUUUAAACCUUCCAAUCUCUUCACUUUUGAUAGAUACUCCUUUAUGACACAAGUUUAGUUCCAUUGCUUCAACGUUAUUCAUCUGCAAAUGAGAGCAAGAAACAAGUAGUAUUUAGCAUUCUAUUUUAUCAAGGAAAAGUAUUAAAACCAAGAAGAAAAAAGAGAAUCCAUCUGUUCUCUCAUAAGUGUUCCACCUCCUUUGUCUUUAUUGCAUCGAGGACUUCAUCCUCAAUCCAUAACCUACUACGCUGUUCAGGAUUCAUCAGACUUUCGUUACGAACAAUUCCCUUUCCGAAAUCUCUUAGCUGAUCGUGCAUCAAAAAUUGAUUGCCCUCUCCAAUCUUUAUCAAGGACUUGUUUUUGAGCACCUCAAUUCCAGAAAGUGGGAAAAGUCCACAAUCCUCCCACAUGUAAAUUGCGUUUGUCUUUUCCUCACCAAUGAAAAAGCAUGCAAUAUCCAGAAAAUUUUUUUGUUGCUCAGAACUCAAUGCAUCAUAGCUAACUUUCAACACUUCGAAAACACCUUGUGGAGGUAAUUUGCGUAACUCGUCCAAUUUUUCUUUCCAUAGUUCUUGUGUUUUAUAUUUCAGCAAUGAACCAACUACUGCAAUAGUCAAAGGAAGUCUUCCGCUAGCUUUUACAAUUUCCUUUGCAAUAGCAUAGUGAUCAUUUGAAGGAGAGUCCUUCUCAAACGCAUGUCUGUAGAGGAGCUCAAGCGCAUCAUCACCACUCAUCACCUUCAUUUCAUAAGGUAACACUUCGUACUUUGGUCUAGUGCUUUGCAAAAUAUCCUCAUUUCUAGUAGUAAUUAGUAUUCUAGACCCUGAACACAAAGCACCAUUUCCAACUAAUUUUUCCACUUGCUCAUUGUUAUCCACAUCAUCCAGCACAAUGAGGACCUUCUUAUUGCGAAGUGUUCCUUCGAUCCUCUUCAUUAGAUGUUCAGUUUCAUCGAUGCUUCCUAAUCCUAUGGCAUUUCCUAUUUCAGAUAAUAAUUUCCUUUGCAAUUUAACCAAACCAUCAGUUCUUGAUGAAUUUUCUCUAACAUUUUCAAGGAAGCAGCAACACUUUCCAAAGUGGGUAGAAAGUUCAUUGAACACGACCUUGGCAAGAGUCGUUUUACCGAUACCCCCCAUGCCAUGAAUUUGAAUGAGCCGCACACCUCCAGAGUGUAUGUCUAACAAAUUUCUUACUUCCACCACUCGAUCAUCAAUUCCAAUUAAAUGUUCAGUCACAGACUUUUGCUUUAUCUUCAACUUAAUUACAACCUCCUCGACGACCAACUUGAUUAGGUCAGCUUGGCUGUCAUGAAGGAAAACCAANNNNNNNNNNNNNNNNNNNNNNNNNNNNNNNNNNNNNNNNNNNNNNNNNNNNNNNNNNNNNNNNNNNNNNNNNNNNNNNNNNNNNNNNNNNNNNNNNNNNUGGGCGUUUCAUGCACAAUGAUAGGGUGCCAUGUGUCGCAUGUGGUCAUACCACCCGAAAAUUGACUUGAUCCCAACGUGAUGAGCAAUUUUCAAAUUCUGUUAAUCUAGUUUGUGCAAGAUAAAUGUACAACUAUUUAUGCAUCACGAAUUAGCAUAUUAUCAGUUAUAUUCAUGGGACAGUGGGACAUUAUAUGUUCAAGAGUAGAAAUAUUUGAUGUAAUAAUUGAAAGAUCAAAUUAUUAGACAGACGAGCAUGGUACUCAAUUAUUCCACUUCAUCACCUAUUAUAUAUAAUGCCUUUUCUCCAGCAGUUCCACUUUUUUUUUUUUUUUACACACAUGUACCAUUUAGUAUCGCUAGGGGAAGUUCCACCUCAAUUGUGGUGAUAUAUCUACAUUAUUAAGUUUUGAGUAAAAGUUCUAGAAGAAUUAGAAUUUCACUAAGAGUUGCUUACUAAGUGACAGAGGUGAAAAAUGAAACAAAAUUUAUAUAGACCAUCAACAAAAGGAAAAGAAUGAGCGUUCGUUUCUAUUUUCAGUUCUUCAUUAAAAAUAGACAUAUGAUAGCGCCUCUAGUGAAAUCAAGAACACUAUCAAUUUUAGUAGCUCUAGCGUGAAUUUUUAUGUUUUAGAAUUCUCUCCUCCUACCCGCAUCUAAUAUGUUCCUUCUAUCUGUGAAUUAUUUACUCAGUUUUAGCAAACAGGAAAAAAUAUUAGGGAAAAAGACGGAUCUUGGAAUGCAGCAUGCUCACCGAUCGCAUUUCUUGACUUCCCAUCCCUUUAUUGCAUCAACCUCCAUCAAAGCCUUUCUCCAGGAAUCUACUUCUUCAAUGCUCAAGUUAUCCUCGCCUUGCAAAAUGAGAAUGGCAUCGCGAUACAACCGGGUUUUCAUCUUAACAUCUUUAGGUUCCACAUCAAAGAAAAUAGGUAGGAUCUCUUUAUUCCCAUUUGACUUGGAGGUGUUCUCCAUAAUUUGCGUGAGUUCACGGAGACACCAUUUGCUCGAAGCGUAGGUUGGAGAGAAGAUGGGGAUGUAGAUCCUAGAGUUGUCAAUUGCUCUAUGGAGCGCUCCAUCGAUUCUUUCACCAACAUGGAGCUUUUCACUGUCUCGAAAGACGUGGAUACCAGUAUCGGUCAAGCUGUGGUAGAGGAAGUCGGUAAAUCCAUUACGAGUGUCAGGUCCUCUGAAGUUCAAGAACACUUGAUGCUCACAUUCUGAUGAUGCUUCUGCCUCUGAGUCUCCAUUUUAACUUUAGCUUUAGUAGCUCUNNNNNNNNNNNNNNNNNNNNNNNNNNNNNNNNNNNNNNNNNNNNNNNNNNNNNNNNNNNNNNNNNNNNNNNNNNNNNNNNNNNNNNNNNNNNNNNNNNNNNNNNNNNNNNNNNNNNNNNNNNNNNNNNNNNNNNNNNNNNNNNNNNNNNNNNNNNNNNNNNNNNNNNNNNNNNNNNNNNNNNNNNNNNNNNNNNNNNNNNNNNNNNNNNNNNNNNNNNNNNNNNNNNNNNNNNNNNNNNNNNNNNNNNNNNNNNNNNNNNNNNNNGACUUUUUGAAAAGAUUGCAUAUGUGAGAGAUUAUUUGAUAGGUGUGUUAUAUGCAUUUUCUAAGCAAAGAAUAUACCUUUCUUCAAUCUUGCCAAUUUUAAAAACACUACUAUGGACCUUAAAAAAAAAAAUUAUAAAAAACACUAUUCGAAUUUUUUAAAGAUUGUGAAACCUUAUAUGUGAAUCUAGGAAACUGGAAAAGACCGACAAUCAACAAACUUAAGAAAACCAAAAAUUCAAAAAGUAAAAAAGAAAAGUCAAUUCAAACUUACAUAAACAUAUAUAAUAACUAGUAUUAUAAAAUAAAAUACUAAAUCACGGAUUCUUCUAAAAACUUAAAUUUUUGGAACGGUUUGACAUUAGCCCGCAAUCUUUUCACAAAUCCACUUGUCCAUUCUUGUUAAGAAGCUGAUCGAGGAGACUUUAGGUCCAAUUACACAGGAAGGAACACAACAAAAUACAAAUGGGGAUUUUAGUCCCCGACGACCAGAUCCAGCCUCGAUUGUGGACAACGCACUCAUUCUGAGCAAGUAUUUCAUCAAACCGAAUUCUUCAGGGCAAAAUCCAGAAUAAGUCGAAGAGAAUCGUACCGUCUUCGUCGUCGCUGCUGCUGGAAAAGGGCUUCGUGAAGAUGAAUAUCGACGGCUCCCGGUACUGGCGAGCCAAUUCGCCGGAGGGGUCGGUUGCCGGAGUCGCUCGGGACGACCAGGGGACGUUGAUCCCUGGGUUUGCGACGAAGGUCGUCGCCUCAUCCUGCUCUGCACACGGAAAAUCCGCUUGUCCAUUCUUGUUAAGAAGCUGAUCGAGAAGACUUUUGGUUCAAUCACACAGGAAGGAACGCAACAAAAUACAAAUGGGUAUUUCAAUCCCCGACGACCAGAUCCGGCCUCGAUUGUGGACAACGCACUCAUUCUGAGCAAGGAUUUCGUCAAGCCGAACGCUUCAGGGCAAAUCCAGAAUAAGUCAGAAAUGAAUUGGACAGUGUUCGCGGUCGCUGCCGGGAAAGGGCUUGGUGAAGAUGAAUAUCGAUGGCUCCUGGUACUGGCUACCCGAUUCGUCUGAGGGGUCGGUUGUGUGGCCUCCUCUGCUCUGCACACGGAAAAGCCAGCCCCCAAACAAGUGUUUGUCAGUGACUGCGCGAGGAAAGGAAGCUCGAAGACGUUUCAAGUCUUCCUAGUGAUCUGAGCGUGACUUUAAGCUGAUAUGUACAAUGCAUGUCAGACUCGUUUCUAAGUCCAUGGGCCCUCCGGUGUUCAUUUCAGGAAUCAAAAGGAGUUUCAAUUUUGCAUGAUUAUGUUUUAGGAUAAAAGUUGCAAAAAAUUCUAAACCAUGCCUAGUUCGAUAUAUUUAUUUAUCUUAAAUUUUUUAUGAUAUCAAAAAUUUCAAAUUUGUAUUUAUUUGACACAUUAUAUUUAUCCCAAAUUUCUUCUUGUGACAUUAAAAAUUUCAANNNNNNNNNNNNNNNNNNNNNNNNNNNNNNNNNNNNNNNNNNNNNNNNNNNNNNNNNNNNNNNNNNNNNNNNNNNNNNNNNNNNNNNNNNNNNNNNNNNNNNNNNNNNNNNNNNNNNNNNNNNUAUCUGUAAAAUUUCUAUACAUAGAGUGGCUUGCUUGAUGUGUCAACCGUUAUCAGGUACAGUACUUCGAUGCGAACCUGAGAAGAACAAUAAUGCACUGGAAAAGGGUGAAAGGAAACAGCAAGGAAACCCUCGCAUGUCCAUACUUUAUGGAAGCGAAGCAAAGCAAUAGUCGACAAAAAGUUGAAGAGAGGCAUGAAGUUUCUAAAAAUGCCAAACAACUUUAUAGAAACUAGGUCGCAAGGUGCCCUUGCUUUUCCUAAAAUAAAUAAAUAAAAAUAAAAACCAACCUGCCUUUUGAGGCAAGCACAUUAAAAUUCUCUAUGGAGGCUUGUUCCAUUUUUCAAUUCUAACCAUUAGAAAGGACAUCCGAAAAACACAUACAUAAUUCAAGGAGGUGGCUUAUAUUUUGCAGCGUGCAUGCAUAUAAUUUAGGCAAUGGGAUUAUAUCGCGAAUCAUGAAAUUGAUUGGAUACUCUUAAAUACUCAAUACCCGAUAUCAACAGGAAACAACAUACAACAUAUUUUCUAUAUAUCUCCACGCGUGCAAAGAAUUUUGAUUCAAGUUUAGCUCCCUACAUUUUCUAGCACAAGUUGAUCUCUUUGAAAGGGAUUAAAAUGAUGAUGAUAUAUGUGCAAACACUUCAGAAUCUUCAAAAAGAGAGGAAGAAAGAAAAUAGUCAAAGGCUAUAUCUUAAGAAGGAACAAGCUCAUCUUGUGAUUACUCCCUUUAGUCGAUCUACAUCUCUGAUUGGAGGUAAAAUCUCUCAUUUUCCAUAAGCUUAUUGAAUCGACACAUCAUUCUAAAAAAUCAAGCUAUCUGAUUCAAUAUUUUACAGGUUCGUGCCAACUACAAUGUUAUAGGAGGAUGAAUGACAAAAAUAAAUGAAGUGCAGGCUCUGCUGAUGUCAUGACGAUUGUAAGUGGGGGUAUUUCCGCUGUUUUCAAACUCUCAAGCAACCUCAUUGGCGGUUCCACACCCUACGAAUUUCUUUUUUCUUCAGUUUUUGUUUCCUUUUGUUUAGGUUUUCCCUGAUUUUUAAAAUAAUUUCUUUGGUCUUUCUUCGCCUCAUUAGCACCAAUAUAGAAAGAAAUUACAAAGCACCACGUCCAAUUUUGGAAUCUACGUUAGCAAAUCUGGUUAUGAGUUUGUCGGAAGGAUUAAAUUGCAGCCAACAAAAAAACGUUUAGGACUUGAUUGCAUAUUUGGCCAAACAUUAUGGACUUUUUGGUGUAAGUUUCAUUUAUAAGUACCUAAAAUGAGAUCAGCAUAGUGGAUAACAAAUAUUCUUAUAAGAUAAUAACAAAUAAGGGUUACUCAAAUAAAAAUUCAUAGUUUGAUUCCCAUCCUACAUUGAUCUCUCCCACCGACUAGAACUUUGCUAUUGACGGGUUUUCCAAUGCAUCUCUUACCUUGAUUUGGCCUAUCCUUCCACAGCUGUAGAAUAAACUUGUAGAUUAGCAGCAAAAAUAGCAUUUGGUUGUGAUGACAGAUUUCGCGCCGACAAGCGCAAGAAAGGGAAAACGCGUGGAGUGGGGUCGCUACGUUCCCAGCCAUGCCGUGUAAUGAACACAUGAAGUUUCAACUCUAUAUCCUUGUGAAAUCCCCCGUGUAAAGGCAAGAAAAAUUGAAAACAUGUGGCACGACUCUAUUAUAUGUUGGCAAAAGCAAAAGGGGAGAGACUCAUGCAUGAUUGUUAUCUCUUUCAUAUUUUUUCCACAACUUUGUGUUUGUCUUUUUGACAAUUCGACUCAAUCAUGAAUAAGUCGAUAAAGGAUACAUAAAAGACAAAGAGAGGAAAGAGACUUAGAGGAUAGGAGACUUUUGCAAAUGGGGUCGAAAUUUUUUUAGGCUUCUUCAUUGAUGGGAUGUUAAGUUGAAAAUGAGAGAAACUGAGUUGGCAGGUACCUAUGCCUAUCCUUAAAGAAAAACAAUUAAAGUAACUUUUGGGUCAAGCACAUAAAAUCCUUUGGUGGGUUGUCAGGUAUCCUCAAAACACAAACAUAAUCGUUGAGAGGUGCCACAAAAGUAAUGUAAGGGACUGUAUCACGACUCAUUGAAUUGGUUAAAUGCAUAGAGAAUUAAAUAUUCAAAAAAAAAAAACUUCUUUUUGUAUAUCUUCGUGUGGGUGUAUAAUUUGCUUUAUGUUUAGCUCUCUCCAUUUUCCAAUAUAAGCUAAGCCAAAUAAUCAUAAAAUAUUAAUGAAAUAUAUAACUUAUAGUUUAAUAUAGCUAAGCCUCACAAUAAAGGAAAUAAAAAUGCCUAAGUUAGACAAAAUCAUCAUCCAUUUAAAAAUAGGACUCGCGUGUAAACCAAUUUGGUUGGAAAAUUUCAAUGCUAUAUAAUCAGUUUCUUUUGGCUCUGAUACCAAAUAAUUUGAGAUAAUAAGGAGAAGGGAAGCAAAAGCGGAAAGGGGAUGCCGAGAUCAACAAUCGACAACAAAGAAGAGAAAAAAAUGAUUCGUAAAAUUGAUUGAUGCUCUAAAAAUAUCAUAUACUCAAUAACAAACAACAUAAAACUUAUUUUUGUCUGUUUAUAUAUAUCUCCAUGCUUGCAUAUAAUUUGGUUCAACUUUAGCUCUCUCCAUUUUCCGGUAUAAGUUGAUCUUUUUUUUUUUUUUUGUCGAUCCUCCUCUAUUCUUACUCUAACACUCACUCUCAGACUUUUGUCCUACCUCAUUGCAGGGCGUGGGAGUCGAAACUCAUUCCGGAAACUAAAUCGUCCCCACCCCAACCUCCCCUGAGAAGGUGCGGAUUCGAACUCCCCACCUCCCUCUUCCAACUUGGAAGGGUGACCACUUGGGCAAACCCCAGCAGUUUUAUAAGUUGAUCUAUUUGAAAGGGGAUAAAAUGCCGACUAUAUACGUAUAAAUAUCCCUGGUUAGAGGUAAAAUAUUUCAUUUUUCAUAAGCCCAUUGAAUCGACAUAACAUUCUAAAAAAUCAAACUGUAUGAUUUGAUAUUUUACAGGUUUGUGCUAACUAAAAUGAAUAGGAUGAUGAGGACAAAGAAAAAGAACGCGCUAGCUCUGCUCAUGACANNNNNNNNNNNNNNNNNNNNNNNNNNNNNNNNNNNNNNNNNNNNNNNNNNNNNNNNNNNNNNNNNNNNNNNNNNNNNNNNNNNNNNNNNNNNNNNNNNNNNNNNNNNNNNNNNNNNNNNNNNNNNNNNNNNNNNNNNNNNNNNNNNNNNNNNNNNNNNNNNNNNNNNNNNNNNNNNNNNNNNNNNNNNNNNNNNNNNNNNNNNNNNNNNNNNNNNNNNNNNNNNNNNNNNNNNNNNNNNNNNNNNNNNNNNNNNNNNNNNNNNNNNNNNNNNNNNNNNNNNNNNNNNNNNNNNNNNNNNNNNNNNNNNNNNNNNNNNNNNNNNNNNNNNNNNNNNNNNNNNNNNNNNNNNNNNNNNNNNNNNNNNNNNNNNNNNNNNNNNNNNNNNNNNNNNNNNNNNNNNNNNNNNNNNNNNNNNNNNNNNNNNNNNNNNNNNNNNNNNNNNNNNNNNNNNNNNNNNNNNNNNNNNNNNNNNNNNNNNNNNNNNNNNNNNNNNNNNNNNNNNNNNNNNNNNNNNNNNNNNNNNNNNNNNNNNNNNNNNNNNNNNNNNNNNNNNNNNNNNNNNNNNNNNNNNNNNNNNNNNNNNNNNNNNNNNNNNNNNNNNNNNNNNNNNNNNNNNNNNNNNNNNNNNNNNNNNNNNNNNNNNNNNNNNNNNNNNNNNNNNNNNNNNNNNNNNNNNNNNNNNNNNNNNNNNNNNNNNNNNNNNNNNNNNNNNNNNNNNNNNNNNNNNNNNNNNNNNNNNNNNNNNNNNNNNNNNNNNNNNNNNNNNNNNNNNNNNNNNNNNNNNNNNNNNNNNNNNNNNNNNNNNNNNNNNNNNNNNNNNNNNNNNNNNNNNNNNNNNNNNNNNNNNNNNNNNNNNNNNNNNNNNNNNNNNNNNNNNNNNNNNNNNNNNNNNNNNNNNNNNNNNNNNNNNNNNNNNNNNNNNNNNNNNNNNNNNNNNNNNNNNNNNNNNNNNNNNNNNNNNNNNNNNNNNNNNNNNNNNNNNNNNNNNNNNNNNNNNNNNNNNNNNNNNNNNNNNNNNNNNNNNNNNNNNNNNNNNNNNNNNNNNNNNNNNNNNNNNNNNNNNNNNNNNNNNNNNNNNNNNNNNNNNNNNNNNNNNNNNNNNNNNNNNNNNNNNNNNNNNNNNNNNNNNNNNNNNNNNNNNNNNNNNNNNNNNNNNNNNNNNNNNNNNNNNNNNNNNNNNNNNNNNNNNNNNNNNNNNNNNNNNNNNNNNNNNNNNNNNNNNNNNNNNNNNNNNNNNNNNNNNNNNNNNNNNNNNNNNNNNNNNNNNNNNNNNNNNNNNNNNNNNNNNNNNNNNNNNNNNNNNNNNNNNNNNNNNNNNNNNNNNNNNNNNNNNNNNNNNNNNNNNNNNNNNNNNNNNNNNNNNNNNNNNNNNNNNNNNNNNNNNNNNNNNNNNNNNNNNNNNNNNNNNNNNNNNNNNNNNNNNNNNNNNNNNNNNNNNNNNNNNNNNNNNNNNNNNNNNNNNNNNNNNNNNNNNNNNNNNNNNNNNNNNNNNNNNNNNNNNNNNNNNNNNNNNNNNNNNNNNNNNNNNNNNNNNNNNNNNNNNNNNNNNNNNNNNNNNNNNNNNNNNNNNNNNNNNNNNNNNNNNNNNNNNNNNNNNNNNNNNNNNNNNNNNNNNNNNNNNNNNNNNNNNNNNNNNNNNNNNNNNNNNNNNNNNNNNNNNNNNNNNNNNNNNNNNNNNNNNNNNNNNNNNNNNNNNNNNNNNNNNNNNNNNNNNNNNNNNNNNNNNNNNNNNNNNNNNNNNNNNNNNNNNNNNNNNNNNNNNNNNNNNNNNNNNNNNNNNNNNNNNNNNNNNNNNNNNNNNNNNNNNNNNNNNNNNNNNNNNNNNNNNNNNNNNNNNNNNNNNNNNNNNNNNNNNNNNNNNNNNNNNNNNNNNNNNNNNNNNNNNNNNNNNNNNNNNNNNNNNNNNNNNNNNNNNNNNNNNNNNNNNNNNNNNNNNNNNNNNNNNNNNNNNNNNNNNNNNNNNNNNNNNNNNNNNNNNNNNNNNNNNNNNNNNNNNNNNNNNNNNNNNNNNNNNNNNNNNNNNNNNNNNNNNNNNNNNNNNNNNNNNNNNNNNNNNNNNNNNNNNNNNNNNNNNNNNNNNNNNNNNNNNNNNNNNNNNNNNNNNNNNNNNNNNNNNNNNNNNNNNNNNNNNNNNNNNNNNNNNNNNNNNNNNNNNNNNNNNNNNNNNNNNNNNNNNNNNNNNNNNNNNNNNNNNNNNNNNNNNNNNNNNNNNNNNNNNNNNNNNNNNNNNNNNNNNNNNNNNNNNNNNNNNNNNNNNNNNNNNNNNNNNNNNNNNNNNNNNNNNNNNNNNNNNNNNNNNNNNNNNNNNNNNNNNNNNNNNNNNNNNNNNNNNNNNNNNNNNNNNNNNNNNNNNNNNNNNNNNNNNNNNNNNNNNNNNNNNNNNNNNNNNNNNNNNNNNNNNNNNNNNNNNNNNNNNNNNNNNNNNNNNNNNNNNNNNNNNNNNNNNNNNNNNNNNNNNNNNNNNNNNNNNNNNNNNNNNNNNNNNNNNNNNNNNNNNNNNNNNNNNNNNNNNNNNNNNNNNNNNNNNNNNNNNNNNNNNNNNNNNNNNNNNNNNNNNNNNNNNNNNNNNNNNNNNNNNNNNNNNNNNNNNNNNNNNNNNNNNNNNNNNNNNNNNNNNNNNNNNNNNNNNNNNNNNNNNNNNNNNNNNNNNNNNNNNNNNNNNNNNNNNNNNNNNNNNNNNNNNNNNNNNNNNNNNNNNNNNNNNNNNNNNNNNNNNNNNNNNNNNNNNNNNNNNNNNNNNNNNNNNNNNNNNNNNNNNNNNNNNNNNNNNNNNNNNNNNNNNNNNNNNNNNNNNNNNNNNNNNNNNNNNNNNNNNNNNNNNNNNNNNNNNNNNNNNNNNNNNNNNNNNNNNNNNNNNNNNNNNNNNNNNNNNNNNNNNNNNNNNNNNNNNNNNNNNNNNNNNNNNNNNNNNNNNNNNNNNNNNNNNNNNNNNNNNNNNNNNNNNNNNNNNNNNNNNNNNNNNNNNNNNNNNNNNNNNNNNNNNNNNNNNNNNNNNNNNNNNNNNNNNNNNNNNNNNNNNNNNNNNNNNNNNNNNNNNNNNNNNNNNNNNNNNNNNNNNNNNNNNNNNNNNNNNNNNNNNNNNNNNNNNNNNNNNNGCUCAAGUAGUUUCAUGUUUGUUUCCCAAUGUUCAAGUGAGUGAUGCUUAUCUCUUCUAAGAUUUGGAAACCAUGUAUUGAAAAAAUAAAAAGGAAAAGUGGUGUUUCAAGCAUAUUUGUUGUAUAAGUCUAGAUCAAGUAAUUACUACCCGUUUGUUCAUUGGAUAUUGCAUAGUAAACCAUUUCUUAAAAUAGUUUGUGAGUUAAUUAUUUGUUAUAAGGUUUGGGAAAUGCUAUGUAAAAAGUAUUGUGCUUGAUGGAUUAAAUUAUGAAAGGCUAUAUGAUUUGUGAAUCCAAUUUAUGAAAUAAAUUCAGAGUUGGUUUUGUAGAUGGUUGGAUAAUGAGUUAGUUGUUUAUCAUAAUCACUAUGAUCUAAAUCUUUACGGGGUUGAACAUAUGCAUAUUGUUCUUAAGAAUUGGUUUUGUCGAUGGUUGGAUAAUGAGUUAGUUGUUUAUCAUAAUCACUAUGAUCUAAACCUUUAUAGAGUUGAACAUAUGCAUAUUGUUCUUAAGACAUGCCAUUAGGACCAAGCCACCAGUUGUCAUUGGCAAAGGCAUACGUGACCAAAUAAACAUUGUUAAGCUACAUAAAACAACUAUUUUGUGAGAUAAUUGGAGCAAGGUUAGCGAAUCAUACAAAAAAAGAGUGCUAGACACCCUAAGUGCCAAAACUUGGCAUGGGUAAAUACUUAAGUACUAGAACUUCUAAAAGGUACACUUAAGUACCAAAAUCAGAGAAGAAAAGAACAUUUAAGUGCCAACGGCGAGAAUUUGCAACUAAACUAUUGAUGUGGCUCUUUCCGGCAAGAUUUUCUUACUGAUGUGGCAAUUCUUUUAAAAAACUUAUCUACAUGAUGCUAACGUAGCUAGAUAUGCCCAAAACGAUGUCGUUUUGACUCCAAAUUUGAUUUUUAAAUUAAAAAACUAAAUUACAAAAAAGGAAAAAAGAGGGAGGUAGCAUUCGGCAAGGGCCUCCAUAGCCCUUGCCAUCACUGCCGCCACCCCACCACCGUCGAAAAGGGCCAAUGAUGAUGGGAUGAGGGUUAGCCGGGGUCACCAAACCCGAGCAAGUGGCCAAUGACCCUAGUUGAACGCCAACAAGGGCCUGUAGGUCCUCAUCCAAAUCUAGGGUGAGAGGUCGUGGGUGACCCCAUCACAACUAACGGCGGCCCUUAGCCCCUUUAGGCAAGGGCCAGUGACCCCGAUCGACCUUUGCCCCAUUAUCGUCGACCCUUUCCAACGAUGGUGAGGCAACCGUGGCAAGGGCUAUGGAGGCCCUCAAUGAAUGCUACCUCUCUCCUCUUUUUUUUUUUUUUUUUUUUUUUAAUUUAGUUUUUUAGUUUAAUAUAAUUAAUAAUUAUAUUAAAAAUCAAAUUUGGGGGCAAAACGAUGUCGUUUUGCACAUUAAUUACUAAGUAGACAACUCUAGCGAGCCACAUAGACCAUAUUUAUUAUUAAAAUAAUGUCAUAUCGGAUUUCUGGCUAUCUUCACUAGGGGUGAGCAUCGGUCCAGGGUCAAUCCUAGACUGACCCUAGACCGAUCCAAUCCUGCCGAUCCUGGUCCGGUUCCCAGGGAGACUGGGUCGGUCCUUAGUCCUGAGAGUUCCAGGUCGGUCCAACCUGAAUCAACCCUAACUAUAUAUAUAUAAUAAAUUAUUUAUAAUUUUUUAUAAAGAGAAAACCUUAAAAUAAAUGGCGUCAACAACAUUAAACAGCUCUUUAGUGAGGAGUUCAAGUAAUUUUACAUUGUUCUUCAAUAACUUAGGUUUUUAAUGUCUUUUACGGCGUCAAUAGUCACAAUUUAUGAAGGAAGAAAAUGUUUUUGUGAGGAGUCCUCACGGUGGCAUCCAAAAAGGCACCUUAUGGCAUCCUCCUCUAGUAUUCGUUAUCUUCUAUCUUAUUUUCCUCUUAGUCUUUAAUUUGCUAAAAUCGAAAAAAAAAAAAAACAACUUCUCCGCUUGCCACUCGACACUCGCCUCGCUUGCCUUAGGUUACCCGUGUUGCUCGCUGCUCGAUACUCGCUUGGCUUGUUGCUCCCCGCUCGACAUUCAAUGCUCAUUCUGUUCGACGCUUACCCCACUUGACCCUCAUUGCUUGCCUUUCUUAGCUAACCUUGCUCAUCAUCGAAUCCAUUGGGUCGAUACGGUUCUCGAUUGACCUUUCAAGGAGUACAAAAAAUGAAAUAAAAAAUUAUUGGUUAGUCCUAGGUUGACCUUGAAACAGGACCGAACCUAUUGGGAUUAGUCUAGUCCUUAAUUGCUUUUUUAAGGAGUUAUGAAAAAUGGAAAUAAAAAUUAUCAGUUGGGUCCCGGGNNNNNNNNNNNNNNNNNNNNNNNNNNNNNNNNNNNNNNNNNNNNNNNNNNNNNNNNNNNNNNNNNNNNNNNNNNNNNNNNNNNNNNNNNNNNNNNNNNNNUGCUUUUUUAGGAGUAUGAAAAAUGAAAUAAAAAAUUAUCAGUUGGUCCCGGGUUGACCCUAGAACAUGAUCGAAUCCAUUGGGUUGGUUCGGUCUUCGGUCUUAAGCUCAAAAAGGUUGGUCCUCAGUCCCAAAAAUUGAGGACCAGCACUGUGCGGGUUAGUCCUAGAGUUAUGGGGUGGACCAGCUCAACCCGGACCAUGCUCACCCCUAAUCUUCACUAGAGUUGGCAUUUAAGUGUCCAAUUUUCAAAAAUAGUUGCACUUAAGUGUACAUUUUAGAUAUCUUGGUACUUGAGUGUCCACCUGUGCCAAAUUUUCACACUUGUAGUGUACCUUUGCCUACAAAAAAUGUUAAAAUUUGCAAAUAAUAGUAGUAAACUCAAGGCGUUGCCAAGAAAGGUAAAUAAAAAUUAGUAAAAGAUAAACAAAGGUUUUUGUCAAAGAUAGAAGAAGAUGGUAAUUUAAAAACAAAUAUAUAUAUAUAUAUAUAUAUAUAUAUAUAUAUAUAUAUUGGCAAGUAUCUUAAAAAAAAUAUACUAGCAAUCACUCUAAUGAAGUUGGCAAUUUCAAAAAAGAGAUGGUAAAUUGAAAAUUUCAGUGAGUGAGGCCAAUAAAAGUGGUAACUCAAUAAAAAAUCUAGUCCAUGUAAGUAAAAAUAGUUAACUAUUGAUAAGCAACUCAAAUGAGAGUUAGAAACUCAAAACUAGUUGGUAAUUUGACCCCAGUAACUUUGUAAGGUCAUGCAAACAAAGAUUGAUAAUUUCAUAUAGCAGUUGGUAAAUUUAAACCUUUAGUAAGAAAGGUAAAUAAAAGUUGGUAAGUAAUUAGAGAAGCUUUUUUUGGUUAAAGAUAAGAGAAGUUGGUAAUUUAAAAGCAAACCCCAAAGAAACAUUGGUAGCUAACUCAAGUAGGAGUCGGUAUGCAAAAUAAGUUGGAAACUUAAUUAGUUAAAAGUAGGCAAUCACUAAAAAUUUCUAAAAACAACCGGUAGAUUUAUAAAGUUUGUAAAGAAGGCAAACAAAAGAAGUGACUUAAUAAAAAUUUGGUAAAUAAAAAUAUUAAAUGAACUUUGUUAUAAGCAACUCAAAUGAGAGAUGGCAACACAUAGCCACUAGGUUACUUAAUUGGAGUGACAUGAUUAGUAACUAAAUUGAAGAUCGGUAAUUUUAUCUGGUAGUUGAUAAAUUUAAAACAUUCAUGGUAAACAGGAUGAGUUUUUUUUUUUUUUUAGUCAAUCACAAGGGAAAGUUUUAAUUAAAAAUAAACAAACAUCAAUAGCUAACUCAACUAAGUAUAUGUAAUGCAAAUUUUGUUAAUGACUUGAUUGGAUAAUGUUGAGAAUCACUCCAAUUCCAUUUUCCAUUAGAAAUUUCUAAGGAGUUGGUAGAUUUAACAAGCGGGUAAAGAAGGCAAAUCAAAGUUGGUAACUCAUUGAAAAAGUGGAUAAAAUUUUUAGAAAAAUAAACAUUGGUUGGCAAUUCAAAUGAAACUUAGUAAAUCAAAGCUAUUCAAUAAUCUAAUGGGAGAACAACUGUUAAUUCACACAAUUAAAGGUUGAUGAAGUCAUAUAAAAGUGGAUAAAUUUAAGUCAUCUAUAAGAGAGACAAAUAAAAGUUGGUAAUAAUAAGAAAAUUUGAUAAAUUAAAGUAAAAUCAAAUAAAUAUCAGUAAGUAAUUCAAAUGAAAGCUGGAAAACCAAAACUAGUUGGUAAUUUGAUCGGAAAAAAAGUUGAUAAGUCACUCAAAUAAAUGUCAAAAGAUUAAUAUAUUUGUUGGUAAAUAUUAACGAUUCAAGCAAAAAGUUAGUGUAAACUGUGGAAGGAGUUGGUAAUUUCAUGAAACUCUUACUAAAUUACCAAUAAGUUAGGGAAUAAUAAUAGACCAGUAGCUUAUUUCUACUUUUAUUUUUAUAUUUAUUAACUGUCACACCCGAUCCUUGAGCGCGUGCACAUCCCUCGGUGGUCAAUGAAAUUGCGACUUCCCAGGACAAGUCAUCGACCCUUUCAUUUUAUUGCACAUGCAGAAGCGAAUAAACAAAUCCCCUGUCAACAACCAUCUCGGGAUAGAAAAGCAGGACAAUCAAAUCACAAAAGCCACGUUUACAUAAACAAACUAAUUUAUACACAGAGGCCAACUCUAGGGUCUAUGUACAGGAGGUCUAUCUUCAAAAAGAACUAUUGAGCCACCCAUGCUCUUGACCCUUCCGCCUCAAACUCCGGAUUCUUCACACUAGAGACUCGAAAAUGGUAACCCACGACAGGGUAAGAUAUAAAUCUCAACAAGUUCACGCCCUAAACCCCGAUUAGGAAGAUAAUAUACCUAGAGGCAGCCUACACACAUAGCCAAUGAGACUCACCUUGCCUCAUUUUUUUCUUGCAUGUCAGUACAGUUCAUUAAACAUAAGCAGAUAAUCAACGCCAUACGUUAAUUGGAGCUGCAGGCUAUCAAACCAAUCAAACACAGAAUCCCGAUAUAAAACCAAUCAUUAUGACACGUCUCAUACCGUACCACAUAAUUUUAUCCCAUAAUCAGGCGCGGGUAACUCAUAUCGGUGGUUCAUUUCCCACCCGAUAUUCACUCUUAAUACUCAAAUUCCCAAUUUAAACUCAACAUCCCCACUCAAUAUUCCGACUCCACAUUCUAACUCAAUGCUCAAACUCAAUAACAGACUCAAGGCUCUAAAGGUGACCCACACGAAGUCUCGCUAUCAUGUAGUACUUACCCUUGACAACAAAUAGCAAUAGUACAAGGCACUAGAGGCGACUCACACGAAGUCUCGCUAUCUUGUAGUACUUAGUCCUUGACAACAAAAAAAACAAUAGUACAAGGCACUAGAGACGACUCACAUGAAGUCUCGCUAUUGUGUAUAUGACACCCCCGAAUGGUCCCCGAUCCGCUAGGGUCGCCAGUCCACUUGCCUUUCUCUUGACCUGAUAAUAUAUUACUCUGAUACCUGUCGCGACCCGAUCUCGCCGCCCCUCGAAAAGUGUCCAAGGAGGGAAAGGUCGGGUUUAGGGGUACUUGAUCUCAAGAUCACGAGCUCUCCCAAGCUCGUACCCCACGUGACAGCAUAUUUAUUUAUACGAUCUAGGUAUUUAACAACCUAAAAAAUAGACAGGAGUCGCCACUAGCCUCAUUUUUGGGGGUCGGCUAGAAACCCAAUUGAGGGUCGGGAGUGGUCCCUCGAUUCCUACGCAACCAGAUAUCUAGGUUCGGGGACUUGGGUUACGCUAAUAUUGCUAUUAGCGCCCUUUCGGUACCUAAACAGUAUGUUGUGUUUUUCCUAACAUGUCAAUGCGUUUCUUUUAUAUUUUCAGGAUCAUCAAUUCUAUACUAAAUGAUCAUGCGUGAUGGAUUACUUUCAUUCUAUUCUAUUCCUAAGAAAUGAAAGGAAAACAAACAAUGAAAUUAAAUUAAAUUGCAAGACAUGAAGUAAACAAUCAAGAAAAGCAGUUAAACCUAAUCAUGCAAUUCUAAAAAAUAUAAAAGAGAAAACAAUUGGGAAAGAAAGGAAACCCGCACCUCGUCGGGUUUUAUACAAUGCAUGGAACCCGAGACAUAUGUCGGGAAAAUGAGCAUUACAUGAUAACGGUCGGAGUGGACAUCGACCUCCACCAUCUUCACGCCUUACCCCUUCUCCAUCUUCGGGGUCCUAAUCUAAACCUAAUCUAAGAAACAAGAAUCCCUUGCCUCAUCUUAUAUGACUAAGACAAUGCAUAGAAAUCAUUAUUAUAAUGAAUAGACAUAGGCAUCAGACAUGAACAUGAAUCCAGCAAAUUCAAGUCACAAACAGGACAAAAUACAAUGCAUGUUUAAAGGUUCGUAAGACCACCUAGACAAUGUACAAAAAUGUGAAACUUGCACAUGACAUAAGGUUGAAUGCGAAAAAGGUUUGGGUAAACAUUUAACCCUAAAUCAGAAUACAAAGAAGUCACACAAGUCAUUAACAUUGCAAAGUGACUUGGAACUAAGAAGCAAAAUGCAUGACAAUUUCAGUUGUGGUAUAUCGACUUGAAUUCUAAGAUUACUUGACCUUAAAAAUUCUCAAAUUUUAGCAUGGGAUGGAUAUGGACAUUAUGGACAGCCUUCAUUGAGAAUUUAUCCUCAAGAUCAUUAUGUAUAAGAUCACACAAAAUUGGUAGACAGUCAGAUUCAUAGAGACAAGACAGCACUGCAGGUCAAGACAAAUUCAGACUUCAAAACUUGAUCUAAAAAAAAAAAAAAAAGCAGGGCAAAUGAUGGGAAAAUUGGACAAACUAGGCAUCGUUAGAAAGCUCAAGGUGUCCUUUACGAAUUCCUAUUAGGUGACAAUUGCAAUUUAGGUCUUUUUCUAGCUCAAGCAAAGCCAUUUGUAUAAGUGGUCAGAUCAGAUCAUAACAAGCAGAACACAUCAGCAGAUUAGUGCUCUUUGCAAGAAGCAUCAGGCAGGGCAAAUGGUGGCCAAAUCGCACAUAUUAUAUGUCUAUGGAAAGCUUGAAAAGUCUAUUACAAAUCUCUAGAAGACAUUAAACCCUAAUAACAUCAUCUACCAGUUCAUAUCAAGCGGUUUAUACAGAAGGUCAUCCGAAACAGAGAAACAAAUAUUUGGCAGAUUCUGGACCUAACUUUGGACAGGCAAAAACCAUAUUAAAUGAAGUCCGAUUAGGGCAUUCUAUAGCUUAUUGGAAAGAUAAUCGAACCAUCUUCAACCUAUAUGAAGACUUCGAACACAGACAACCACAGCAACCCGCUCAUCUCACGUCAUUUUGCACAGAAGGUCAGAUCAGAACACAGAACACAAUAAACAACACAGAUUCAGUAACAAUGGCACAAUGAGUGGUAUCAGAUCUAUAUACUCGGUAAAUCAACUUCUAAGAAAUGUUUCAUAUCAACACGUUUUCAGAUCUGACAUUAUCAUGAUCUAUUUCUCGCUCAUGCUUUUGAGGUAUUUCGUCAAACACUUCACGUACAACAAAACGAUUAACUCAAGCUAUGGAACGGGACUGAAGCUAUGUUCUCAUCUAACAUUCUAAAAUCAAUAUUAAAAUCACAGAGCCAUCACAAGUCAUCUAGUUACAGCUCAGAUCUUAAGUGAAUCACACCUGAACUACGUGAACGUGAUUCUUCUACAAAUCUUUUUGUAACAGAGCAGGAGAGAGGGGAAUGAGUUUACCUGGUUUAUCAGUGAUACGGAUACUGAUCGAGCCAGAGACAGAGAGCUGAGCCGAGGCUUCCAACUCGGCGUGAACCCGAACCACUGUAUCUCGAGCUCCGGAAGGGCGCGAUUCGCAACGAGGGCGUUAGAUCCAACCGAGAGAGCGAUUACCAGAGAAAACGAACGAGAGAGGGGAAGGUCAGAAUCCAAGACCCGAACGGAUUGAGAGAGAGAACAGAAAUCCAAACCCUAACAAAUCGAGAGGGAUAGAAAGAAAGCUCACCGAUCGAGCGAGCUCGAUCCAGAGAGAAAAAUCGGUCAAGCGUUGUUGUCGUCGCAACUGUCGCCGAUCCUUGUCCCAAACCGAGAGAGAAAUUUGCUGAGGGAGAGAUUCUCUGGUUUCUACCCCUUCGACAAGAGCUCGGGUGGUUGAUGAUGAACGGAAAAGGUCGAAUCAAUGGUGGAAUCGAAAAAUUAGGGCUUGCGGCCGAGGAGGGGCUCGAGCUGAGGGCACGCGCACGGCAGAUCCGCUCCGCGAUGGUGUCGACGACUUCUCGACCUCGCUGCUGGGUGAUUCCCUCGCUCCUCUUUC